GAGGGAGAGGAGGUGAGGGUGAUAUGAUCCUACUUGGUAGUCAAUAUGCAAUAUUUUACCCAUUAAAGUAAAAAAAAAUGUCACUUGAGAGUUGAGACAUCUACAUGGAGUUCCGUUUAAUGCCAAGAAAGAGAAAAUGAAAAAAAUGAAAUUUACAAUGAUUGGAAUACAAAAUAAAGCAUAUUAAGGAAAAAAAAAAACUCAUUUAAGCCUACAAAGUACAAAGAAUAAGUGGGUGAAAAUGUUAUCAAAGAAAAAGAAGAAAAGCAAAGGGACCUACAAUGUCGACUUGUUUUGUUGUGGUUGAUAUGAAAGUUUAUGGGCGGAGGAGCAAGAUACCAAAAGAUAUUGACACCACAUAUUAAUCAAAAAUCUUAAGACAUUAGGUUUAUGAGUCACAUUUCUUAUAAAGUUUUAUUCUCAUCCAAACUUAAUAGCCCGCCGCCAAGCCACAGGCUCUAAUACCACUUCGUUAUCAUAGUCUCACAAACCAUCGGCUCUAAUACCACUUGUUGGAGGAGACAAGGAGCCUAUGGGUUGAGGAGUAAGACAGAUAUCGACACCACAUCUUAACCAAAAACCUUAAGACAUUAGAUUUAUGGGUAAAAUCUCUUAUAAAGUCUUCUCUUCACCUAAACGACCCAGUUUGGAAGAGUUUAUUUAAGCUUAUCUGACAGCAUAAGCUCUUAUGCCAGUGUUUGAGAGGGCUUAUGCAAACAGCUUAUGACCUGCCAUAAGCUAUUUUCAGCUUAUUUUCUUAAGCUACUCAGGAUAGCUUAUGAGAAACAGCUUAUGCUUAUGUACAACUUAUUUUCAAUUUAUUUUAAUAAAUUUUUAAAAAUAGCUUAUGAAUAAGCGCUUAUGCCAUAAGCGUUUAUGAUCAUAAGCGCUUAAUUAAGCUGUUUUUCUAAACAGAGCCUUAACCGGUGUGAAACUCUAACUCUGCACUUGAAUUCUUAACAAUAUUAAAUUAAUGUGUUUUUCAAGUCUAAAAAAAUUUGCAUUGUGGUUGCCGACUAGGUGAUAUCAAAGAAAGUGUCAAAACCACCACACAAAAUAUCAGAGAAACACGUUGACAACCACACCCAAUUAUUAGCGUCAUAGCCUCAUAGGCAUAGUUACAAAGCUUCCAUGAAGGUUUAUAAUCAUUGAUCAAUAGAAAGCACCUCCAUCUUCCCCUCAGUACAAGCUUCCGUAUAAUCCAUAAUCCAUGGCUGAGGCAGCUCCCAAGAACCGCCACCCAAAAACCUCCACCACCAACCCUGUUACCAACAAGAAGGAAACCACAAACAUUCUCCUGGGACGGUUCGAGCUAGGGAAGCUCCUCGGCCAUGGAACCUUCGCCAAAGUCCACCAUGCCCGGAACAUCAAAACCGGCGAAGGCGUCGCCAUAAAGAUCAUCAACAAAGAGAAGAUUCUCAAGAGUGGCCUAGUCUCACAUAUCAAGCGAGAGAUCUCCAUCCUCCGCCGUGUCCGCCACCCAAACAUUGUGGAGCUCUUCGAAGUCAUGGCGACCAAGACCAAGAUCUACUUCGUGAUGGAGUUCGUCCGCGGCGGCGAGCUCUUCAAGAAGGUUGCCAAAGGAAGACUUAAGGAAGAAGUCGCCAGAAAAUACUUCCAGCAGUUAAUCUGCGCGGUGGAGUUUUGCCACAGCAGAGGAGUUUUCCACCGUGAUUUGAAGCCUGAGAAUUUGUUGUUAGACUUGGAUGGAAACCUUAAGGUUGCUGACUUUGGACUCUCUGCGGUGUCUGAUCAAAUCAGGCAAGAUGGGUUGUUUCACACGUUUUGUGGGACACCUGCUUAUGUUGCUCCUGAGGUUCUUGGUAGAAAAGGCUAUGAUGGUGCUAAGGUUGAUAUUUGGUCUUGUGGGAUUGUUCUGUUUGUGUUAAUGGCUGGUUAUUUGCCAUUUCAUGAUCUUAAUGUCAUGGCAAUGUACAAGAAGAUUUACAAGGGUGAAUUUCGUUGUCCUAGGUGGUUUUCCCCUGAACUCACCAAGCUUCUUAUUAGGCUUCUUGAUACAAACCCUGAAACCAGAAUUUCAAUUCCUGAGAUUAUGAUGAAUCCCUGGUUCAAGGAAGAUUUCAAGCAAAUCAAAUUCUAUGUGGAGGAUGAUAAAGUUUGUAACAUUGAUCAUGAUGAUGAGGGAUUGCCAUUGUUUAAUUCAGAGUUCUCAGUUUCAGAAUCUGACUCUGAGCUUGAGAGUAUUAGAAGGAGGACGAGUCACAAUAGUGCUAGUGGUUCUUCAUUGCCAAGACCUGCGAGUUUGAAUGCAUUUGACAUAAUUUCAUUUUCUCAAGGGUUUGAUCUUUCUGGGUUGUUUGAGGCAAAGGAAGAUAAGGUGAGGAUUGUUACCGGCGCUUCGGUGUCGAAGAUUAUAUCGAAACUGGAGGAAAUUGCUGAGCUUGUUAGAUUUACAGUGAGGAAGAAAGAUUGCAGGGUGAGCUUGGAGGGUUCUAGAGAAGGGGUGAAGGGGAAAUUGACAAUUGCUGUGGAGGUUUUUGAGCUGACACAUUCGUUGGUGGUGGCGGAGGUGAAGAGAAAAGCAGGGGAUAAAACAGAGUAUGAGGAGUUUCUUAACUCUGAAUUGAAGCCUGCAUUGCAGGGUUUGAUGAUGGAGGAAACUGCAACUUCUAGUUCAUUUAGUUCUGCACCUGCUGAACCUGAACCUUCUCAACAACGUUCACUUUCUGAUUCUGCUAUUGACAUACCUUCAGAUGCUGAAUCUUUGCAGUGAAAUACCUGAAAAAAUGACAGAGAAUAAGAGACAAGAGUAUCACAUUCUUUUUUUGUUCUGUUUUUUCUAUUUGUAGGUUCUCUAUGGGGUUUCUAUUUCUAUCUUUCUUUUGUUUUUUACCUAGGACUGUUCUGUUUUUUCUAAUAUAUGCAAUUGUACUUCUAUGAUCCAAAUGCUGUAAGAAGAAGACUAAUUUAAUUAAAAUGGAAUAAAUUUGCACACAUGUCUUGGCACAUUGCUGUGUUACUAUUUUUUACAUAUUUUCAUUCUGGAUUGCAAGUAGUGAGAAAAUAAUUUUAUGGCGUCAGAUCUUUGUUUUAAGAGGGUUUGUUUUGAAAUUGAUUUUCUUUGGUUGUUUAAGUCUUGGAAGUGCUUUUCUAGGGUAAUUCUUAUUUUGCGUUGGUUGUUGGCGGCGGUAGAGACUUAGCUUCUAGUUUUGAUGUUUUUGAGUUUUUGUUUCUUCAUCAUGUUUGUAAUUUUGUUGUUGAUUUCUUACCUAGCUUUCUUUUCAAUCGAAUAAUGUAGUUUGAAUUGAGGAAGUUCCUCCAGAACUCUCUUCUUUGAUUCAUCGUGAUGCAUUGGCUUCUAUGCCUGUUUCUUCUUAAUAAAUGAUGUAGGUUUCGAGAAAAAAAAAACCAUAUAGCAAUUACUUUUGAUUAAUUCAUGAGGAUUUCAAUGACUUUAGUCCUCAACUGGUUCCUAUUACCUAUAUGCAUAAGCAAGCCAUUCUAGGAGAAACUUAGUGCAUGUUUAUAUAAAAGUUGAGUACAAUUAGAACAAGUUUUUAUCCUAAGCCCUAAAAAGAGUUGGAUUCACUCUGUAUCUCAAAAUUAAAAGUGAGAGGCAAAGAUAGAUUAAUAUUCCAUGCCCUUCUAAAUUGGUCUGAAAAUGUGAGGAUUUAUUUCCGAGCAUUCAUCGUGGCACAACUACAACCUGUUAGUAUCAGAAAUUAGAUGCUUCUUCUGAAUCUUCUCCAACCAGUUACAGAUUGUAAAGGGUAACAAAUACAUUUCUCUAGCGUGAUGCCUAGGGCUGCUGAUUCACGAGUAUGUUUUCCAUAUUUCACUUUGACAUAUUCCAAAGCAAGGACUAAUCAACCCAAGCAGUAUAUAAGAUAAGUCAACAAGAACAUUGGUUGACGAUAAUAAUCACAUGUGAUCUCAAUAUUGAAGGCUAUAUAGUGUCAAUUAGCAAAAGAAAUAAUAAACACUAAUGUUUUACUCACAUCCUACCUCUACUUCUAAGUUCUAAGUGUUUAAGGAUAUAAGCAAUUCAUACCAAGCUUCUCAAAGGAGAAGCUAGCACUACCAUAUGUUAGAUAAAAUACCUGAUAUCCACUAAUUAUAAAGCCCCGAGCAUGCAAUAUUGAAAAGGUCAUUCAUAGGUUGUAAUGUGCCCAAGAGAAAAAGAUAACAUUUCUUGUGGCAAACUAGAGCCUUUUUUUUCAUAUUGAUUUCUCAAACUCCAUGUGAUUAAGGUGAUUUUUCUUAACUUUUGUCAUAACAUCUAAAAUGAAUUUAUAUAUUUCAAAAUAAGAAAUCAUCCCAUGCAAGGAUCAAAAUAAAAGAUACCUAAUAGAUAUAUUGCAUACUAAUGGAUAAACACACGAUGACAAAUUAUGUUUCAUUCCUAUGAACGAUAAUGGAGCAUUUUAUCUCACAUAGAAAAUGAGUUGAGUAAUGAAGAAACUUAUGAAUUGUAAUAUCUGAAAAAUUCAUCCAGAUUCAUGCAAUUAAAAAUAUCAAGACUAAUAAUGAAUAAAAAAAUGAAGUGGAAAAAAUGGAAUAAUACAUGUGGUGCAGACGUGAAGGCAUGUUAAUGGUAUGAGAGAUUGACUCAGCAGAAACAAAUGGCGCGUCCUAGUUACUACAACGAAUUAUAGAAAACAUAUUCGGAAAAAUUAAAGUUUCUGUUGUUGUGAGAGCGGAAAAUGUGGGUGUGUGAUGAUGACAGAGAAAGUGAGACAAGAGAGAAAACAACCCAACAUUCUGAGACAGAGAGAGGAAGAGAGAGAGAGAGGGGAAGGGGAAAGAGAAAGGAAAAAACAGAGAGAAAAAGAGACCUGAAUCUGAUGAAGAUGAUCGAAGGGAGAUUCCUCUAAGAUCAUCCUGAAAAAGGCAGCAAUUCACGUAAAGAAUAAAAGGCUUCAAAGAAAUUAUACCAAACAGUUUCUUUCUUUGAACAUUUUGCUGCUUUUUUCUGAUUCCGGGUCUCAAUUUUUACCCCUUCCCCCCCCCCCCCCCCCACUGCAUUGCAUCAUCAUCAUCAUCAUUGCCCAUUGUUGAUUGUUACAGUUUCAACAAAAGGACCAUUUGCAUGGUAAUUCAAUGCUUUCUCACCUUUUUGCACCUUUUUACCCUCAAAUAUAUGCUUAUUAUAUAUAUAUAAUAUAUACAUAGAAAGUUUGCUUGCUAAUGGGGUUAUUCCUUGUUUCUUCAUUCUUAUGGUUUUGGUUGGUUUUCAACUUUCAUUGAUUUUGAAUUUGAUGAUUGGUUUUCUGUGUGGAAUAUUUUGUUUCAGCUCCCCCACAUUGCUGGGAAUCAUUUGACAGGAAGAUAUUGAGCUUAGUUAUGUCUUUGUGGAGCAAAAGGUUGUAAUGAAGAGAUUAAAUUAUACAAAAAUGAGGGACCCUAAUGUGAUCUUUGGACCUAAGAGCUACAAAUAUUUUUGCUUUCCACUGUAGCAUCCAAGUUUAGCCUCGGUUGUGCAUUUCUGCAGCUGCUAAAGACAUAUCAUACUGAUACAGCUUAAAGAGAUAUAGAUUGUCUCUAACAAGGUGACACUCACUGCCUUCAAACUACUAUGGAAAGUAAGUGGGAUCCGUUUGGAAUAUGGCUCAGAGUUUAUGUUGGAUUGAUUUCUCUUUCAGGAAUUCGACAGUGUUGGUCUCUGAAUGAUGAAGGUGAUUUUCAUGGAUUGCCCCUUUCAUUUACUCACCCUUUGCAGUGAAUAAUUAUGGAAUGCAUUUCUUGUAUCUUGAUGUGUGGUUUUUUUGCUGUUGCAUGUGGAAUGGAACUUGCAGGAUUGGCUUUGUUGGAAUUUCGGUCAAGGAUAACUUCUGAUCCUUAUGGUGCUCUGGCAAAUUGGAAUCCAAAUGAUUGCAACCCUUGCAAGUGGUUGGGUGUUCUUUGUGUUGAUGGUAAAGUGCAAAUGCUGUAAGUUUCUUUGCUUUCCUCCUUUUAAGUUUUCCACUAAGACAAUAUAUAUUCAUCUGAAGACAGUGCUGAUUUGCUUAUAAGAUUUUGUGUCUUACUGCUACUUCUUGUAGAGACUUAACUGGGCUAUCAUUGGAAGGAACAUUGACUCCUCAUCUUGGGAAACUUAAUCACCUAAAAUAUCUGUAAGGAUUCUUCUCAAUGUUCCUGUGCCUCCCCCAACCCUCCAAACAAAAAAAAGAUAUUCUUUAUCUACCUUUAUGUCCAAAGUAAAACACCUUAUGGUGAAGCUUAUAAACUAACUGUCCUAAUUGGAAAAUAGUUUAAAGUUGAAACAUGAAAAGCUCUGAUUGAAUUCUUUGUCAUAUUGAAACAAAAAAAGCAGUUUAGUUGAAUUAUAAUAGUAAUUUAUAUUCCAUUACAUUUCUAAUUCAGAUAUGCUCCCAUUUAUUACUGUGAAAUAGUGUGUUAUGCAAGAACAAUUUUGUGGGCAACAUUCCCAAAGAACUUGGAGACCUGGACAAGCUUGAGCUAUUGGAUUUAAGGGAAAAUAACUUGACUGGAAGUGUCCCUGGAGAAAUCAGAAGGAAAAUAUUGUUGAAACAAUUGUAAGUUAGGCCUAUAUUAAUUUUUGUAUUUUGUUAGGCUUCGGGGUUUAUAUUCAGUGAAAUAUUGUUUUAACUCAGGUUGGUUCGUAACAAUAAAAUUGAAGGCAGUGUUCCCCAAGAACCCGGAAAUAUCAGAUUGCCCUCCAAAUCUCUAUUUGUUGACAAUUAUUCAUCACCUCUAGCAAGUUUAUUUCUCCGCAAGAAUCGAAAGUUUGCUCACUAGUAAGCACAUCUUUAUAUUCCCCCCUGGCUGUGUGGCUGUAUCAAACUUGUAACUUGUAAUGGCAUCAUCCACUGGGAUUGUCUUAAUUUCUUGUAUCUUUUAUGGUUUACAAUAGUGAUUGAGUUUCCAAUUUUUGACCUUUUGAUCCAUGGUGUGAACAGUGUGUGGUAUAGUGGUUUCAAGCAAUGGAACAAGAUAGAUUCAUUGGCUAUUCCAAUUAAAGGAGCAGUUAUAAAAUACCUCAACGCCUUGGCACUGCCACUGUGUGUAUAUAACUUUCUGCCCCAUCUCAAUCUUAAUAUGUAAAUAUGUUUUGUUUGCUUGUUGUGUUUAACUGACUAAAAUUUUCUGCUUCUAUUUGAAGGUUCAAGCGAGGACAGGCUACAUAUGAAGAGAAUUUGUAUGACAAUCUGCCUAGUGAGUGGAGAACCUUGAUUGAUUUUGCGGUCUGAGAAAUUGAAAAAUAUGCUUUUAAUUGACUUUCAAAACAUCCCUUGAAUCUUGUAGGUUCUGAAAAGUCAGAGAUUGUCCCCAACAUAUCAAAUCUAGUCAAUUCUGCACGUCGUAAGUUACUCGACCAGUCCAGUAACCUUGCUGCUGCACCUUAUACCGGUGGGCCUGCAGUACCGAUAAGUGCUGUUCCAGUUACCCUGAGUAGUGGAGCUUUCCCAGCUGUGCCAGAUGCCAGUAAGAAACAAAUUGAGUCACCUGCAUCACUGCCUCCACCUUCUCAUUCUCCACAUGAUACUUUUAAUCAGAGAAGUCAACAAAAUUCAGCUAAUGGUGCACCAGGAGAGUUAUGGAAGUAUAUUAUUAUUAUCUCUGGUGUGUUAUUGUUAAUCAUUGUUAUUGUGGUCAUACUUUGCGUUUGGAGAAAACGAGCAAAAGUAAUAAAGCCUUGGAAGACAGGAAUCAGUGGGCAGCUGCAGAAAGCGUUUGUAACAGGUAAUAUUCCAAUAAGUGAAUCAAAACUACAUGCUGAGUUGAAGAUUUGAUUUGAAAAAAGUGGACCUGCUAUUGAACAUUUAUGUCCUGUCUAUUGAACUUAUUAGCUGAUGUAUAUUUUGUUCAAAGAUAUAAAAUGAAAGUCUGUGUUAAACAUACACUCAGUUUUUAACUGAAAUGUGUUUAUGCUACUUAGAAUUUGGAAGAUUAGUUCUUAGUUUACAUUCUUCAAACAUGUUUGUAAGGGAAUAUUUAAUUUGUUGAGCAUAACAAAAAAACUAUUCGAGUUUAGAGCAUCAUUAGCCUCAUUUGGAAGAGCAUAUUUGAGCUUCUUUUAGUAUUAACGUUUUAUGUAAUUGUUUGGAAGAGCUUAUGUAAAUAGCUUAUGACUUAUCCAUAAUCUGUUUUGAGCUUAUUUUCAUAAGCUCCUUAAAUUAGCUUAUCAGUUAGCGCUUAUACCUACCUAAAACCUAUUUUUAGCUUAUUUCAAUAAGCUUCUCAAAUUAGCCUAUGAAUAAGCGCUUAUGCGAUGAGCACGCCAUAAGUGCUUGUUCAAGCUGAUUAGCCAAACACACCCUUGAGAUUUCUGAAAAAAAGAAAUUGAUUGAAAUAAAAUAUUGAUUAAAAGAAAUCAACAGAAUUCCCAUUUUCUUACUGAUUUUUAAAUGCCUUAGUAUUGACCUCCCUCAUUUAUGUUCUUUAGCCUAUAAGAAUGUCAUUGAUUACUUGCAGAAUCAUACCAUAAAUCCAUAAAUCAAUUAUGUCUAAACUCUCUUCUUUAAGUUAUUAUCUCAGUCAAUCACUUUCAUCUAAUGCCACAUGUAUGCUUACUUCAGUUAGAAAUUCCUAUUAACUGCUAUCUGGGCUUGUAUGAAAUCUAGGGGUUCCCAAGUUGAACCGAGCUGAGUUGGAGACAGCCUGCGAAGAUUUCAGCAAUAUCAUUAAUAGUUCUGAUGAAUAUACCAUAUACAAAGGAACACUUUCCAGUGGAGUAGAGAUUGCUGUUGAUUCUACUACCGUUACUUCUUCACAGGAUUGGUCAAAGAACAUGGAGAAGGCCUAUCGGAAAAAGGUGUUCUGCUUCUUAAGUCAAUAUUAAAUUAAGAGUCCCAAUUCGAGGAACUCAAAGUUCUAAAACUUAACUGUUGCUAAUGUUGUUUCUUACAUACUUCAGAUUGCUACUCUGUCACGUGUUAACCAUAAGAACUUUAUCAAUCUUAUUGGGUACUGUGACGAAGAAGAACCAUUCACGAGGAUGAUGGUGUUUGAGUAUGCUCCAAAUGGAAGCUUAUUUGAGCACCUUCAUGGUAACACACUUCAUUUAAUUUAUUACUUUGCACAUAGCUGAUCUGAGUCAAUCAAAGGCUCAAGUUUUCUGUACAAAAAAAAAGAGGCUUCAGUUCUGAAUUUUGUUUUCUUUUCAGUCAAGGAAGUUGAGCAUCUUGAUUGGACUGCAAGAAUGAGGAUUAUUAUGGGCAUGGCUUAUUGUCUUCAGUACAUGCAUCAUGAUCUGAAUCCACCAGUAUCUCAUUCAAACCUUAAUGCAGUUUCUGUAUUAUUAACUGAUGACUUUGCUGCCAAGGUAUGCAGUGCACAUAUCUAUUCUCUUUUGUUUGCUUUUAUUAUGUAUCAGGCACCAUGUGAUAUAUCUCAAUUCUUUUGCACUCUCAGAUUUCAGAGAUCAGUUUCAGCACUGAUUUAUUAUCACCAGUCAACACACCUGAGGACGAAUCAAAGAAAUCCGAGCUGCCGCCCCAAUCCGAUCCUGAUACCGAUGUCUAUAACUUCGGAACACUGUUACUUGAAAUCAUUUCUGCAAAACUACCUUACUCUGAAGAACAAGGCCACCUAGUGAAAUGGGUAUGUUUGAAAUUUGCAUCCCAUCCCCCUCUUGUCCCCGAUCAAGAUACUCUCAAUUGUAAAAAAAAAAUUGAUCAUGUCAGCUUUCACUAUCUUACCAUUGAUUUGAUUUUCUUUUAUUUCUUUAAUUAUUAAACACAUCAAUAUCAGUGGUGAGAUGGUGAAACUUCACAUGAUCAAGUUUUUUUACAAUUAAGAGGAUCUCUUUCCCUCUUGCUCUUGGGUUACUUUGUGUCCCAUCCGCCUCUGACCGGUUCAAUAGCACCGGUUUUGACCCUCGAUUUGACUGGUUCUGAGGUCUACUGUUUUUCCCUUCAAAUGGACCGAUCACUUGACCGAUUACCGAUUCAACCAGUCGGAUCGGCUGGUCCGGUCUGGUUUUCAAAACAUUGAUUUUAACUAUAACUUUAUUGUUGCAUGCCUCAUAAUGAACAAUUCCUCAUCUACUUCAUAGGCUGCUGAGUACCUGAAUGAUAAGAGAAGCAUCGGCUAUCUAAUUGAUCCAACACUGCAGUCCUUCAAAGACAAUGAACUUGAUGUCAUCUGUGAGGUGAUCCAAGAUUGUCUUCAACCUGACCCAAGGUUAAGACCAACAAUGAAGGACAUAACUUCCAAAUUGAGGGAAGUGCUUUGUAUAUCACCUGAGCAAGCAGUUCCAAGGCUUUCUCCACUCUGGUGGGCUGAACUGGAGAUCCUUUCAGGGGAAGCCACUUAAGUUCUAUGUGACUCUUCUUUUAUGUGUUGUAACUUGUAAGUCAAGCCUCUCUCUAACAUAUGUCAAGGUGGCAGAGUAUUAUAUCUUUCUGAUAAUGCUGUGUGGUAUUUGCUACUCAAAUUCUUUACUUCUUUGAUUCUAUUUGUUCUUUUGUGUGAUUAAUACCAUAGGUAUUCUUGUCCCAGUGGAAGAUUGUUAUCAUUUUGCAAGUUGGGGUGUAUUGUAAAUUGUACUUUUGUUGAUGAUGCUUGGGAUGUAAAAUAUCUUCACAUAUUAUUAUUACUGCUAUACUUGUCCCAUAUAACAUGCAACUUAUAUACAGGUCUAUUCAAUUAUCAAUGAAACUAGACAAUCUAUUGUGUUUUCUUUUCUUUUUCAAACCACAAUAAAAGAACAUCUAUUUAAAAUAAUAAUAGUCUUUUAUUGAGUUUUAUUCUGUGCAUAUUAGCAAAAUUGUCCCAUUAUCAAUUAUAAGGCUAAUAUAUUUGAGCAAUGUAAAUUGUAAAGGGUGACAAACUAUUUGAAACCAUUGAGCGAUUUGGAUAAUUUUGACCUAGAAAACAACCAAUAUAGAAAUUAGAAAAGGGAGACAUAAAAAACAACCAAUAUAGAAAAUAGAAAAGGGAGACAUAAAAAACAAUCAGGUUAAGUUUUAAAACAUGUAGUUUAGUCUUAAAUAAUUUAAAAACAACCAAUAAAGAAAAGGGAGACAUAAAAAAGUUUUCAUAAAUAGCUCCUAAAAAUUGGUUACAGUUACCAUCAAGACCAACAAUUGAAUUAAGCAGAGCUCUUGUUGUUCUGGACCACAAAAAGGAACGACCAAUGAAAUAGGUGAAGGAUGAGUUACAAACUUACAAUAUUAGUUCAACCACAACUCCACAAGCCUGCAUUGCAUCAAAUCAAAGAAUUAGAUGCUCAAGAAAUCAGAGAUUUGUGCUGAUAUGUACAUACUGUUACACAUUGGCGUGCAUUUUCUAACAAUUUGAAUUUAGAAAGAAAUUUAUUCAUGAGCUAAACAAAAAACUUAGACUUGUUUUCGGCCAAAUUCUGAUAACCGGCACAGGAUCCAAGGGCCUAAGAUGAGACGUCAACAUUGGGCUGAGUUCGGACCUAAUACUUCAAGGCCCAAAUUUGAAUUCAAGUUGCUAAAAAAAAAUUGAAAUCAUACGACAACAUUGAUUUCUCAACAAAAAAAAUCAACGAUUCUAAUAACUCAAUUUACAUUGUGAAGUGACUUCCUCACUUUAAAAAAGUUAAAUCUCUAAGAUCUACGAAUAGUUAACGUAAUUAAUGGAUUAAAAUAAAAAAUUUAGGUAGACACUUUAUUUGCUAUAGUCUUCCUCAUGUGUUCUCUUGAUAUUCUCUUAAAAUGUCUUCUACAUGCACCCCAGUCGAGAUUUGCCUUACACUUUAGAUCCACUUUGCAUUGUCAUGCUCUGCCUUGCUUUGUCCUGCUAUGUCUUGCCAAACUUUGGUUAAUAUGAGCAUUUGGAUUGAUUUAAAUAAUGGUUUGUUAUAAUAUUAGAGUGAAUAGCUGAGCAAAAUUCAUCUUUUAAGGUAAUUGUCUUUCGCGUCAUGAAACACAAUUGCUUCCUAUUUUUCUCCUUCUUGUGUUUCGUAGAAGUUCACGCAACCAUAUACAUAAAUUCUCUUAGGUCCAUUAGUAUCUUAGAAAUGCUCGUAGGCCACAGAGUGUGCAAUCAGAGCUUGUUUAGUUAGAUUAUAGAUGCACUAUUUUCAGCCUCUAUCGAUAAAUAGUUGCAUUUGGCAAUGCUAUCUUAUUAUCUUAUUACUCUUUACAAAUUUUAGUCAAGGAGUAGGUCGAACACACGUCACUUACAAAGUUCAAAUUCAAUUAUUGUAGCUAGCAGUUUCCCUUUACAUGUGAAUGCAAGUGUAUCAAUGUAAAUUCUCACUAGAUUUGAGUAAAUAUCUCAACCUUGAAAGAGAUAUUCUUUCUUAAUGUUUUAAAAUUCAGAUCAUAUAUUGAUAUAGUGAAAUUUCUAAGUCAAUAGUUUGAUUCAUGAUUAGUUAAUUACAAUUGAAUUGUAGUUGAUCGAGUUAGAUGAUCUUGAAAUUAACUUCAAAUCAAUGCAUAUAGUCUAUCAAUAUUUUAAUUAUUUCAUCCGCACGAUUACAUCUUCUUUUUUUUUUUUUAAAAAAAAUUGUCCAUUGUUUCAAAGUCUUUCAAAAUUCUGAUAGAAUGUGAAUGUUAGAAAAAACACGUCUAAGAUGAUUUUUAAAUCAUUAGAUAUAUUAUAUAAAGAUAAUGUCUUUUUAAUAAAUUAUUAUAUUGGUUUUGUGUUCCUGUUGAAAGAAAAAAUUCUCGCUGAAUAUACAACAUACUUAUCGUAAGGUUUUUGGGCCAUAUCCAAUUAUCCAUCAUUGCCCAAUACUCUCCCACACCUAUAUACAACAUUACAACUAUUUUGGCUUUGCGCUUUUACAACCUAUUAAGCGGUAUCAAAGCCGAAAUAACCUCACAACAAGAUAGAAAAAAGCCUAAGAAAGAAGAGAAAUGAAAAGAAGACAGAGAAAAAUAAAAUGAGUUCAAAAAAAAAAACUAUCAACUAAAAUCAAAUCAUGGAUUUAUGAAACUCAAGUUAAGAUAGAGUGAAUACAAUCUCACUCACAAAUGACAUCUGAUAUUCUGCUUGAGUAGACAAGCCUAACUCGACCAAUCCAGUUUGACUUGAGAGAGAGUGCUGAAACAAAAACAUGUCCCACAUGUAAUAAUAUACUAAGGGGCAUUUUCUCUGGUACAAGCAAAAAAAUUCUGGGUCAAAUACAUGAGUGACAUGUACCAAUAGGAAAAUUACACCUGGAUUAUUUAAUAAUAAUAUCAUGGACUUCUUUAAACUCUAAAUCAACCCUAUAGAUUUAUUGUAAUUAUAUACUAACCCCAGAACCUUAUUGCACACCUCUUCCACUCUCUUCUCCUCCUAGCACCUCCCUUCGAACUCCGGCUACCGACCAACCUCCGGACGUCUUCAUCUCCGUCCAACCACCGCGGCGGCGGAGGGUUAGAAUGUUACAAAAAAUUGCAGAACAGAUCUAAGAAGCCACUCAGGCCUCAGCAUCGCCACUGCCACCGCGGCGGUGGAAUCCGACCCAGAUAAAACGGGUUGUAAGAGAGAUUCAGCAUUUUCAAGGUGGUUAAGAUCCGAGUGAAGGAGGAAUGGUACCUUUUAGAAGGUUUGAGAGUAAGGACAGGACCUCGAUGCUCUGGAACGUUUGGUUGAUGGAGGUGAGGUUAGGGAGGCGGCAGAGGAUCGACGCAAUGAAUGGGCUAGCGAUGUUGGUGUCGGAGAGGUCGACCGCCGUGGCGGAGUCACAUUUGACGCCGUACCAGUUGUUGUUGCAAGGGAUGGUGUCUCGUUAAUUCUUCCAUGCCAGAAAUUUCAGAAAUCUCCUUCAAGGUUGACAUGGCAAAUCUCCCUCUCUGUGUGAAAAAGGGAUUAAAGUAUUGUACGGUGAUGAAGAGGUGGUUUGGCUGGAAUUUGAUUCUUAGUAUUUGGUUAUGGGUGGUUUGGGGAUUACUGUUGAUGAUGGAUUGGGGGUGGAUGGGUCCGGGAAUUGGGAAUCACUGUGUUUUACAUACAUAAUUAUUAAAAAGGGUGAUGACAUAUUUAGUAAGCUAAAAUUUAGGUGGGUGAUAACGUAAAUAGUGUAAAAAAAUCUAGUCAUCACUCGUUAUAUUACAUGUUUAUGUAUUACUGGUACACCUCACUCCUGUAGCCUACACUCAUCUGAAUUUAUGAGUAUCCAAGCUUGCACCAUACUAAGGGGAGUACACAUGUCUAUAACUUUAAAUGUUCUAAAUCCAAUUGCCUUAAUGUUUUUGGGACCAGACACACAACACUCAUCGUCUAGCCCAAAGCGAAAAUUUUGGGCUAGCACUUCCAAAUUCAUCAAUCAUGUACUCUUUUUGUAAAGAAUUUAUGUGAAAAUGUUUGACCCUCGCUAAUGAACUAUCAAGUAUAGAGUACAACUAAUAGCUAUGAGAUUAAUUCUUCGUUUCACGUUUAGUGCACUUAGCGGUAAAAGGUUGACUAGUGAAUUUUUUCUAUUCAUAAGAGUUGAGAUUUGAACGCACAACAAACUUACUUCAGGAACGAAGUGCUGAACCAUUACGACAAUCCAGUUGGUUAAAAGGAUGUUUAUGUCAAUUUAAUAUUUUUUUAAAAAAUAUCUUUGUUAUAAUGGCUAAAUCAAGUGCCAAUAACUCACGUUUUUAAUGAAAAUUAUUGAGGGGCCAUCGUAGUUGAAGUUAAUGCCAACAACUAUGGUUGGGUCUAUUUAAAGUUUAAACACUUUUUUAAGAAAUAAGUUAUAAAAAAUAGAUACAUUUAGAACCUUAUAAAAGUAUUAACGUUAUUUAGUAUUUCUUCGAUACAUCGGAAAACUAGCAAACUAACAAAUUUAACGUAAAAAGAAUAGAUUAUUUAAUAUUGAAGAACUAGUGAGAAUAAUAUAAAAUUAUUAAAAGGACUUCAUAAUAAUGAUUGAUGAGUAUUUUUUUGGUAUAAUGACAGUACUUUAAGAGUAUUGGUUUAAAAACUAAAAAUUAAAAAAAAAAGGCAUCAAACAUAUAUAUGAAAUGUAUAUUUGAAUUAACGUACUUUAAAAGUUUUGUUUUUUCAAAAUUAAUCCUAAACCAAACAUGCGUUAAAAAUUGAAAAAAGUUAAUUUUUACUAUUUAUCUUUUUUUUUGUAACAAGCAUCACAUUUGAUACUAAUAAAACCUAAUUUAAAACAAAUUUUCUAAUAAGAGUUUUAAGAAAAAAUGGAAUAUUUAAUUAAUUUUAUUAUGAAUUAAUAGGAGUAACUUUUAAUUUGAAAUUCUAAGUUCCGUACAAUUUGGUUUCCCAAUUCCUCAGUAUAAUAAUGACAUUAUUUCAGUCGUACAUUCAUUCUUCAGUCAACAUAUGGACUAUGAUUAUCAACAUCAAUACUCUACAACUCUCCAAUGAAACAUCCUAAAAGUACGUCCAAACAGUAUGAAAUUAAACUAAUCCCAUAUGAUAAUGAUGAUAAUGAUAUAUCUCUCACUCAUUGUAUAUAAUAAUUAUGCGAAUAGUAUAAUUUCUGUCCCAAAGAUUUAAGUAAAAUUAAGCAGAUAAUACCCUUGGCAAAUUGAUAUAUAAAAAACACACUUCCUGUGUGCUUGUUAUAAGACAUGAUUCUCCUUUAUGGGUCAUUAGUCAAGUAAUGCUUAAUGUUGCAGUAUUUUAUAGUUAUAGAUCGCUAGGUGUAUGUAUAUAUGUCAGAUUGUCAGUAAUGUAAUGCUAUAUACUAUAUAGGUUGGACGUCGUCGUCAUUCAUGAAAUAAUAAAAAAGAAGCCUAAUUCUUUGAAAGAUUCUUUGGAGUUUAACAUAUUGUGAGAUGUCAACUCUAAUGCAUAUGUCAGGACAAAAUCCACUCCAUAUGUUUAUAGAUUUUAUAAUCUCCAUUUGAUAGGCACCACUGUUUUUCAUUAUUUUUCACGUUAUUUUGUCUAUGCCAAAUUAUAAAAGAUAUACGGAAAAUUCUAUUAGUAGUGCACUAAUACUGGUUUGUAAUUUGUUAAGUUUGGUCCUUAUCAUAGAGUUGUGAACUUAGCUAGAUAUGGAGUGGUCGUCUAUAAAUAUUGAUAAUACUGGGAGAGUUUUGGGUCUUGGAAUAAUAAAAUUCAAAUUAGUGGCUCUUGGUUAAAAUGUCAUGGCCUCCUCGUUGGUGCAACCUACGACCGCUGCCACGACCUCCUUGGUAAGUAUGGUCUAAAGAAAAUUCCAAACGCUCUGUAUUUGGGGUUGGGGGAUUCAUGUCUCCCCAUUUUAAUUGUGAUAUCUCUUUUAAUUGCAUAAAAAAAUUCUUAACAAAGAAUAUUCAAAUGUUGUAUUUGUUACCUCAAAUUUUCACAUUUCUUACUAUUCUUGUUCUAUUCAUUGAGUUCAUUACAAAACUUCAAUUUAAAUCAUAAGUAUUAUCGCUACAAGAAAUGCAAUCAAUAGUGUCGGCUUUUAACUAAGGUCGCUAAUGUACUAAUUAAAAGCCGACACAAAUGAUUAUUUAGCGCCCAUUUUGUGUUGGGGUUGUGGCCAAGUGUAAUUUAAUUUGUUGUAAACUAAAUAGCUAACGCAUCGACUAAAAGCCAACUAUAUGCUAGUCUCGGUUAAAAUAAGUUCACGCUAAUGCGACAAACUCAAUUGAAUAAGAUUGACGCUAAACUGAUUCAAUUAGUUCAUUGGCGCUAAAUAAACAAAAUUUAAUGUUGAGAUUAUGGAUGUAAGUUAUGGGCCGCACACAUUGGCUUCACCGACUCUAAGAUUUAAAUUUUGUAUUGAUGAGUGAACUUAGCCAAACAUCUAUAAGUCAUAUUUCGUGGCUUUGUGUUGGCGUCAAAACCGGCCCUAUUCGUUAUAGUUAAAAACAAACUUUCUUAGUGCAUUACACAAGUUAUAAAUCAAAUUUCAUUUACAAUCGGUACAAGUUAGACAACCUACAUGUAUAUGCAAUCACUUCAUCUCUCACACUCACACUAUCACUAUAUAUGAGCACUGAGCAGAAAUUUGCACAUGCCACGCAAAACGAGCUUUGCUUUGGAGUAUAGCCAACCUACAUGUAUAUAAAUAUAAUUUCUGUGUUGAUUCCAAUUGCUGUCCCAAUCUAUAAGGAGCAGACUCUCUUUGUCCGAUAUGGGACAAAACCAACCCAAAUUCCUCCUUGAGUGUUGUCUUGGAAAGUAAAACCAUUUCGUAUGAUCAGCACAUAUUAUGGGAGAGACAUGUUUUCCUUGUUUGGUUUCUCCACAUUCAGACACCGCCACAUUCCCCAUUGUCACAAAACAUCAAAACUGGUGUCUCUCCCUAGCUUAAUUGGUUUUUCCAUAUUGAACUUUGAUGCACAAUUAAUACUAUAAUAUAUCCACUCACAUGGAGCACAUGAUAUGUGUAUAAUAGCUGGGAUCAACACAACAACAACAACAACAUCGUAAUAGUUACAAUUUCACACUAGCUUCCAAAAAGACUAUUAAUUGCUCGUCAGAAGAUAGAUAAACCAGAAUUGGCAAUGGUACUUUAUCAAGAGUUGUGGUGAUCAUGGGUUGUGACAACCUGAAAAUUGUAGCACUUUUCAACAUUCAACAAAAAACCUCGAGUAGGAAAGAAUGGUAAUAAUAGUAACAACAGGGCUUGACAAAGACAAGUUCAACCACAUAUAUAUACUUUAUAUGGUUGAGGUUAAUUAUUCAACAAAUUAAAAGAGUUGGGUGCAUCGGAAGUCAAUAAAGUUGAUAUAAAUUUCAACUUCCCUUUCUUUCAUUUUAGAUUUCCUUGAGUAAAAGCUUAAAUUGUCAAACUUUUUGAUAAACAAUCUCUCCUUCUAAAAGUCAUGAUUCCAUUUACCAUAAAAACUUGCAUAGAUUAACUAACACAAUGUUAUUUUAGUUUAAGUAGAUAUAUCAAGUUUAAAAUUCUUAUAAAUUAAGUUACGUUAAAUAUUUUAUAGAAAGAACUUUUUUUUAUCAGCAAAUGAAUUAAUGUAAUAAAGGGAAGUAUAAGAGGUACUUCAAUGAGUUCAAUCUCAUUUACAAGAAAUUGCCUUUAGUGCGGUACUAUCAAAUUCAUACAAAAAUUAUCUGAAUCGAGGAUAAAUUAAGUUCAAACCAAAAAGUAAUGGUAGAUCUAUUUUCAGUAAUAACAUGUUUAGGUCAAAAAGUGAAAUCUAAGUUAGUAUAUAGAUAUAAGUGAUCCUAGGCCUAUUGCUAAAAGUUCAGUAAUCCUUUGUUUAUUUUAAUCACAAUACAAAUGUACCUACUUCAAUAAUGUGCCCAAAAAAGUGAAAAACACACCUAGCUAUAUAUAGUCUUUAAUUUUCUUUUCCUUCCACACGCUUGGAUGUCUACAAAAGUUGGAGUCAACAUUCCGGUCAUAUCCUCAUGCAUGCAUGCAAUUAGAAAUUUAAGUAAAUUAUACAAUUUGUCAAAUGUGCAAUUAAGAAAUGAAAAUUUGCAAUCAAUUAAAAUUGACAUUAAUUUUCUUUUACACUACUACUGCUUGAUACCAAGGUCGUCCUAAUCGCUAAUAUUCUACAUAACAUGUAAUCAGACGUCACAAUUACAAACACAGAGAAAAGAAGCCUGUGGAAGCAUAUGGUGUUGAGAAAAGAAAAUUUUAAAAUAAUGUAGGAAAAUAGCGACUGAGAAAUUGCAGAUAGUGACAGCAAAACAGUGGUAUGUGAAAGGAGAACAAAGUCUUGGUUUAGGUUGGAAAUAAUUGGAAGGUUGACCUAGGAAUGGGGUCCACAAUAUAUACACAUGCAUCUAUGACUAUAUGUAUUGAGUUUAUGGAGCUAACUUGGUGAAUUUAACAACCAUUUAAUUAAUAUUCUCAGACUAAAAUUUAUCUACCGUGGAUCAUGCUAAAAUUUAAUCCACCCAUUAACUAUAUUUUAACAUUUAACAUUGAGUAUAUGUUAUUUAAAAUAUGUUUUUUAUGUGUUAAAAUUAAGUUAUAGAGAAGUUAUUUUAACUUGUGAGCUAAUUUUUUUUCAUUUACAGCAGACAAAGUUGUUUUGAGCAGCCCAAAUACUAUAAGGCUCAAUAUAUUGUCAUGGGCGGUUUGAACGUUUCACGGCUAUGUGAACACCAUAAUGGUCGGCCGGGACGGCCAAAGUGAAGUUCAUCCCGUUCAACAGUUAACCGAACGGAGCAAAAUCAACACAUUAACAAAACAUUUGCAACGUUAUCUUAGGGUACCCAUCGUCUCGGGAGUUGCUCAAAUGGCAUCAUUAAGGUGUAACGCCUCAAUUCUCACCAUGCCUAUGAAUAUAUAUUUAAUCGUUCAUUUACAUGAACAUUUCUUAUAUAAUUGCUAACUCAUGGUUCUUCUAAGACUUCGAACUUUUUUCUCUUUGCUUUUCGUAUUGACUUGAGCAUUAAAGUGCUUUGCAUAUAUAACUUCUUUUGUUGUGUUACUACACCUCUAUGCUAAAAUAUCCAUCCAGGGUCGUUCACUAUCACUGAAGAUUGAGAGCAACCUAGUACUCAGAUUCAAGAAGAACAAAAGCAAAAAAAAUAAAGGUGAAAGUGAGAUGGAAAAAAUAUUAGAGAUAUGAUAUGAUAAGUCUUUCUUAUACAAUAAAGGAAUAAAAUUAAAGCCUGAUAAAUAAUAUGGUUUGAAAAUGUUUGUAUCACAACAAAAAUGGGGGAAGUCUCUAGCUAGCAGAGGUCAAACAGUUAAGAUAAUCACGAGCAAGGUAGUAAGAGACAGAUACAGACUUUUACAACUGUCAAGGGAGGGAGAAGGAGGGGAGAAAAAAAGGGUCACAUGAUUUGCAACAGUACAAAAAGGGAGGGACCAGCAACAUCUGUUUCCAUUAUGCAAGUUUAUUACAAUUUAAAGACAACAAGUAAGUAGCCCUGUCCGAAUAUUGUUCAUUCUCCAUUUUCUUAAUUUGUUUUCUUCUUCUCCAUAAAGCUCCAAUUCUAAUACCUUCAACUUAUGACUCUAAUUCUGCUGCUGCUGAGUGAUGUACCAAAAAGGCAGACAAUCCAAAACAACAACCAGGUAUCAACUUCCAUCAUCAUCAUCAUCAUCAUCAUCAUCCCUCUCUCCUCUCUCUUUUCCCCCUUCCACCAGGAUCAAAGAAAAAGCAUGUGAUGAUCAGAGAUGACUGAGAUAUGUUUGGAUAUGCAGAGAGAUGAUCAAUUAGUAGGCACAUAUCAUCAUCUUAAGUGGUGGUUAGUAUAUAUGUAGUUUAGUUUUAAAAGGAGAAGAAGACACACAAACAAAGUGUUUUGAUUUCCUUGCUUUUUGUCCUGAUGAGAAAGUCAUUAAUUGUAUCAGUUUGUUUAUUAGAUAUAUCAUUCCCUAUCUUCAUGAGUUCCUUCUCAAUUCUUCUUUAUAACUACAACAUGAUUCCUUCUCAAUCUCGUUAUCUUAUGUAAGAGCUUGAAUGAAUUCCUAGACAACUUGUUACGGAUUUCUUUUUCAAUUCCUAACUUUUUCUCCAGAGAAAAUUUUCAACUACUAAUAUUUCCUUCUUAAGUGCAUGUCCCUAACCAAGAUGUGUUCUGUGCAUAAUGAUUGGCAAUGUAUUGAAUAUAUAUAUCGUCCAUAAAGUGUGCCUAUGUUAACCUUAAUUACUCUUCUUUUUGAGACUCUUCCGAGUUCAUAAAAUAGUCGUCACUGUGUUUUGCAAAUCACCUGGGUCCAAUUUUUCUGUUUCGUGUUUAGAUUGACUUCUCUUUCAUCAUAAUCAAUUCUGAAACGACUCACAGAUGCUUCUCUUCAGAAUUGAUUUUAACUUCGGAAACAAUUGUAUAAGAUUUUCCAAACAUGUACUAAUUUAUAUGAACCCUUUGGAAUUUUUAUUGUUUGAAUGGUAUGAAAACCUUAUAUUUCUUGUUAAGUUUCCAGAUUAAGAAAUGAAAAUGACCUGAAGUAAUGCACAUGUUCAUAUAAUUUGCAUCAUUUUAUAUAAUAAUAAAUAAGUCCCUCCAACCUUUAGUUAAUUCCUUUCCUCUUAUUCAGGAACGUAACUUCCGUUAGGUAAGUCUCAAAAAGUACUUCAGAGGGACAAAUUCUUUAAGUAUGUAGAUCUGAACCUGACACCCCUCAGAAAUUUUAUUCACAUGUUCAUGGUAGAGAAGUUGGUUGCAUUCUUUUUACUGAAAUUCUUUACUUUAACCUACUACUUCUAUACCAUAUGAAUUUAAUAAAUAUCCUCUACCAUAACUUCUGACAGUCAUUUUUUUUCUUCAGCAGUUAGUACUUAAACAUCCCAACAAUUACACCCCAUUUUUCUAAUUCCCUCUCUUCUUAGUAUCAUAUAUACAUUCUUUACUUCAUUAUUUUCUCUUCUUUUCUUACUUUAAGUGUCUACACUUUGCGGAUAUUCACGAAUAAUUUUCCUUAUUUCUUUGAGACAUGCAUUUAGCCAUUUACUAUUACUUUACCAUGGCCUUGUACAUUUCACUCCAUCUAGCUAAUUAAAAUAUCAUAAAGCGUAGUAAUUGUUGUAGAGAAAUCCCAGCCUGUUCUCAUCUUUAAGUCACUUUGUUGCUAAUUCUACCUUCAAUGCUUUUAAAUAUUUUCUGUUUGUUUCAGACUUGAAAUGCUAACAUAAUUGGAGCCUUUGGAGGGUGAUUUUGAUUGCUGAGCAACAACAACAAAAGAAUAUGUCAGACAGGUAUGAGAUUCAUGAUGAAAACGAGAGGAGUGAGGACCAAGGUGAUGACAAUUCAAUUGGAUCUUCUCAGAAAUUGUCAUCUUUUGACUUGAAUGAAGACGCAUGUAGUGAAGAUAACACUGAUAUUAAUGAUGAUGAGGCCUGUGAUGAUGAGAUCACAGGUGAGGAAUAUGAGAAAGGAAAGGAUGAAGGCACUUCAACCAAUAGAAGUAGCACAUCAAGAGAAGGAAAUGGAAGAAGAGGUGGUGUGAGACAAUAUGUUAGAUCAAAGAUGCCUCGCCUUCGAUGGACUCCUGAUCUUCAUCUUUCCUUUGUGCAUGCUGUUGAAAGGCUUGGUGGUCAAGAGAGUAAGUAAUUAUGUGUACCUUCUUAUGACAUUUUAAUAUCAACUUAUUUUUCAUCAGAACCAAUUUUAGCACUCAAAAAAACUACUUACAAAAGUUUCUUACCAUAAUUAAUUAUGAUUUUAGAAUCAAUUAAGAUUUUCAAACAUGCUACAAAUUAAAUAUAUAUGGUAUAUAUGUUUGUAUUCACAGUUAAACUAAUACAAAAUAGCUUCCGUUCCAUAAAAAAUACUUGUAGUAGCUUCUUCUCAUAACACUUUUUCAUUUAAAAUGGAAAGAUAUUGAUUUUUUUUCAAAGCAAAAACCAGAUUUUAUUUAGGGUUAAAAACUUUAAUUGUCCUUAAACUCUGACCAAGGUUUGAAAACCGUCCCUCGCCGGAAAAUUAUCUGAAAACCGUCCCUAAACUAUUGAAAACAAAUUUGACCCAUCCCUCCGGCCGCCAUAGCUCCGGCAAGAGCCUUUUUUUUAUUUUACCCAUCCCUGAACUUUGAGCGAAAUUUGAAAACCGUUCUUUUUUUAUUUUUAUUUUUUAAAAUUAAAAUUCCCUAAUUUCUAAGAAUUAAAUCUACCUAAUUUGAAAAUUUCCUAAUUUCUAAGAAUUAAAAUUCCCUAAUUUAAAAUCUAAACUUUGAGCAAAAUCUGAAAAUUCCCUAGUUUCUAAGAAUUAAAAUUCCAAAUUUUUUCUAACAACAACAAGAAGAAGAAGAUGUUGUUGUUGGUGGAGGAAAUGAGAUGAAGAUGAAGAUGAAGAAAGAAGAAGAAAAGAGAUAUCUGAAGGAGAGAGAACUUGGGAAUUGUGGUUAAAUUGGGAAUUCAGGCUUAGAUUAAAGGGUAUUAGAUUUAAUUCUUAGAAAUUAGGGAAUUUUAAUUUUUUUUAAAAAAAAGGGAUGGUUUUCAGAUUUCUCUCAAAGUUCAGGGAUGGGUAAAAAUAAAAAAAGGGCUUUUGCCGGAGCUAAGGCGGCCGGAGGGAUGGGUCAAAUUUUUUUUCAAUAGUUCAGGGACGGUUUUCAGAUAAUUUUCCGGCGAGGGAUGGUUUUCAGAUUUCGCUCAAAGUUCAAGGACGGUUAUAUAUUUUAACCCUUUUAUUUAUAUGAAAUAAACUUGAGAACAACCUCUCAUGACUUGAAUCAAACAUUAGACAGCAUUAUCUCCCGAAUGCUAUUGGAUUUCAAAACUCAUCCAGGUGUAGAUGAAAGAACAACCUAUGCCCUAAUUUAAAAUUUGUUUUGGUUGAACUUUUAUGCAUUUUGUUUACCUAUACCAAGAAAAAAUCUGGUUCACAAAUUAAAAGGAAAUGUGUCAAAUAACAUUAACAAAAAUUAAGCAUAUUGUAAAUAACAUAUAUUGAAUGUUAGUUGUAAAAAUAUGGUUCACAGAUUAACUAUUUUUAACAUGAUUCAUAAUAGAAUUCUCCGAACUUUUAAUUUAAUUGGUGCAGGAGCAACACCAAAGUUGGUGCUUCAGCUAAUGAAUGUGAGAGGACUCAGCAUUGCUCAUGUCAAGAGUCACUUGCAGGUAAAAUUGGGGGAUGAUAUAAUGCUCUUUGAAUUAUAUUUUUCCUUGAAUAUAUUGUUGAUGAGUAUAUUACCAAAUAAGUAAUUUUCAUAUAUAGUUAUACAAUUUUCAUUUCAGAUGUAUCGUAGCAAGAAACUUGAUGAGGCUGGGCAAGGUGAGGGCUACAUAUCCUAAAUCUUUUUCAGCGUGCUAAUGCAAAUGAAUCUUUCUGUGUACAAUAUAAGAUAGUGCGCGCAGUUUCAGUCUUUAAUUUGUGUCCUAUUAAUUUAUCCAUAUGAACUAAAAAUUACACACUACUUUGAGUGAGUGCUGUCAAUUCUAUAUUGCAAGCUCGGACUUAGGGUUAGGGUUACCUUGAGUGUUUACCCAAAACUCUUGAUUUUUGACAAUUGAUUGGUAACUACUUUGCAGUACUCAGUCAGCCAUACAGAUCAACCCAAGGAUUUGGUCGUAUUUCUCAAGCCCAUCAACCCAUGAUUCCUCAUCAACAUUUCAAGAUGGGAAACGGUGGAAUCAUUCUUGCAAGUAAUUACAAUGAGCAUAGCUAUUUCCAAGGCCUACGGCCGCAACCCUCCUCCUUAUCACAUUCAGAUUCACAUUCAAAGGCCAUCGAUUCAAGGUAAGUUAUACCUAUGCAUUUCAUCACAUACCGUAGCUAGAAUUGCCCAUUUGGAUGGUUUGGUUAACAGUGCACCAUCAAGAAUAAAAAUGUGGUUCACUUUGAAUAAUUUCAUAAUCACUUUUAUCUCUACAAAAGCUAUUUCCAAUGCUUCUGUGAGUAGUUUAUGAUGUUAGAAUAUAAUAUAAAACCAUUAAAGUGACCCUUACCCAACAGCUUAAGCUUUUGGGAUUAAGUGGUUAUUUGACAUGGUAUCAGAGCAUCUAUGGCCGAGAGGUCUAGAGUUCGAUCCUUGCUCCCCUCACUUUCUAAUUAAAAAGUGGAAUUUAAUUACCCACAUGGUAGGUGGGCCUGUGCAUUUAUCCACGCUUCAAGCCCAAAGGGCUCUUGCGUGAGGGGGCGUGUUAGAAUAUAAUAUAAAACCAUUAAAGUGACCCUUAUCCAACAGCUUAAGCUUUUGGGAUUAAGUGGUUAUUUGACAUAUGAAUGUCAGAAUUGAUUAUGAUGAAAAGAGAAACUAAUCCAAAUAUAUUAUAAGUCUAACAUAGUUUGGAAACACACAUUAAAAUCCUCAUGUUUUCCAUGCUUUUUGUUGUUAGGCAAAUAAUUUUCUAUUUUUCAUGGUUUUACAAGAAAUUUUCAAGAAAAUCAGUCUUUAGUAAUAUCCAGAUUUGCAAUAUCUCUCCCCACAGGCACCAACAAUGGUACUCUAAUCAUCAACCUUUCAGAAGGCCUAGUUUUGAAUUUGUCUCCUCAACCUCAACGGCCCUACAAACACAAGGACGAUCAAUAGCUUCAAACCAAAUUCAACUAAUGGAUACUACAAGACUUGCUCCCAUGAGACCAAGCCAAUUUCUUGAAGAGAAAAAGUGGCCUCCAUUAGAAACUAUGAACAAUCAUCAUCAUUGGAAGAAAAACUAUUCAUCACAAUCUGUUUUACAUCAAUUUGGCACCACUCCAGCAGCUCUAAAACCAGCUGAGUUGAGCAUUGGAACCAACACAAGAAUCAAGGAAUUUCUAUCAAACCCUGAUGAGCACCACAACCCUUCCAACAGUUUAAAGCUAGAAUUUAAUCCCCCAUUCCGGAUUAAGGUAACAUAUAUAAGAUCUUUAUUCUGGUCUGUAUAUUUUUUUUCUUUUUUUUCUUAAUCAUUGAUAGAUCUCUCUUGCUAUUAUAUGCAGUUGAAUCAAGAAAAGUUACAGAUAGACAAGCAAUGUGUGCCUGAUUUGCAACUGAGUUUAAGUCAGAAAAAUAGCAACAACGAUGGUGGCGAGACCGAUCAUUCCAGAGAAACGCAAGAAAUCAACACAAAACUUUCACUUUCUUAGAAUUUAGAUAGCCAUGUCAAUAAUGCAAAUACCACAAACUAGUCAAUCAUAAAGUCUGAGAGAUGAUAUAUUUUGAUUUAAACCAUAGGUAUCACGAGGCAAUCUUGUUCGAGCCGUUAUAUAAGAUUUCUAUGGGCAACAAAGUUCUCUUCCAAGUAUUUAACGCAGAUACAUUCACAAGGACUCAAACUCAAGAUAUUUGCUUAAGUUGUGCUCGUUGAUCUAUGCGUGCUUGGUGGUUGAGAGAUGAUAUAUUGACUCUGAAACAAAGUUACACAGUGACACAUGCCUCCACAUACCAAUUAUGGACUUCCCAAUACAUAGGUUUUUUCUUUCCCCUCCCCACAAAAAAAAAACCUGCAGACAAAAAAAAAGAUUUGAAGUGAGUGUGUUCAUGAUUACUAGUUAGUUUCCAAGAGAGAUUUUACUUGUGCAAGUAUUUGGUCUUACCAGUCACAAAUGUUGGGUUUUAAGAUAGUUGGCAAUUUGGGAAAAUAGUUUGAUAGAAAACUGAAGUGAGAACCGUGUAGUUUAUUGAUUUGAUUCUUGGUAUAUAAGUAGAAGCUAGCAAACUUGUAGUUUGCUGCUCACUUGAUUUCUUUGCCUAAUUGUCUAUUUAUAUGCUUGAAUCGCCUCCUAUAAUGUUUCUAGCUUUUUCUAUUUCUAAAAUUAACAUGACACAUCCUACAUCUUUCUUUCUCUCUUUUUUAACUUAUAAAUUUUCUAAAUUAUUCUGGAAAGUUGCAUCACUUUCUAUCAACAAAUUAAGUAUAUUGAAAAGUUACAAAAAGGAGAAAAAAAAACUCACUUAAGCAAAAUCACUUAAUGUGAAAAAGAACUCAUCUAUCGUGGAAGAAAAGAAUUCCCCAGGGUUUUACUCUCUUUGCUAGGGUUUGCGCAGGAGAGAGACCGGAAUAUCUCAAUGGUAAAGAAUAUGAAUGGCUAGGGUAUGGGCCUGAAGCCCCAGUUGAUCUGUGGGGGUGGAAGUUUAGCCAGCAACUCUAAUUAUUUUUUCUCUGGGCCAAUUCAUUCAAAAAUGAUUAGUGGGCUGGUCCAGGAUGCUGGGAGAGUUUUCUUUAUUGAAAAGUAUGUUGGAGAGGACAUUUUUUACAACUCUAUGCUAAGAGAAGUAAGUAGGCCCAUUCAUCAUUAAAACACCCACUCAGAGCGUGGGACUAACUACUUUAGUGUGUGUAUACAUACAAUAAGAAAAGAAAAAAUAAAGUUUGAAUAUUAACAGCAAUCAUCAAUGUCAGUUUACAUAAAAAGAGAAAAAAAAUAUGCUGAUACUUUUAAUAUUUAGCUUAGAUAAAUACUAGUUUACAGUGUACAUGUCCCUCCUCAUGAGCAAGCUGUAAGAAAUUGGGAAGAUGAUAAUAACAAAGUGAAACAAGCACAUGAGUGGUGUAUAUGUACUUCUCAGGGGGCUGCUUAUGAAUCCUGAGAUUUAUAUAUACAAGCCAGAGUUCCAUCUCUAAGAUUUUGAAUGCUGAGAUUUAUAUAUCACUAGCUCCUGUCAACAAAGAUAAUUGUAAUUUGUAAGUUUUGAUCUUUUAUAUUUGAGACCUCACCAUUGAGAGGAAAAAAAUUACCACUAAAGGGAUUGAUAAGGCUACCUGAGAACUGUGUGCAUGAUCAUGAUGCAUAUUUGAAGUUUUUACUAUUGUUUCCCACUUAGUAAAGCUUGAUGCUCUUCUAUUACCCUGUCUUUUAGCAUGGAGCGGUGUACCUUGAUUCGAAUAAGGGAAUGAAUUCUUCAAAGAAACUAAAGGCAAGGCGCGACAAAGCCAGGACUCAGAAGGUGACUUUGGCAAAGGUGGAGGAAGAGGAUGCAGAACACAGUUUGCUGAAUCAUCAACUAGCACAAUUUGCUGGUUGUUGAUUUCUGUAUGUUUGUUAAAUGAACUUUGCACAAUUUCUUGCUCAGUUUUCAACCUCUCAACUUUGUCUUCUUUGGCCAUGAGAUGUAACAUGCUAGAUAAAUUCAAAGAAUUAGCAUCCACAGAACUCAAUACUUUAGAAUCCAAUUUUUUCUCCAAGGCUUCUAGGUGUUUCAUAUCUUGGAAGGAAUCAUCUUUGGAAAUGUUGUCUUGCCCUUCCAUAGUGUCUUUCCUUUUUGUGUCAUCUAUAAAACUUGAAUUUGAGGAUGGUAAUGUUCCUGUACUUUUAGUAUCUAUGUAAAAUGCCUUUUCCAAUGUAAGGCUUCCUGAUUUUGCACCUUUUUUGGCUCCUUGUGAUGGCAAUUGCUGAAUACUUGUAUUUGAGGAAGAUUGAGGCUUACUUCUAAAAGAAGAUGUGCCAGAAGCAGCAAUAGUUCUUGAAUAACGAAAGGAAGAGAUUCUACCUACCUGCUUCAAUUCACCUGAGUAAGCAUACCUUUUUGAUUCAUUACUUCUAAAAGAAGAUAUACCAUGCAUGUCUGGUGGUGCAGCUCCAGAGCUUGAUUUGCUCUUAUGAAUAGCAUCCCAAGCCUACAUUAAAAAUUCAUGAUUGUUGGUAAAUGAGUUGAAGUUAUGAUUAGUGAAAUACUGAUUUACAAAAGGAGGGUAAGGGUACUAUCACUAAUGUUAUCUUGAUUCUUGACACCUCAUUUCCACUCACACUCAGAGUGAGAUAGAAAGAAAGAAAAGAGAGGAAAAUAAGAGAUAUGAUGAGUAAUGUGAUAGGAAAAGAACAGAGAUUGAACAAAAAAAGAUGGGAAAUAGGGAUGGAAAAAAAGUGUGUGAAUGUAUGAAAGCUAAUGUAUUGAGUAUUGAUUGUUUAAGGGCACAAUGCACUGCAAUAAUUUCAAAUUCAGAUUCUCUGCAGACCCUGCCUCUGCAGCUAAUAUAUAAAACAUCAUAACCUCUUCAAUUUAAUAAGCUGCUUUUUUUUCAAAAAUCAAGAGCCCUUAAUUGUGCAGAAGGAAGAACACUGCUGAAGAAGAUCCAAAUUGAAGAAUUUCAUGCAGAAAAAUGAGUGACAUAGUUCUUACCUUUUUUAUAGCUGGAGCUGGUCUGCUAGAGUGAAUAUGAGAAUUUUCUUUAGAUUUUCCAACUUCAUAGGAAGAAAACAUGGGGAACUGGUUCACCAUUUUUGUACCAGGAACUUGAUUCAACAGGCACAGUGAAUUCCUAAUGCAUGAUCUAGGAAACAAUCCACAACCUUUGGCUGACAUGUGUGCAUAACCUUCAGUUUCAUAUUCACUUUCUUCUUCUUCCUCUUGAUAUUGGCCAGUAUAUGGUACAAUGUCAGUGAUAUGUCUGUUAACAAAUGACUCCUUUUCCACACGAACUAAUUUGGUAAAAUCCCUUGGUUGUUCUACCAGAACAGAUUUCUUUCUUGAAACAUGUUGAGGAGGAUGCAAAGUCAUGGCAUUUGCUGCAGUUAAAAACCGGCUCAUCAUGAAGUCUUGAGCUUCUUUAUCCGUAGAAGAGGUUCCAGUUUCACACUUGUUUGCAUCUAAAUUAUCUAAGCCACUAAUUCCACUUACACUACAUUUCAUAGAAAAUGAUUCCGUAGAUGACAGUGUUUCAAGGGCAUCAGAAUAAGCAUCAUCAUCAUCAUCAUCUUCCACAUUUUUUAUAGAUCCAUCAUUUCCCUUGGGUUUUCCAGGGAUAUGCUCCCAGUUAAAAGGCACUGUGACAGGUUCUGUUACCUGAUCCAAUGUUGUGUCUGACUUGUAGUGUGGAAUUGCUUGUUGCUUCUCUAAUGUGUUUCUCUUUUGUUCAGUUUUGGAUGGUGAUGUACCACUAUAGCGUCUCAUAGACAUAAGAGGAGCAUUAAUAUUCAAUUUUCUCUCAUUCAUCAUGUUCUACAACCUAGCUUUUCUUUGCAGGACUACUCAAUAAUAAGUUCAAUGUUCUUCAAGGCAAUUUCAAAUACUAAUUUCAGCACUGGGGUAAAGAAGAUGAGGUAACAAUCCUUCUGUUAUGAAAAAGAAGAUGGAACAAUCUGAUCAUUAAUAUUUGAAAUUUUAAUUCCAUUACUCUAAGAUAGCAGCAGAUAUUAGAAUUUGGAUUAGGGCUAACUCUAUCACAAAAUAUAACUUAGAUGUGAGAGGUAUUCUGCCUUUUAUAAGGACUACUUUGGUUAUAUGUUUAGUCAAUGUUAUCAACGGAAAUUCUCUGUUUGAAAUUUCAAGAAAAAAGUUAUUAGUAACUUAAAAAACCUUCUAGUUUGUCUGCAAUUAAGCAGAGAAAAAGAGAGGUUUCAUAAUAGUCUGUUUAAAGAGUAGAAAGGGAAAAGUAACUUGUGUUGAUCUGAAAACCAAAUAUUUAAGCAUAGAAAAAGUUUAUUUUCCUCUUCUCAAACAAUCCAAAAAUAGACAAAUAUUGAACAAUUGUAAGGUUUGCUAUAUGUGUGUGUAUGUUAUCUGUACAUAAUGAUAGUACAUAAAGCAAGAGUACCUUCAUCGUCAUGAAUCAUCACCAUUUUCACAAGCUAAAGUACUUGAGGAGACAAUACAAUAGAACAAUGUUACCAAUGCAAUAAAUAAAUAAAUGCUAAUGAGAAAAAGACCAAACCUAGUUAGAAACAGCUUGAAACAUGGGAUAUCAGGAUAUGGCCUCAGAAGCAAAAUGUGAUCCCAGGAAAACACAGUUCAGAAGAAGUGCAGUCCAAAAUAAAGAAAGGAAGAAAGUGGUUUCAGUACCAAGAGUGUGUUUCUUUGUCAUGGUCAUGCAGCAUCUGAAUUGGCCACAGAAAACUCCACAAAGGGCAUGAAGUGAUAAGUGGAUAGUAUAGAAGAAUCAUAUCAGUGGCAAGUGUACAUCACAUGGUAAAAGAGUUCAGUCCCAUAUAUGAAAGGUGAAACAAAACACAAGGAAUGAUUGGUUACUACUGAAUGAUAUGAUGCAGUUGAGUUGAGUUGAGUGUUUGGGGGAAUGAGUAAGAGUCAAGGAAGCUAGAAAAGCAGAGGAGUGAGACAGAGACUGCAAAGCUUUAUAUUUAUUCUUCUUUUGCUUUUUGUGUGUUUUCAGAUUAUACUAAGUGUCUGUUGGAUACGAAACAGAAUGAACAAAAUAUUCAACUACAGAAGUGGACCAUUAUUUUACUCUCCCAACUACACAUUUUUCAAGUUAGUUUGGAUUUUUUUUAAGCCCUCCUCAUUGCUACUAUCUCUCGUAAUUAACUAAUUAGUGAUUAUUUGGUGUAAUAAAUGAUAUGUCAUGAUAAAUAAUACUAGUAAUUAAUGAGUUUUAAAAUUAUCAUUUUAGUAAUCAACAAGAAAAGAAAGAUAACAAAACUGUAUAAAUUAGAGUGUUUAAGAGAGUGAAUAAUGGUCCCAGCACUUAUCCUCAUCCUUGGUGUUACUGUUAUGUAGUGUAAUCUCAUUCCUCCCCUCCCAUCUGAAAUGUAAUGUAAUAGUGGCGAUUCAUAGACCACUAAGCAAUGAUAAACCCUUCUGACAUCCUUUUGUGGCGUUUUUAACGGUUACAAAGUGGAAAAAAAAAUUAACUUUCCAAUUUGUUGUGGUAAAAAACCCUCACAAAAAUAAGUGUUUGGAGUGGUAGCAUGUUUAAUAGUCUACCAAUCUUUUUCGGAUUGGUAAUUGAGUCUAGCAACCUCUCCUAAGCUCACGGUUCUAAUAGCUUGUAUGUCACCAUCAAUCCAAGCAUAGUGUAACUUAGGUUGCUGUAUUAAUAUCUAUAAUAAUCCCAACUAGAAGUCUCCAAAUUCUAUACUCACAAUCUGAGUUAUGGUCAUUCCUUAGGAAAUUUUAUUCGCAUGGAAUCAGUAUAUUGUAAUAAAAGGCAAAAGAAAGAAGCCAAGACGCCGCUUCAUAGCUGGUGAGAUGGCUAAGCAUCUGGAAUAUGUGGAGCAGACUACUUGCAAGCCUCCAAAGCCAUCAGAAAAUGCAGUUUUGACCACCGUUUAUACAUCCACUCUAGGCGUUAAUUUGAUUAUGUAUAUGCAAUUUGUCAUUUUAUUGAAGAGGAUAAUGUUCUAUGUUUGGGAAAUUUCCUUAUCGUGAUUAUUUUGAAUUCCUCAUGCUAAUUUUCAACUCACAAUAUAUAAAAUUAGCAAAAAAAUAUUAAUAAACUGUGGUAGACAGGAGAAUUUUGCAGUUACAAGUGGGAGUUUGGGUUAAUUAUGUCAAUGAAAUUAAACAUGUUGAAUAGCAUACGGAGUUAUCCUAUACUAACAAUUUAAUUUUUAUUUUUCUAAGUUAAUUGAUUAUCUUAUAGUAUUGGUUCGGAUUUGUGACUCCAUAAUUCGGCUUAUCGUCAGUUGGUUAUCAUAGAACACAACCGAUAACCUCCAUUGAUUCAAACAAAUGUAGCCAACACGAUAUGACGACCACAGGUGACUUGACCUAAGUCUACAACCUGAGUCAUACUCCGGGACAGAAGACUCUUGAUGGAUAUUGGAUCUGUAAUCAAUCCUCCACCUCAUUCAUUGAAAAUAUUUCAAGGAGAAUGAUCUAGAGUCUUGUACAUGGUAGAGGAAAAGGGUAAUCAACAACCAAGGAGACCAUAUGGGCCGUCCAAUGAGAUACGAGUGAGGACGUUCAUUGUUACGAUCCAAAGAUCCCCUGCUCCUACGCUGAGUUCAGGAAAUUUUGCCGCUACACGAUAGGAACUGACAAUCAACAUCAUUCUAUAAACAAAACCUGGCAUUAUUCAUCAUGUACACACAAUUUACCAUAACAUUGCUUUGCUAAAACUACAUUUAGCUUGACGACGAAAUACUACGAACUCAACAUCGGACGGACGAGCUAUUAGUUUGACAAUGGACCAGCAACCAACCACCAUGCUACGCAUGAAAUUACUUUUUCUUAAUCUAAUAAUAUUGGAAUCAUUUUAUUUUAAUUUUUCCUAUUUUUCUCCCAAUUUAGUAAACCACAUCUCUUUAACUUUGUAACUCCCCUCAAGUUAUCUUUGGCCUUCCAUGUUCAAGUCUUUAAGCGCCGUCAAGUCCUCCGUCAAAACAUGACGCCGUUGAUUCUACAUUCCCCCUAUAACCGCCAACCUUAAACAACAGAACCAGCCUCUGUUCAUUUUCUUUUCUUUCUUUCUAAGGGACACAAGAAAACUGAGAGUCAUCAGAGCAAAAUGAAACCCUUUUGCAUAUUCUUGAUUCUUCUAACACUGUUUUCUCUCACAGAAUCAUCUUGCAACAGUGCAGGAGACCAGGCCCUGGUGUCAAAGGCUUUCAAAUCUGUCUCCGGCUUCAACAUCUCCACCUUGUUCCAAACCAGAGCUUCAAACUGUUCACACUCUCACAUCACCAAAAUAGUACUUCCAUCCAAGAAUCUAACCGGAACAAUCUCAUGGAGCUAUCUGAGAAACAUGUCCAAUUUGCAGGUCCUUGAUCUCUCUGGAAAUUCACUAGAAGGCCACAUCCCAAGCUGGUUUUGGUCAACUUUAUCCUUGUUCGAAGUAAACCUCUCAAGGAACAAGUUUGGAGGCAGCAUCAUCUCUAACCUGAAACCAAAAUCUUCAUCACAGGUUCAAAUGCUCAACCUCUCACACAACAGAUUCACCAACUGGGUUUUCCUCUCUGGCUUCACAAACGUCAAAACCCUCGACCUCUCUCACAACAACCUACGAACACUCCCCUACGGAUUCCAAAACCUCACCAAGCUUCAACACCUUAACCUCUCAAGCUGCAAUCUCCAAGACAACAUCAAAUCCAUCUCUUCCCUGCAUUCACUUCACUCCUUGGACUUAUCAAACAACACCUUAACCGGUUCCUUCCCUUCUGAUUUCCCUCCACUGAACACGCUCCAAUUCCUCAACAUCUCACUCAACAACUUCAACUCCUCUGUUCCCUUAAACAAGUUCAACAAAUUCAGCAAGUCAGCUUUCAUCCAAGCCGGUAACAACUUCACCUACGAUGUAAACUCUCCAACCCCACCACAAUUCCAAGCCAUUCAUUACAAAAAAUCCAAUCCAAAACGCAAGAGAUUGAUAAUUACAGUGUGCUCUGUUUUAUCAGCACUUGCUCUGUUUGCUCUGUUUAUCUGGGUACUCUGCAUUGUUAGAAAGAGGAGGAAACGUUGCAUGAAGAACAAAUGGGCAAUCUCGUUACCGGUUCGACCGGCCAUGACGAAGGUGGAGAAGAAAUCAGGGCCAUUCGCGUUUGAAACAGAGUCAGGGUCAACGUGGGUGGCUGAGAUCAAAGAACCGUCGUCUGCACCGGUGGUGAUGUUUGAGAAGCCGUUGAUGAGUUUCACAUUCAAGGACCUCAUCGUUGCCACGUCACACUUCGGGAAGGAGUCGCAGCUGGCGGAGGGAAGGGGUGGCGGGCCGGUGUACAGGGCGGUGCUGCCCGGUGACCUCCACGUGGCGAUCAAGGUGCUGGAACAUGCUAGGGACGUUGAUUGUGUUGAUUCUGUGGCAAUGUUCGUUGACCUUGCUCAGCUCAAGCACCCUAACUUGUUACCUCUCUCCGGUUACUGCAUUGCAGGUAAGUGUUUGAUUUGAGUGAAUCGUCAAAUUGGUAUGUAAAAGUGUUAGGCGCCAGCAAGUUCGUCUUUGAAAGAAAGAAAUCUACGCAGUUUGUGAUUGUGUAAAAUGUCGGUCAAAUCAAUUAAGUAAUCAAGUGGGUUCUAAUUGAUAUUUUACACUUUUAAGCAACUGCGAGGUGUAUUUUCUAAAUUUAGUGACAAACUUGUGAAUGCUUAACACUUUGUGGACUAAUUUGAAUCUUGCUUGUUUAAUUUUGAAUGAAGUUCUCUGCUAUCAUUAAUGGCAUUCACGGGUUUUCGUUUUCUAAUGUCGUUACUCUGUUCCAUGACAUGUUGGGUGUGUCACCAUUUCAUUUAUCUGGGAAAUUAAAUACUCCCUCCGGUCCUAUUUAUAAACAUGAAAGAGAAGAAAAAUCUUGGUCCUUUUUAUAAGAACCAAAUGAAAGUUUGAGCUAUAUUAAUUUUUUUUUCCAAUGAUGCCCUUAUUAAUUCUAGCUUGUAAAAUGUGUCUCAUUAAUUAUUCUCUCUCUUUCCCACUUUCCAACACUAAUAACAAAGGGUAAUUUUGGAAGUUUAUUUUGAUUCAAGACAUAUUUAAUGCAUUUUAUCUAGUUUAACUACAUUUCUUAAACUAUGUGAUUUUUUUUUUGCUGCUUAUAAAUAGGAUCGGAGGGAGUAUAAAAUCUACCAUUGCUGGGUAUGAUUGCGCAUGUUUUUUUGUUUUCUAUAUGAAAAGGUUGUGCAGAUUUCAUAGGUUUGGCACUCAACUAGACUGCCAAAUUUCGAAGUUUGAACUUUGGAGUUUGAAUUCAUGUGCUAGUCAUUUGCUCAUAGGGAAUCUUUGUUUGGUUAUAUUGAGAAAAGAGCAUUGCACAAUAGACAAGGGGAUAAACAGAGUUCUUUACUUUUGAUCAAACUUUUUGAUUUUUUAAUUUUAAAUUAUUUUACUUCAUUUUAUUUAUUUUAAGAUAAAGUAAAGUUAAUUAUUACAACUUUUCACAAGGGAAAAACUAAGUUCUUUACUUUGAUAAAACAUUUUAGUUUUUAUUUGUAAACCAAUUUGUUUCAUUUUAUAUUCAUUCACUUUUAGUUCUUUAAUUUUCUUCAAUUAUAAGAUAAAGUAAGGUUGCAUUUUUAUAAGUAUAAAUGAAAAAAAUGAAAGUAUAUAAAUGGGCCUUUAUGGUUCAAAUAGCACUAUAUUAUAUUUAUUUGUUCAUUUGUGCACUAACUACUUUAUUAGCUAGUAUUUAAAAAUAUUUUUCAAAAAUGAACACAAAGUGGCAGAGCUUUAGUAAAUUCAACUUGUGUGUGUGUGUUUUUUUUAAUUUAUAUCUAAAGAUAGAAUUCAACAAAACCCAUAUAACUUUUGUAAUAUACUUCAUUACUAUUGUUUAUUUAUUUUUUAAUAUUUUGGUUAUAUUUUCAGGUAAGAAGAAGCUGGUGCUAUACGAGUUCAUGGCAAACGGCGAUUUAGGGAGGUGGCUCCACGAGCUUCCAACAGGAGACACUAACGUGGAGGAUUGGACUAGCGACACGUGGGAGAUUCAAAAUGGUGUUGUGGAAGAAUCCCCAGAAAAGAUGGGGUGGCUGACACGACACCGCAUCUCGGUGGGGAUAGCGCGUGGCCUCGCAUACCUCCACCACGGGCGAUCGAAGCCCGUGGUGCACGGCCACCUCGUCACCUCCAACAUCUUGCUUGCCGACGACUUUGAGCCCCGAGUUGCAGAUUUCGGGCUUCGGGAUGACUCGAGCCCGAAUGGAGGCACCGAGGCUGACGUAUACUGCUUUGGUGCAGUGUUGAUGGAGCUGCUGACAGGGAGAGUCAGCACGGCGGAGACGGUGGUUGCGGUCAAGAAAGCGGUGAGGGAUGAUGAUGGUGUUAGAGUUCUAGAUGAGAGGCUACAACUCGACGGCGAUGACUCAAUGUUGAGUCAAAUGGUGGAGAGCCUUCGAGUCGCGCUCUUGUGUACGGCUGAGUCACCUUCUAAGAGACCCACCAUGCAGCAGGUUUUGGGUUUGCUUAAAGACAUUCAUCCACCUCAUCAAUGACUCUAACCAAGUUGACUCAUGUUGAGUUUGACUCGUCGAAUACUUCAUAUUAGUAAGAUGAGUGUUAUCAAUAUUCUCUUUCCAAUAUUCUCUUGUUAAUUUGUUUAAAUUCACGUGAGUCUCAUGUUUUUAGUGGUUCUCACUUGAAUUUUAAUCGAUCGAGAGUGUUGUUGUGAGUUAUGUAUAAACUAUAGACUAAUUUUUUUUGGCAAAAUGGGAAAAAGAAAAUAUCAGAAAAGGACGGAAUGAAUAUGCAUGAAAGUAGUUUAGUCUAGUAGUAUUAUUUUGGAGAGCAUAGCAUAGGGCAGAGAAUCCCACUGAGAAGUUUCCAAUAUUUAUUCCUUUUCCCUUUUUCUUUUAUAAGUUUCCUUUACCUUUUUCCUUUAAAAAGAAAAAUCAUUAUCGACUUUUUAAUUUUUGUUUUGCCCUGUUGUUUCUGUUUGUUUCUUUUCUUUUUACUUUAUUCUCUUGUAGAUUUAUUUAUCUUUAGCCAAAGAAUGUGUCAUCUUCACUCUUCAAGUAAGUUCAUAAUAUGCAUGUCCAUUCAUUCGCACGUUACGUGUUUGUUUUAUUGUCUCAAUGGAAGUUUAGGGACCAGCAGGUGCAAAACAUUGGACCCUUUGUACAAGUUUUGAGACGUGCUUUUCAUUCAUAUUGUUCAUUCCUGAUUUGUCAAAAUAGAAGGCUAAUUUGUCUGCAUAGGGGAAUAUUGUUGUUGUGUUGUGGUGGUCAUUGGUCAAUAAUUAGCUUACAAUGGUGUGGGUCUAGUUGUUUAGUAUGAAUAAGAGACUAAGUGUUGAUAUUUUUCAAUGAUUUCCAUGGAAAGUGUGGAGAUAACGAUAUUUCAAACGUAUAUUAUGAGGUGCAAUAAGAAUAAUUCAUCCACAAUUAACGUAGAAUAUUGUUUCACAUGAAAAUGAAAGUGGGCUUGAGAAUUCUAGUGUUAUAAUAAUCUAUCAAACGUGUUUUGGAGUGAUGCUGUGGUAGUUGAUUACGGAAGCGAGUCAACACCAGACUAUGGGAGUAAGUCAACUAUUUUGACAUUUGAUACUACUGUCAAAGGAAGCCAGCCGGUUUUUACAAUCAGAUUCGCUAUUUAGACAUAUGGGUAAAUAGCCAAGUUCGUCCCUGAAUGUGUCCACCGCCUUCAACUUCGUCCCUGAACUUUCAAAAUGACGCUCGUGGUCCCUGGAUGUGUCAAAUCUCCCUCAUCAGCAGUCCCUGGUUUAAAAAAAACUAACACCGUUAACGGAAGUGUGACUUGGAAUUUUUUUUUUGUAUGAACUUUUGAAAGGCUUCAAUUUAGUCCUUCAUCCCUGGGGAAAAAAUAAACUAAAAAUUAAAAAAUUAAAUCCCAGAAACCUUCAUCAGUUAUUCAUCUUCUGCAUCUUCUUCAACAUUUUCAUUUAAAUCAUGAAAAACUUAGAAAAACAAAAAUUUCCUUCAACAAACAUAUUAGACCUUCAUCUUCUUCACACAUCUCAUCUAAAAACUAAGAAAAUACAUACCCAAACCCAGCAGCCCCCUAAAAUUCACUCAAAGAUUUCAGAAAGAGAAAAAUAAUCAGUUUGCACCAUGAAUACACACAGAAGAGCUCACCUCGCCGGAGAUGUUGGCGGCGGCGAUGGUUCUGUCUCAUCACUCUAGAUCUGCUCGGAAACAUGGGCUUUGGAUUUGGCGUAGGCGUCUCUACUGGAAUUGCCGACGAGGAGCGUCAUCUCGCUGUCGACCACCACCGCGACUUAGAGCCCAGAGUUGGGUUUGUGGGCUGUUUGAUUCACACCAGAACGGGUUCUUCAACCCAGAGAAUGGCCUGCUGUUGAGUAUGGAGGUAGGACUCAUCAUGUGUUCAGCUUCGGUGAAACCUUUUGGCGAGAGAUUGAUGAACAACCUUGGAGAAUUGAAGAAAGAAGAACCAGAUUUCUUAUUUUUUUUAGGGGCAUCACAACCCAGAAAUACAAAGGGACAAAUCCCAAAUCGAAACAUGCAGAAGCCAGAGGGGAAACCACCACACUAACUCAACUCUACCACUUUCUACCCACGCACCUAUUGGCAGAACAACACCCAACAAUUCAAACAAAACAAUUCAGAAAGGGGUUUGCUUUUAUUUAUGAAUAAGGAUGGAAGAAGAUUGUGUCUGUGUGAGGGUGUCGACUGUCUCAUUACUCUGUGUAUACCCCUCUUUCUCUUAAUUCCUCUUUUUUUUGUGUUUAUGGUUUAUAGCUUUAUGAGUUCUCCUUGAUUUUUCAUCUGUGUUACUCAGCACCACAAUCUCAGCUGGUGGUUAAAGUUUCCAAUUUUAAGAUACCCAUGUUGUCAAUUUUGCUUUUUACACGCUACUUCUCUCUGGUUUAGUCUUCAUGAGGGAGAGUGUGAGAAGGAGGGGAUGUGGGUGGGAAGAAGACGAAGAAGGAUGAAGAAGAUGGAGAGAGGGUGAUGGUGGUGGGGAGAGGUAGAGGUAGAGGUAGAGGAAGAUUGGGGAGAGAAAUAAUUUUUUUUCAGAUUCAGGGACUGAGUAACACUUCCGUUAACGGUGUUAGUUUUUUUUUAAACCAGGGACUGCUGAUGAGGGAGAUUUGACACAUCCAGGGACCACGAGCGUCAUUUUGAAAGUUCAGGGACGAAGUUGAAGGCGGUGGACACAUUCAGGGACCAACUUGGCUAUUUACCCUUAGACAUAUACACAAACUAAUAUUUGAAAUGUAAUUUCAAGUGGAGUUCUAACUCAUUCAAACUAUACUUUUUUCAUCUCAUUUUCAUUUAUUAUUCCUCUUCUUAUCUCUUAUUUCUUUUCCCAUUAUAUGAUCACUCAUCAUAUCUCUUAUUCACUCUCUUUUGUUAAUCAUAUAUCUAACUAAUUGAUAGAGGUGGAAAUGGUUUGAACAAAAGUUUAUUGUUCAAGUGGUUGGAUAUUGUUGAAGUUCAACUUACAUUUAGCAGGCCCUUUUCAACGCCAUUUCAAAUAUAUUUAUAAGAAAUUAAAACCACUUGUCCCACAUGAUAGGUCUAUUAUUAAUUUUCCUUGAAACAAAAAAAACAUGCUCUAUAUGGGAUAUUGUUCUUUUGGUUACACAAGGGACAUUGCUUGAUUUUGGGUCAUAUAUUACUUUUUAUCAUACAAAAAGGGCCUAUCAAUUAAUUACUUGAACUUAUAUUUUGGGGAAAAAAGGAUGGGUGGGUGUAAUAGUAAUCCCUUUAAUUUCAAUGAAUUGGGACUUAUUUUUGUGUCUAACUUUGGAUUUUUUUUUAUGAAUCACAAGCAGCGCUCAUAUUCACUAGUGAGCCGUUAGGUUGGUUUUAAAUGGCCCGCAUUACAAAUUUUUGUCAAUGAUGUGUGUUUACAUUUUUGUAUAAAUGUAAUGGACCAUGUUUUUGUAAAAGCCUACAAGUGUUGAGUUUUAAAGCAAGAUCAAAAUACAAUAAUGUCUACAGUUAAAUUCGUAUAGAUUAAGCUCCUAGGCCUGGCCCAUUAUGAAUGAAACAACUUUCUUUGACAAAAAAAAAGACCCCGUUUUGAAGAGCUUAUUUGAGCUUAUCUGAUAGCAUAAGCUCUUGUGUCAGUGUUUGAGAGAGCUUAUGCAAACAGCUUAUGCCCUACCAUAAGCUGUUUUGAGCUUAUUUUCACAAGCUAUUCAGGAUAGCUUAUGAAAAAGAGCUUAUGCUUAUAUAUAACUUAUUUUCAAUUUAUUCCAACAAAUAUUUUAAAAAGCUUAUGAAUAAGCUCUUAUGUCAUAAGCGUUUAUGACCAUAAGCAUUUAAUUAAGUUGUAUUUCCAAACGGGGCCUAAUUUUAUAUUGACAAAAAAAAGACUAAUUCUACAUUUCUGUUAAUAAAAUGGGAGUAAUAAUAUAUAAUAAAAAUUAUUAGAACUAAAAUAAGUAACAAAAUACAUGAAAAAUAUCAGUAGAGCAAAAUUUAAAUCAAUGGAACUAUACACAGUUCUACAGCAUAAAAAUAUAAAACUAAAUGGAGUGAACUUAGUCAUCAGAAUUAAACACAUUGCACAGUAACUAUUUACCGCUUAAUGCAAGCAAUCGUGGAUUAAUACCUUAGGAUAAAAAAAAAGUUAGUUAUUAUUAAUUUGAAUCUUAUUUAAAAGAAAACAAAGAACCCCUUUCAUUGGCUUGCUGCUGCAAAUUGGUCAUUCCCUUGCUUUCUUCUUUGUUUAGUCCAACAAAAAGAACAAAAAGCAAAAGCAUGUCCAUGUAAUCUUAUGCUUUUAUUUAUUAUGAAACAAAGCUAGCUCUAGAUUAUAUUCCUCUAAUUGAAUAACUGGUAACUGAUGAUUCUUGGUUGUUUGGUAAUCGUAUAUACGUAGGACUUGUGCCUUUAGGCUUUAGAGAUAACUUAGGAGUAUCAUUUUGCAUCUUUUUAUGCAUCUUUGAGAUCAAUAAAGAAGGCUUACUAAGCUACUAUCCUUUUUCCAGAUAACUUUUCAUUUUCUGACAUGGAAUCGCAUCAUAGUAAUGAGGAUAUGGCUAUGUUUGUUGUUAUUUGAUCAAAUUUUGCUCUCUCAUCUCUUUUCAAAAGCACAUGUGAAUGCAGACUUUACUAAUGUUUUAUUGAGUGUCUUGAUUUUUGAAUAUUAAUAUGGAAGAAGUACCUAGCUUACCAACGGGUGGUUGGUUUAAGUGGUACAUGCUUGAUUUCCCUUAAGCAAGGUUUCAGAUUUGAGUUUUGUGAUGGAAAAAACCCCGCUAGGAGAGUUAGCUCCACCAUGAUGUGGAUGUUCCCGACUCGAACAGGAUUGCCUCUGAAGAAGAAGACUUGUCUAAAAAAAAAUUAAAGCAAAAUUAUUUUCCACUUAAUGAGUCAAUGACCGAUACAAUUAUACAAAGCAGUUUGAACAUGGUUAGUCUCACUUGUCUAAAUAUGGGUCAAUUUGGAAAUUUAAACACACAUAAUCGUGAAGUGAUUUCAAGCGGUCAAAAAAUUCUAAUGGUGUUUGUUAGGUCUUGUGUCAAACAGCUAAAAUUAUUCUCCAUGAUAGGUCAACGAAUGUUUAAAGUAAUGUCUCAUUCCUAUCGUGUACCUCAUUUAUACUAUUAAAUGAUAAUAGUUUCCUUUAGUACCUCAAUUUAUUGACUUCCUUAAUUAUUUUUUGAGAAGUGUUACUAACACCCAUUUUAACAUUCUUUUAUACUCGGAAGCCCUUCACUCACCAUCAUUGCUUAUCAAUUGUUUUCCAAUGCACUAAGUAACUAAGUCAUCAUAUACUAACACAUCAUUACCAUUAGGUUAUCAUGAUUAACUAGGUAAUUAUAGUCAGAAAGAGAAAAGGCUCAAAUCUAAUACUCCUGCUUGAUAGUUUUCUUGACCACUUAAGAUUUGAUCUCAGAAAUUUAAACUUGUUCCUUGAAAGAGUUUUAGUCAUGAUGUUUAUAAUUUGAUUCUUAAAGCUGCUAUUCUCUAAGCUUAAUUCCUUCUUUGGACUUCCCAGCUUAUACAUUGGCAUGAUAUUUUACUUUAAUGUGCUUAAUUUUUUAUAUAUUGGCAUGACAUUUCACUUUAAUGUGCUUAAUUUUUCCAUGCUGCCAAUUAAUAAUAUCAUUUAUCAACUAUUAUUGGCUCAGAUUUGUUCAUAGAACCAUCAAUAUCAUGUUUGGUUCUACAAACUCACUUAACGUCAAUCACCUUUUGAUUACUGGAAGUCUGGAACUGCCUACAAGUUAUUGCCAAAUUUCAUUUUUCCUUGUCAUCCUUUCCAACCAUCUAUGUUUGCAGCUUAUGCGUUACCCAAGGUUCAAGUGUGGGGCCACAUUGCACAUUUUCAUAAAUUUCAGCCAGAGGUUUGGUGCCUCUAACUGAAAAAUCGACAUCAUCAUCCUAAUAUUCUUCUUUAUUUUCAGAGCUUUAGUCUUGAAAAUUAUCUAGUACAAAUGCUUUUUAUUUGAUGAUUCUACUGCACUGCAUUUAGAAAACAAUAAUACAUUACACUUGGAAAAACAUGCAUUGCCUAUGUUUUCACUUAACAUGAAAACAUUUAUCUCUCCUAAUUAGUUUAUUAAACUAAUUCAAUAAAUUGUUAUGGGUGCAACACUUAAAGAUGAUAUAAAUAACAAAAAGAUUCAUUGUUUAAUAUGAUCGAUGUUCUUCAAAGUAGGAGAUAUAAACUAGAAUUUUUCUUCAAAUAGAAUAGUAAAAUUUCUAAAAAUUAUUAUCAACUAUUUUUAUAUAAAAUGAUUAAGGAAAUACAGGUAAAAAAAACUCAUGAAAACAAAACUUCAUCAUGUAAUUCAAAUAUUUCAAUCAAAUACAUGAAAUACUCUGCAAUAUACCCAGAAGACACUCUCACAGUCACCCUGCAACUUACCCAUAAAAUAUUUACCCCUGUUAUACUACCCAUCCUCUUAAACUCAUGUUCAACCAUUAUCAUUAAUUAUCUCAUUGUACAAUCCCACUUUACAACUCAGUUCCCUACAAAAACAAUAGUAAAGUUUAAUAAUGGGAACAGUGAAGCAACGGUAACAUUUGUGUUCAGUUUUUUGGAAGUUCCUUAAGGGGCAUUAUGGGAAUAUUGAAAAGUUAACGGAACCCUUUGAUUUAUACUAUUAUUAAUAUUUGCAUAUAAAUGAAAAAAGCACACAAACAUUGAGAGAAGAACUAGUAACAAAGUUGAACUAAGAAAACAGAGAAAAAACAGAGAGAGCUCACAUCAAUCUUCUAAUCUUCAUUCUGUCUCUGAACAUUAUUGUACUUGUUGUGACUUGUUAGCUUUUUUGUUUCUGCUUUUGAACAUAUCAUACAUUGAAUCAAUCUUAGUUUCUUCACUUUCACUUUCUUCUACCUGGGUGGAUCAUAGUUUCAACCUUUUUUUUCCUCUGGAGCUGUUUCUGUUUCUAGUGAUUCUUCAUAAGCAGUAGGAAUUGGAAGCAAAUAUUAGAAGUUGCAAAUUGGGCAGUGAGUGAUCAUGGCAGCUAUAAAGCCAGAGGAGAUAAGCCACCCACCAAUGGAACAACUUCAGGGCUUAGAGUACUGUAUAGAUUCAAACCCAUCUUUGGGUAUGCAUGCUCAGCUUCAAGCUUUUCCCAGUUUCAUUCUUAGUUUUCAGUUUUUCACAUAUCUGAUUUUUGUGUUUUUGAACUGUUAACAGUGGAGACAAUACUUCUGGGUUUUCAGCAUUACAUUUUGGCCUUAGGAACUGCAGUGAUGAUUCCUUCAUUUCUUGUGCCUUUGAUGGGUGGAAGUGAUGUAAGUUAUUGCUGAUCCCAACUUCAAGUCCUUUUUCUGAUUGAUACUGAUAAAAUUCUGAUAUGGUAUAGGAAAAUCUCUAUUAAGAAAAAAUUCUAUUUUGUUUUGUUUUUGUGUAUUCAAUUUUGUCAUAUGCUAAAGUGAAUUGGGUGUCCCACUGAAAAGGAAAUGUGGGGACCUUAAUUGAGAUGGCCAAGAUAUAGAGAAUUGACUUUCAUACAUUGGCUUAUUGGUUCAGGGUGAUAAAGUGAGGGUGGUACAAACUCUGCUUUUUGUUGGAGGAAUUAAUACACUUUUGCAGACACUAUUUGGAACUAGGUUACCAACUGUAUUAGGAGGAUCAUAUGCCUUCAUGGUCCCCAUUGUAUCGAUAAUCCGCGAUCCAUCUUUCGCAAUGAUAGAGGACCCACAUUUGGUUAGUACACUCCUGUAAUCACUCUUUCAUAUUUUGUCCUGAAUUUAAUUCCAUGUUAGAUAUGGAGUUAUGGACUAUCUAAGCAUGUGAAUAAUUAUCCCUUUAUGGCUUAAACUAAUGCCUCUUCUGUUUAUCUCCAGAGAUUUCUCAGCACUAUGAGAGCAGUCCAAGGUGCACUAAUAGUAGCAUCAAGCAUACAGAUUAUUUUGGGAUUUAGUCAACUAUGGUCAAUUUGCUCUAGGUAAGCUCUAACACCAUGAUUGAUGAUACUUUUAGUCAACUGUGGCCAAUCCGACAUUCUGUGUAGUCUAUUAAGUAAUUGAUGUCCUUUUCAUUUACAUGCAGGUUUUUCAGCCCACUUGGAAUGGUUCCAGUAAUUGCAUUAGUUGGUUUUGGAUUAUUUGACAGAGGGUUCCUUGUGGUAUAGCACUAAACCACAUGUCUCUAUUACCAGUUGUUUUAGAAUAUCAAGAAGAUGAAAUUUUGAAGUAUUUGUUAUUGGUUCAUAUUGUUUAACAAAACUGGUUUGUGUUUUUCUCAGGUUGGGACUUGUGUUGAAAUCGGAAUUCCCAUGCUAAUCCUGUUUAUAGCCUUCUCUCAGGUGCAAAUAAAAUUUACUGUUGUUAAGUAAAAUAGGUGAAUUAGAAAUUCUUGUUUAAAUUAGCUUGUGAACAACAUAAUUAAAAAUACAUAAUAAGAUCAACAUUAGGUUCUCAUGUUAAGUACAAAGUACAAUAGGUGAAUUAGAAAGUUCUUGUUUAAAUGAGCUUGUGAAAUACAUAAUAAGAUCAUCUUAGGUUCUUAUACUAGCUCUGAUAUUUGAUAAUUCCUUUUUUCUGAUCCCAUUAUGUUGAAUCCAACACAUUGCUUAAAGAGAAAAAUCCUAAGCAUAGUGAUUGUAAAGUUUUAAGUGAGGGCCAAACAAAAAGGGAUUUUACAAAUAUGUAGUGUAGGUUGUAGACUUGUAGUUUAACAAUGUGUUUGGAUUCACAGUCAACUUUCAGAAUCAUUUCUCCUAAGACAAAAUUCACUCCUAGCAGCUUCUCUCAAAAUUGCUACAAAUUUCCAAACACACUAAAUACAUUUAUCCUUUGGUUCUCUUGUCUUUCUUUUUGAUUUGUUAAACCCAUAAGGAAUGUAAAGUACACUAAGCAAGUCCUAACUUGAUAUGUUGUUGUAUGCAGUAUUUAAAAAAUCUUCAGACAAGACAAGUACCAAUACUAGAGCGAUUUGCUCUACUCAUAUCAGCCACAGUGAUAUGGGCAUAUGCACAUCUCCUAACAGCAAGUGGAGCUUACAGAGACCGCCCAGAAUUAACGCAACGUAGUUGCAGGACAGACAGGGCUAAUCUCAUUUCUUCUGCUCCAUGGUUGGUACCAAAAGUAUUUUUCUAGUUGAAUGUUUGCAACAUGAUGCAUGUAUAAAGAUGUAAGAUAAAGAUUCCAUACUUCCUCAAUGUUUGUAUCCAAUAAUUGACUCAUGAGUAUGUUGCUGUAGGAUAAAGAUUCCAUACCCUCUUGAGUGGGGUGCUCCUACAUUUGAUGCUGGCCAUGCUUUUGGAAUGAUGGCUGCUGUCUUGGUCUCAUUAAUUGAGGUAUUGCACACAUACAUAAAGAUGAUAUUCAUAACUCAAAAUUAUCUUGAAUCAGAGUAUUUGAUUUUUUGUUAUCCUUCGCCGUAAUAAUAUCUUGGGGUUCUCUUAGGAAUUAAUGAGACCUUUCACUUGAGAGGAAUCUACAAAUGAAUCAAUCCACUAAUAUUAUCAAUUUGUUGACUAGUGAUAAAACAAGUUCCUUGUUUUUGACAGUCAACUGGUGCAUACAAGGCUGCAUCGCGAUUAGCAAGUGCCACACCACCUCCUGCUCAUAUCCUGAGCCGCGGUAUCGGUUGGCAGGGAAUUGGAAUCUUGCUGAAUGGCCUUUUUGGAACACUGACUGGUUCAACAGUUUCUGUGUAAGUACUAUUCUUCUUUUUGUUCAUAUUUUUUACUUUGUAUGGACACAAAUUGAUUCUUUUAGGACCAUCACAGAGAGAAUGUGGGGCUUCUAGGAAGCAACCGUGUUGGCAGCCGAAGGGUCAUUCAAGUUUCAGCUGGGUUUAUGAUAUUCUUCUCAAUGUUAGGUGAGUAGCAAGUGCUGGCUUUGCAUUGUAAUUAAUAUAUGUGUAAACUAAUUCCAAUUUCAUAGUUUUUACUUAAAAUCCUUAAUUUGCUAUUUGUUUUUCAGGAAAAUUUGGAGCUUUAUUUGCAUCAAUACCAUUCCCCAUUUUUGCUGCUGUAUACUGUGUUUUGUUUGGUAUUGUCGGUGAGUACCACUAAAUCAUUGAUUUUGCUUGAACAUUCUUUUUGCUUCCUGUCUCUCUUAUGACAAUUACUAUUUUUGUUUUUUCAGGUUCUGUGGGGCUAUCAUUUAUGCAAUUCACAAACAUGAAUUCAAUGAGGAACCUCUUUAUUAUUGGUGUUUCCCUCUUCUUAGGGUUGUCUGUUCCGGAGUAUUUCAGAGAAUACACCAUCAGGGCACUUCAUGGUCCUGCCCAUACAAAGGCUGGAUGGGUGAGUUUGUUGUUUUAUCCACCUAUACUAAUUUGGAUUGUCUGCACGGCUCAUAUCUUAAGCUAAUCUCUACUGAGUAAUCUUGAUAAAAUAUAUGAACUGACUCUUUGAUCAAACUGUGCAGAUUUCUUGACCACAGGGAACCUAAAUCCUAAAUCCUAUACCUAUAUAAUAUACAAUAUAAUUUAUCAUUGAAGAAAUUAUAAUGAAAUUGUUUUUUCCCCUUUGGUUUUUGCAGUUCAAUGAUUUCCUUAACACUAUCUUCUACUCUCCCCCAACUGUUGCAUUGAUUGUUGCUGUGUUCUUGGACAACACUCUUGACUACAAGGAUAGUGCCAAGGAUAGGGGAAUGCCAUGGUGGGCUAAGUUUAGAGCAUUUAAAGCCGAUAGCCGGAAUGAAGAGUUCUACUCACUCCCUUUCAACCUCAACCGGUUCUUCCCUCCAUCCUAAGAAAAUUCUAAUAUCAUAUACAAGAGGUGUUAGAGGAAAAGCAUCAUUUCCAGAUAAGGAUCAUUCUAUAUGAUGAUCAGUUUGAAGAGUUAGAAAAAUGUUGUCCUCUUAGGUAGAAGGUUCCCUUGUGCUUUCUGUUCAUUUGUUUUUCAUAUAUUUUUAUAGUUUGAAUUGGUUUCUUUAGUUAUUUUCAUACAAUAGAACAAAAAAGUUAUCUGUUCCUUAACUUACAUAUUUCUUAUUUUUUAAUUCAUUUACUAAAAUCAUUAAGUGGUUGGAUUUAGUUUAAAUUGUAAUUAUAUUUGAGCCUAUCUUUAUUCAUUUUAUUUGGCCAAUGAAAUUCAAUGUCCACAUGUGCAAAAUUGGUUCAGGGUGAGAGGAGCAGCUAUUUUUGUUUGCACAUUCACUCUGUGCACCUUGCCAGAAUAAAUGCUUCUGCCAUAUCAAAAUUGUUUGCACAUUCACUUUUAUGACCAUCUUUGAUCAUCAUAUUUAUGUAUUCAAAAUUGUUCCAUCAAGGUAAGGGGCAUGAUCACAUCCAUAGUAGGUUAUACCUCUAGCAUUUGAGACCUUAAAACCAAUAAAAUGAAUCUUGCGUCUUCCUAUUAUUUGGACUUAGAGUUACUUUCAUUGGCUUUGCCUUCAGAAAGCCUAACUUCUCUGUCUAAAUAGAAGAAACCAAUCAAAUUACAAAAAUCUUGCAUUUGAAACCUUAAAACAAAACCAAUAAGCAUUUGGACUACUGAUGAUUUAACACAUACAACUACAAAAAGGAACUACUGAAUGAAAGAACUAAAACCUCAACGACAGGGGCGGGGAAAGUCAUGGGAUGACCUCUUUUUAGCAUUGAAGAUUAGUGUCGGUUAGACGGACGCUUUGGAAUAAAUGGGUUGAUUACAUUUCUAAUAAGCACAAAACUGCCUUUCAAGUUAGAGUUGACCAGACCCCCGCCAUAGUAGCCUCUGCUAAACAUUCAAAUAACCAAUGUAAAAAUUAAAUUGUGUUAGUAUCGUCUUCACUUUUACGUUUGUGUGGACUUAGUGUCAACUUAAAUUAGGGUCAAUGUCGUGAUAGGUGCUACGCGACAUAGCUAAAUUAAAUGUUUGUUGUAAUGGUUGCUUGUGUACAAUUUUUUUUUUUUGAAAGAAGUAAAAAGAAUGAAAACCAUGUGCAAUAUCCAGGAAUAGUGAUAUUUGUAACUUGUAAAAUAUAUUCAAAAUAAAUUUUAUUGGCAUUGAAAAUAAAUAAAUAACUAAACUACCACCAAUCAAAAUCAUGACGUUCUUGCAUCAUAAUUUAAUGAAUCUCAUUGAUGAAGAUCCAAUUGCGCAGGAAGAGAGUUGACAAUUAUCAUAACCUGACUGAAGAAAAUCCAAAUGAAUGUUCUUAAUCAAUUACCAGACGCCUUCUGUAACCAAGAGUUGACAGAAAUGUGCAUAUAUUAUGCCAUUUAAAGGAGAACCAUUUGUUAAAAUAAGGUUAGGGAGAAAAAGCUCAAUAUUGUGACCACUAGAUUUUCCCUGUAUUUUUGUCUUAACAUUCUAUGUGGCCCUAAACUGGAUAACAAAAGUCCUAAAUUCUAAUUUGCUAUGUUUCAGUAUUUAAUUGAGUGCAUGACAAAAAAGUAUUUGAUUAACAGUUUGCAAGUGUGUACAUAUAUUAGGAGCUAGUUCCUUUUAUAUGUACACUAAAAAAUAAAUAUAUACUGCUAAUUUAAUUUCUGUUCAAGAUUCUCAGGCUUGGCAACAUAGUUAAGGUAUUUUUAUUAAACUAGAGAUACUUAAUUUUGUCUGUUUGCUCGGGGAUAGAUUAUUUGGCCCUAGCUAGAUUCUUAACUUCUACUAACAUACAUUUGUUAUUGCAAAUAUCAGUUUAAUUACCCAAGACCAUGCAUACGUGCAAGAAAUAUAUAGCAAGCUUAAAUGGAAUAUGUUCUUGUUUAUAUCCCACUUUUAUGCAUGUAUUGUUCUUUAUUUGACCUCAAAUCAUAGUUAAUCAAAAGUCUCUCAUUUUGCACUAUGGUUAGAAGAAAAACUAAGGUUAAGGAUGAUCGGUUACGUUUAGAAGGUUGUGUGUUUGAUUUUCAUUGUUGAUGUGAUGGUUGUUGUAUUGGUAGACUAUAUGUGAAUACUUCAGUAAGUGUAACAUUUGAUUUCAAAAGUAUGCUUUAACUCGUAGUUGUGAUCAAAGUCGAACUCUCUUAAAUUUUUUAUUAUAAAAAAAGAAAGAAUGGUUUUUUCAAUUUUUUAAGAAGAUGUAUAGCAAAACUAUUCCUGGAUUAUUUAUUAGGAUUUAAGAAUUUAAAAUAAAAAAUAGAAGUAUUUAAUUCCCAAAAUGUUGUAUCUAACUAUUCUAUUCUAUUAUAAUAUAUUAAUUCUGAAGCGCGAAAUGCAGCAUUGCCACAUGUCAUUUACUUCAGUCACAUCACAUAUUUAGCUUUGUUGUCAUUUCAUAGAAAUUAGAGCUUUUUAUCAUACACAACUCUACAUGUAACUUCUAUUAUAAUUAAAUACAAAAAGUAAAUAUAAAUCUAUUAUAGUAAUUUAAUUUCUUAUUAAAAGUACAAACAAUACAUUAAUAUCUAAUUGAAUAUGAAAUUUGAAAAUAAUUACAAAACUAUAAUAAUAAUAAUAAUUAAUAUUAUUAUUAUUAUUAUUAUUGAUAUGCUAGUAUUAUAUUUUCUAAUCUUUCAACCAUAUUACAAAGUAAUUAUAUGCUCCCGCAUGCAUUGCCUGUGUCUUAAUUAUAAAUCUGAAGUUGAGAUGUGGAGGUGCUUCAUCAUAAAAAUUAGCUCUAAUUUCAUGCCACAUAAGAAAUUUUAAAUAGUUGGAGCUCUAUUUAUUUUUCAACUUUCAAAUGAUCUUUUUCAGUAGCAUUUUUAACUCCAUCAACAUCCAAUAAUGAGUUUCAAAUGAGAAAAAAGUUUGAGAUAUGACUGAAUAAAUAUAGUUGACUUUUCAUCUAACCUAUCUUUAAAUUAAUUUUUGCUCACUUUUUUUGGUACAUCGAAGAAUAAUUUACACACCUAUGAAGCCACUUUAAUCAAUUAUAAUAUAUAAAGUUAAACUGUAAGUUGCAAAUAUGACAUUCAUUACAAGAAAAACGAGAAUUAUUGCAGACAAAAAUCGUUGGUAAGCUCUAAAAUUCGUUAGUAAAGAAAAGUCACCGACUGCCAAAUAUUGAUCGUUAUUAAGCUCCCUAGUAAUACUUACCAACGAUUUUCAAAAGUCAUCAGUAACUUAGAGAUGGUUAUAGCUGUUGGUAAGUUACUAAUGACCUCAACCGUCGUUAAGUUAUCGACAACACAAAUAGUAAGUAAUAUGUCAAUUUGAAUGAAAAAAUAUCCAUUACUUGGAACAAAAGUGCUUCACUAGUAGAUAUUUUUUUUAAUAUAUUGCGUUCUUCGUGACAAUACAAUCAAGCCUAUUUAUAGUUUGAUAAAAAUUACCCACAUUAUUAGAUAAUAUUAUUUAAAUAUAAAACCUUAAUAUAAAUUUCCAUAUUUAGCCCAUUUUAAAUUAAUAAAAUAAUAGUAACUACUAAAUACAAAAUACAAAAAUAAAAUAUUGAAUAUUAUAUUUAUUUAACCAAAAUUAUAUUUAUUGAAAUUAUUCUAUAAAAAUAUAUUAUUAACAUGUAAUUUUUUUUUACAUAUUUAUAAAUAGGUUUAAAUAUGUUGGAGGUCCCCCUAAAAUAGGGGUCCUUUGGUUAAGGCCCCUACAAUUUUUUUUGGGUGGAAUAAACCCUUAAUGUGAAAAUAAUAUAUAGUAAUAAGCCCUUUCUGUGAGGUUCUGUUUAAUUUCUAAUGAUUCUGCAAACGGCGUUGAUGUGGAUUAUAUUUUGUGAAAAUUACUAGGAUUUUACCCGUGCGAUGCACGGAACCUGCUCAUUUUAUUUAUUUAAAUGGUUUGUUCUUAAUACAUCUUUGACUAUGAUAGAAAUUAUUAAAAAUAUUGGAGCAUCAGUUGAAUAUCAACCAAUAAACGAUUAUCAAAUAUUAAAGACGACUUAAUAUAUUCCCUUACGUGCAUUCUUCAAGAGCAUUAAGAAAAUAAUUCUCUGAUGUAUAAAAAAAUGAGCAUUUAGCAUAAUAAAACCCCCAUGAGUGGCAUCUUCAUUAACAUAAUAUAUUUAGAAAAUAAAAUUUCAUGUGAUAAAUUUAUGCAAAAGAGGAGUAAUUGUUAAAGAAAUUCUGGAAAUAAAUGUAGAACAUUGCAACCGCCAUAGUUUAAACGAUACAUAGGAGGUCCAGUAGCUCAAAUACAUCAAACUUAACAGCAAAAACUUGAAAUUUAACACUAAAAUUUUUUAUUCAAUUUUUUUUGGGUGUUUUUUUUUUAAUUCGUGUUAUUAAUUUAAAGAUAUUUUACAGAUUAAAAGAAAAGAAUUUAUUUUAGAUAUAAGAAAUCAUAAAUUUUUAAGUUUUUUUUGUACUAUAUGUUUAUUUUGUUUUUUGAGUUGCUAAUUUUUUUUUUAUCUUUUGUAUUCGUUUUUGUUUGUCAAAUGAAUUCGUUAAAAACCUGUGUUAUUUUUGUUAUGUUUAUUAAAAGAUAAGUUAUGAAUUAAGAUAAUAAAAUAAAUUUUAGAUAUAGGAAAACAAAAAUUUGUAAGUUUUUUUGCUUGAUUGAUGGUCAUGUCAAGUAUAACACUUUUUUGCAUCUGGAACAUUGAGAAUAAUGAUUGCCCUGAUGAUUUUUCUGAAAUAAAGAAAAUAAACUGUGAAAAGUAAUAUGAAGUCAUAAUAUGUAACCACUAAGUUUUCUAAAUGCAUAAAUAAUCUUUCAAAUUCUGACAUAAAGUAGGUUAAAGUGUGUUGAAUUCACCUCUUUAUUUAAAAUUGUGUAACUGGUAACCAACUAUUCAAAACAAUUUAAUAUCCACUUGCGUGUUUUUCUGAAAUUCUAUGGCAGUCAUUUGCUCUUACUUUUUAUAACAUAUUAAUGGAUAAUAAGAACCAAGGGAGAUAGUUUUGAAAAAUCUGGCAGGGUCUAAAUGCAUAAUAACAAUCUUUCAAAUUCUGUCUUAAAUUGGCUUGAAGUGUAUUGAAUUCACCUCUUCAACUGAAAUUAUGUAAUUGGUAAAUAACUAUCCAAAAUAAUUAAUUCGCCACUUGCAUGAGUUUACUGAUAGUAGUGUGAUCUAUACAUUCACAUUUCAUAUGGCCAGCGGUCACAACUUAGGCAUUUGUCUGCUGCAACGGUUCCUCUCAUCUGAACAGCCAUGCUUGCUAAGAGGAGUGUUUACUUGGAGAAGCUUUCGCAUGCAAAGUCCAUCUAACAUAUACAGUAUUUCCCGGGCUACGGUCAAAGAAGGGAUUUGAUAAUGUGCAUGUUGAGGAGUUUCAAUUAUGUCAUCUUUCUUUUCCUGCAGAAGAAAAAAUAGAAAGCUUAAACUACUAAAGGUAGGUUUGUAGUAAAAAGCUUAUUUAGUUUGCUAGAGAUUAUAUGUUCAAACUAUGCUUUAGUUGUAGCUAUUGAAAAAGAAAAGGUGAAAGAAAGUCACUAAACGGGAUAGAUCACAUUCUGUCAAUUGUGAAUAUUCACUGUAAUUAGCUUCUGAUUUGUAUAGUUCCUAAUCUUCAAAUUAUGGCAAGUGUAAGAGAAAAAGUGAUAGACCAAAUGUAUGAAACUUUGACAGAGAACUCUUCAUUUUUCCAAUUCAAAUAAUUAGAUUACAAAAACCCUUCAAGCGCUAUGUGAAGGGUCAGACUCGUAUCUUUGUGUGAUGGAAUUUAGAGGAAAAACAGGAAAAUUGUUAUAAAUAGAUAUAACAUAAACUAGACAUCACAACAAAAAAUAUUUCAAGUUAGAAGUGACUUAUCUACGAAAGCAAAUAAUACAAAGCUCAGUAGUUAAAAUUGAAAGAAGAAAAUACCCUACAACUCAAAAGCUUACUACCCAAGCACUCUGUUAUAGAUUACAACUAAUAGAAUUUACUUAACAAAAGUAUGUAAACAAUAGCAAUGACAUCAAAAUAUUAUAGCAAAGAGAAAGAAUAGCAAUGAUAGCAUAAUCUUGAUAAAAAUUUAUACAUUGUAUGUUACCUAGCAAUAAUAGCAACAACCAAGGAUCCCAAUUACCCCUCCAACCCACUGAUUCAUGCUGGCCAUUAAGCCAAAAGCAGAGAACCUGUAAGUGUAAACAGUGAAAAUAUGCUUGAUAGUGUGUAAGGAAAAGUUUGGUUUACAUUUUAUGAUUUUUCAGCUGGAUUCUUGACUUUUAUGUUUUCUGCAGCUUCACUCAGAGGAGCAAGGCAUGGGUUCUCCUACAAAUUCAAUAGGUUCAUUUUUCUCACUUAGACAAAGCAUUUCUUUUAUCUAUUUGUGUUUGUUCAUUUGUUCAGUGAUUAGUAUGGUCUAUAUUGUCGCGUCAAGUAAGAGGAAGAAAGGAGAAAUCCUUUUGCUUUUAAUGCUUGGUUGAAUUUAAUUUUCUGAUGCUCAACAUAUUUAGGCUACUCCUGAAGUCCUUAUGUUCUUGCUAUGCAGAGAUAGACUAUCCUGGUUAGACUGUCUAGUUCAAGAUGUUUCAACCAUUGCACCAUCUCCAACUGCAACUUCAUAUUUUCAGUCUUUUACCCCUCAUAAGUCUAUACAACCAAGAACUUAUGGGAUGCCGAGGCAUCUUUUGAGGGUAUUAGUACAGAGAUCAAAUAUCAUAGGAAGACAUGGUCUUCUGGGAAACUGGAUACCUGCCAGAUACAUUAUCAAUGCAUCAGUUGAACUGAAGACUGGCAAUGGUGUUGUUUGAUUCUCUCUGGAUAAGCCUGAUGGUGUUAUUUUACUAAGGAUGGCCAGACAAAAAAGACUAAAAAGGCUAAAGUUAAUGAACUCAUAUUCAAUCGUUUGAAGGCAAAGAAAAAGAUGAAUUCUCUAAAUCCAGAAGUUAGAAUUCGAUAUAAGCUUGAAAAGGUUGGAAUUUCAUGGUAAUUUGUACUUUGCUUCAGCUGCUUGGUUGUUAUUGAUGAUUUGCUUUUGUGAUUUUUCUUCCUUCUGGUCGGGGUUCAUACUUUCAUGAUUUGAUCACUUAGUUUUUCUUCAUGUUUCAGUUCUCUAUUAAAUGUAUAAGUAUUGUUCUGAUACGUCCUGCAUAUAUUGGCAUUGAAAUAAACAGAACACUGCCUUAUGUGGAUUUGUAUUUGAAACACCUCUGUUAAGUUUUACUCUGCAUUUGGGAAGCUUAUGUGAAAUCAUUUUUUCAUGAAGACAUUAAUAUUAAUAUUUCUCAGUUACCUAGCUUAUUAGACAUUAGUAUAACAUCACAGUAUACAUAAUAGAUAUUUUUCUGCUUUUAACUUUUAACAACUUGGCUUUGGCAUCUUCACCUCAGUUUACAUGAAUAAUUUAGUGCCUCAAAUAGGCUGGAAAGAGGCAUUUUUCCUUUCUUCCUCAAUAUUUCCAUUUCUUAAACUUGUUAAUUUACAGGCUAAGCGAAAGGAGGUAUGGUUGAUUGAAAAACUAAGGAAAUUUGAUAUCCCAAAAUCCCCAGCAGAAACAUUUGAUCCUGAAAUUUUAACUGAGGAGGAGAGACAUUACCUGAAGCAUAUUGAUUGAAAGUUCGAGUCUAUCUAAAUGACAUACUAAUGUCUAAUAAAGUCUACAGGAAGAUAAAUAACAUGGCCUGUUUGAUGAAAAGUAAGGUUUUGUGCACUACAACAAAGUACAAACCAAGCAUAUUGAUUGGAAGUUCGAGUCUAUCUAAAUGGACAGCCAAUCAUAGAACAUCCCAAGCCAAUAUGAAAUACACCAAACAACUGUAAGAUCAAGUUUUGAUCUAGUAGUACAACUCUAUGUUUUGAUGAUUACAAGUUAACCUUUUGAUAUGAACAAUUGUGGUACUCUAACGUGUUUUUCUGAGUGUGAUAUUUACAGGCUCUGACCUCAACUCAAUCUCACACAAAUCAGAAGCACUGUGUAUAAAGAGUGACCCAAGCAACGCUUUCGCAUUCACCAUGUUCAGUAUGAACAGUGGAAAAGCUUCAGAAGUUCUGAAGUUAUACAAACUCUGAUGUGGACUCAGUCGCUAGAAGCUCUGAAGAUCCAGAAGUUCUGAUAACCAAGAAACACUGAAGGUUCAGAUGUUCUGAUGGUGUAGAAGACUCUGAAGAUCCAGAAGCUGAAUAGUGGAAACUCUGAAGUCCAGAAGCAAGAAACUCUGAAGGCCAUGUUCUUCCCUCUGAGUUCAGAAUCAGAAGAUACAAUGGUCAGAGGAUCUGUGGUUUCCCUCUGACUCUGAUCAACCGGCUUCACAAGUUCCAAUAUGAAGCAUUCCCCUGAUCAGAAGUCUCCUAGGUUUAAAGGUCGCGUCGCUAUCCAAGUACAAAAGCUACUGUACCUUCCUGACGACCUACCUAACGUUCUCAGCCACAGCAGAAGCUGGAUUUUCCAGAACUGCCCUCCAACGGUAGCAUUUCCCAUGCAUCGCUCAACCCUAAUCCUUGGAGUAUAUAAAUGUUGGAUUUAUUAAUCCAGCGUCACCCUUAGGAUUCGAUGGGCUUAACAUCCCACCCCAUGGCGCUUAACAUUGCAGCCCCUUGAGGACUCUGUGCUAUAAGGAAAUAAAGUUGCACCCUCACUAACAGCAAUUGCUUUUGGCGUAGUGGUAAGCGCUUGAUCCUUCAAUUGGUAUCAGAGCGCAAGUUCUGAUUACCACACCUAACAGUGUUCAGUGAUCCGGGCCGGUGUGAAAAACAAUGGCUGCCACCACCAGUGAAACUCAAAGAGAUGGUUACAACGCAAAGCCUCCUAUGUUCGAUGGUCAAAGGUUCGAAUAUUGGAAAGAUAGACUGGAAAGUUUCUUUCUGGGUUUCGAUGCAGAUCUCUGGGAUAUUAUUGUGGAUGGCUAUGAGCGUCCAGUUGAUGCAGAUGGCAAGAAGAUCCCAAGGUCAGAGAUGACUGCAGAACAAAAGAAGCUGUACUCACAACAUCACAAAGCAAGAGCAAUUCUUCUAAGUGCUAUUUCCUAUGAGGAGUACCAGAAGAUUACCGAUCGUGAGUUUGCUAAAGGCAUUUUUGAUUCUCUGAAGAUGUCUCAUGAAGGAAACAAGAAAGUCAAAGAAUCAAAGGCAUUGUCUUUGAUCCAAAAGUAUGAAUCCUUCAUCAUGGAGCCAAAUGAGUCCAUUGAAGAAAUGUUCUCCAGAUUUCAAUUGCUUGUAGCUGGCAUACGACCUCUCAACAAGAGCUACACAACAAAAGAUCAUGUCAUAAGGGUCAUCAGGUGUCUUCCUGAAAGUUGGAUGCCUUUGGUGACUUCAAUAGAGCUCACGAGAGACGUUGAGAAUAUGAGUUUAGAAGAACUCAUCAGCAUUUUGAAAUGCCAUGAGCUGAAACGCUCAGAGAUGCAAGAUCUGAGGAAAAAGUCCAUAGCCUUGAAAUCCAAAUCUGAAAAGGCUAAGGUUGAGAAGUCAAAGGCUCUUCAAGCUGAAGAAGAAGAAUCUGAAGAAGCAUCAGAAGAUUCUGAUGAAGAUGAGCUGACUCUGAUCUCCAAGAGACUCAACCGCAUCUGGAAGCACAGGCAGAGCAAGUUCAAAGGCUCUGGAAAGGCAAAAGGCAAGUAUGAGUCCUCAGGCCAGAAGAAGUCUUCAAUCAAGGAAGUCACAUGUUUUGAGUGCAAAGAAUCUGGGCACUACAAAAGUGAUUGUCCAAAGUUGAAGAAAGACAAGAAGCCAAAGAAGCACUUCAAGACCAAGAAGAGUCUGAUGGUGACAUUCGAUGAAUCAGAGUCAGAGGAUGUUGACUCUGAUGGUGAAGUCCAAGGACUCAUGGCCAUUGUCAAAGACAAAGGAGCAGAGUCAAAGGAAGCUGUUGACUCUGACUCAGAAUCAGAAGGAGAUCCUAACUCAGACGAUGAAAAUGAGGUAUUCGCUUCCUUCUCUACCUCUGAACUGAAACAUGCUUUGUCUGAUAUCAUGGAUAAGUAUAACUCUUUAUUGUCUAAGCAUAAAAAGUUGAAAAAGAACUUAUCUGCUGUCUCUAAGACUCCUUCUGAACAUGAGAAAAUUAUUUCUGAUUUGAAAAAUGAAAAUCAUGCUUUGGUAAAUUCUAACUCUGUGCUUAAGAACCAGAUUGCUAAGUUAGAAGAAAUUGUUGCCUGUGAUGCCUCUGAUUGUAGAAAUGAAUCUAAGUAUGAAAAGUCUUUUCAAAGAUUCCUAGCUAAAAGCGUGGAUAGAAGCUUAAUGGCUUCAAUGAUCUAUGGCGUAAGCAGAAAUGGAAUGCAUGGCAUUGGCUAUUCUAAACCAAUUAGAAAUGAGCCUUCUGUGUCUAAAGCUAAAUCCUUGUAUGAAUGCUUUGUUCCCUCUGGUACCAUAUUGCCUGAUCCUGUACUUGCUAAAGUUGCUAAACAUCCUCUUAAAAAGGGAUCUUUCUCUAUGACUAAAUAUCAUGCAAAUAUUCCUUUAAAAUAUUAUGUUGAGACACCCAAGGUGAUCAGAACCUCUGGGGUAACUAACAAAAGAGGACCCAUAAAGUGGGUACCUAAGGACAAGAUCAUCUAUGUUGCAGAUAUCCUUGAUAGCUCCACUGAAACACCAAUCAUGGUAUCUGGACAGUGGAUGCUCGCGUCACAUGACGGGAGAAAAGCGUAUGUUCCGAGAGCUGAAACUUAAGCCUGGAGGCGAAGUUGGCUUCGGAGGAAAUGAAAAGGGUAAAAUUGUUGGUACUGGUACUAUUUGUGUAGAUAGUAGUCCAUGCAUUGAUAAUGUUUUAUUGGUAGACGGCUUAACACAUAACUUAUUGUCUAUAAGUCAAUUAGCUGACAAGGGUUAUGAUGUUAUAUUCAAUCAAAAGUCCUGCCGGGCUGUAAGUCAGAUCGAUGGCUCAGUUCUGUUUAACAGCAAGAGGAAGAACAACAUUUAUAAGAUCAGAUUAUCUGAGUUGGAGGCUCAGAAUGUGAAGUGCCUUCUGUCUGUUAAUGAAGAGCAGUGGGUAUGGCAUAUACGGUUAGGGCAUGCCAGUAUGAGAAAGAUUUCUCAGCUGAGCAAGCUAAACCUUGUCAGGGGCUUACCCAAUCUGAAGUUCGCUUCAGACGCUCUUUGUGAAGCAUGUCAGAAAGGCAAAUUCACAAAAGUCCCUUUCAAGGCAAAGAAUGUUGUCUCAACCUCAAGGCCGUUGGAACUUCUGCAUAUCGACCUUUUUGGACCAGUGAAAACUGAGUCUAUAGGUGGCAAGAGAUAUGGGAUGGUUAUCGUUGAUGACUAUAGCCGCUGGACAUGGGUAAAGUUUCUAACCCGCAAGGAUGAGUCUCAUGCUGUGUUCUCUACCUUCAUUGCUCAAGUGCAAAACGAGAAGGCUUGUAGGAUUGUGCGUGUCAGAAGUGACCAUGGUGGAGAGUUUGAGAAUGACAAGUUUGAGAGUCUGUUUGAUUCCUAUGGAAUUGCACAUGAUUUCUCUUGUCCCAGAACUCCUCAACAAAAUGGUGUUGUUGAGAGGAAGAACAGAACUCUUCAGGAGAUGGCUAGAACCAUGCUCCAAGAAACUGGCAUGGCUAAGCACUUUUGGGCAGAGGCAGUAAAUACAACAUGUUACAUUCAGAACAGAAUCUCUGUGAGACCAAUUCUGAAUAAGACUCCUUAUGAAUUGUGGAAGAACAUAAAACCCAACAUUUCUUAUUUUCAUCCUUUUGGCUGUGUUUGUUAUGUUCUCAAUACUAAGGAUAGAUUGCAUAAAUUUGAUGCUAAGUCUUCUAAGUGUCUAUUACUUGGUUAUUCUGAUAGAUCUAAAGGUUUUAGAUUUUAUAAUACUGAUGCUAAGACUAUUGAAGAAUCUAUUCAUGUUAGAUUUGAUGAUAAGCUUGACUCUGACCAGUCAAAGCUAGUUGAAAAGUUUGCAGAUUUAAGCAUUAAUGUUUCUGACAAAGGCAAAGCUCCAGAGGAAGUUGAGCCAGAGGAAGAUGAACCAGAGGAAGAAGCUGGUCCCUCUAACUCACAAACUCUGAAGAAGAGCAGAAUCACUGCAGCUCACCCUAAGGAAUUGAUUCUGGGCAACAAAGAUGAACCAGUCAGAACCAGAUCUGCCUUCAGACCCUCUGAAGAGACCUUGCUGAGUCUGAAAGGAUUGGUGUCCUUAAUUGAACCCAAGUCCAUAGAUGAAGCUCUUCAGGACAAGGAUUGGAUUCUGGCCAUGGAAGAAGAACUGAAUCAAUUCUCCAAGAACGAUGUUUGGAGCUUAGUGAAGAAGCCUGAGAGUGUCCAUGUUAUUGGAACGAAAUGGGUAUUCAGAAACAAGCUAAAUGAGAAAGGAGAAGUAGUCAGAAACAAGGCAAGGCUAGUUGCUCAAGGCUACAGCCAGCAGGAAGGAAUAGACUACACUGAAACAUUUGCUCCGGUAGCAAGACUGGAGGCAAUUAGACUGUUGAUCUCCUUCUCAGUAAAUCACAACAUAGUUCUACAUCAGAUGGACGUAAAGAGUGCCUUCCUAAAUGGUUAUAUCUCAGAGGAAGUCUAUGUUCAUCAACCCCCAGGUUUUGAAGAUGAAAAGAAACCAGACCAUGUGUUCAAAUUGAAGAAAUCACUCUACGGUCUGAAGCAAGCUCCUAGAGCAUGGUAUGAGAGACUUAGCUCAUUCCUUCUGGAGAAUGAGUUUGUAAGGGGUAAAGUAGAUACAACUCUUUUUUGCAAGACUUAUAAAGAUGAUAUCUUAAUUGUGCAAAUUUAUGUUGAUGAUAUUAUAUUUGGUUCUGCUAAUCAAUCUCUAUGCAAAGAAUUUUCUGAGAUGAUGCAGGCUGAAUUUGAGAUGAGUAUGAUGGGAGAAUUAAAGUACUUUCUGGGAAUACAAGUUGAUCAAACACCAGAAGGAACAUAUAUCCAUCAGAGCAAGUACACUAAAGAACUUCUGAAGAAGUUCAAUAUGCUGGAAUCUACAGUGGCCAAGACUCCAAUGCAUCCUACAUGCAUUUUGGAGAAAGAAGAUAAAAGUGGUAAAGUAUGUCAGAAGCUCUAUCGUGGAAUGAUAGGUUCACUUCUAUACUUAACUGCAUCUAGGCCAGACAUAUUAUUUAGUGUUCACUUAUGUGCUCGUUUCCAAUCAGAUCCAAGGGAAACCCACUUAACUGCUGUUAAGAGGAUCCUAAGGUAUCUGAAAGGCACCACUAACCUUGGCUUGAUGUAUAAGAAAACAUCAGAGUAUAAGCUUUCAGGUUAUUGUGAUGCUGAUUAUGCUGGAGAUAGAACAGAGAGAAAAAGUACUUCUGGAAAUUGUCAAUUUCUGGGAAGCAAUCUAGUCUCAUGGGCAAGCAAGAGGCAAUCAACCAUUGCACUAUCAACUGCAGAGGCAGAAUAUAUCUCAGCAGCAAUAUGCAGCACUCAGAUGCUCUGGAUGAAACAUCAGCUGGAGGAUUAUCAGAUCCUUGAGAGCAAUAUCCCAAUUUAUUGUGAUAACACUGCUGCAAUCUCGUUGAGCAAGAAUCCUAUCUUGCAUUCAAGGGCAAAGCACAUUGAGGUAAAGUAUCACUUCAUUAGAGAUUAUGUGCAGAAGGGCGUACUUCUUCUGAAGUUUGUUGAUACUGACCAUCAAUGGGCAGAUAUCUUUACAAAGCCCUUAGCAGAGGAUAGAUUUAAUUUUAUUCUGAAAAAUCUAAACAUGGACUUUUGUCCAGAGUGAAGAUGGAUCAGAACCUCUGACUAUGAUACUUCUUGAUCAGAAGAUGUCUAGUCCAGAAGGUAACUCAAUCAGAGUGUGUGUGCCCACUGGUACUGACUCUGAAGCUGAGACAACAACACGUGUGUCAGAAUUUCUGAUGCAUAAUUCCUUGUGCCCGUGUGACAGUCUGUUAUGAUUGCGUGUAGAUAUGCUUAUCUCCUGUGUGUGAUUGUGUAUUUUACUGUUACUAUCUAUCUUUAAUUUUCAACCGUUGAUCUUACAGUGCUUUUUGAAUCAACAACGGUUAUUUGAUAAAACCCACUAUACACACACGUUCUCGUUCACUUCCGGUUUUCACUCUCGCACUCUCUGCUUUUCAAAACCGCCUCUUUCUUGAUUUCUCUCUCGAUCUCUCUUCAUCCUUCAAACUUCAUCUUCUACCUCAAACCUUCAACCUCUUCAAAAUGGUGAGACAAACCAGAAGAUCUACUGCAGAUACACCUCAGUUCCCUCACAUGGAAGUUGGUUUGGCAACGGGUCAAAGGGGCUCUGAGAACCCGGCACAAGAACAAGUUCAAGCUCAAGAGCAGAUUGUUCCUAUUGCAGAACGGGGCUGUGCCGUUCACUGCGUAUUUGCUCCUGAGGAACUCCAAGUCCUGGCAGAAUGGAGAUUCAACCUCGACAACCUGGCUGCAAAUGGGUUUGAUCUUCGUCCUGAAGUCCAAGCUCAAGGUUGGGGAAACUAUUUCAAUCGACUUCGAGGACCGGUGUAUGAGAAAUUGGUAAAGGAAUUCUGGAAGCACGCAGACUGCGAUGACACUCAGGUGGUCUCUCACAUUCUUGGCAGGAAGAUCAUUAUCACUGAGAAGUCAUUCGUGAAUCUGCUAGGAGCAGAAACUGCUUAUGGGUAUCGGUUCCAACUGACGGAAUCCAAGCUGAAAUCCAUCACCAAAGACAAAGUCAACAAGGCCCUGUACACCACCUUCAAACCGGGCAAGACGAGUUACAAGGUGAUGGAUCUUCACCCCAAACUCAGAAUCUGGCACAAGAUCCUGCUCAACUGCAUCAAUCAGAGACCGAAGGGCAGUUCCCCAGAUUACAUCAACUUCAACCAGAAGGCGAUGCUGCUCUUCAUUCAAGACAAGGAGAAGAUCUGCAUUCCCUACUUCCUGUUCUCCUACUUAAAGGAAUGCAUCCGGAAGUCUCGCACCACCGCCUCCAUCAAGUCUGCAAUCAAAUACAUCCCUUUUGGGAGGCUGCUCUCAGACUUUCUCAUUGAAAGCCACUUGGUGCAAGAUUUGAUCGAUGCUGGUUGCACAGAGGAUUUGAGCACAAUUGUCAAUGAUGUCUUCACUGCAAACUCCUUGAAGAAGAUGGGCUUAAUCCAGAAGAAGAUUGCUCCUGCUCAUGAAGACACAUCGUCUGAGAUCAGAGGAAGAAGAAUGCCUCUGAAUGACUACCCUCUGUGGACUCAAGCGGACAAUCCUGACGCCAUCAGAUGCUAUGUUGAAGAUCUAAGGGCUCAAGGAUUCGAAAUUGACCUUGAUGAUUUCGUCAGCAGACUACCACCAGCUCCAGAGUUUCCUUCUCCUCCCAAGAGGAAAGCUCAGAGGAAGAUGGUUCUGGACGAAUCUUCUGAGGAAUCUGAUGUCCCUCUGGUCAAGAAGACGAAGAGAAAGCCUGAUGAUGGUGAUGAUGAUGAUAGUGAGGAUGGUCCUCCAAAGAAGAAGCAGAAGAAGGUCCGAAUCGUGGUGAAGCCUACUCGGGUGGAACCAGCUGCUGCAGUGGUCAGAAGGACUGAACCUCCUGCCAGAGUGACUCGAUCAUCAGCACAUUCAAGUAAGCCUGCACUUGCUUCUGAUGAUGAUUUGAAUUUAUUUGAUGCACUCCCUAUUUCUGCCUUGCUUCAACACUCCUCAAAUCCCCUCACUCCUAUUCCUGAAUCCCAGCCAGCCGAACAAACCACCUCUCCACCACAUUCCCCAAGAUCUUCCUUCUUUCAACCUUCUCCUACUGAAGCACCUCUCUGGAAUUUGCUUCAGAACCCAACCUCUAGGUCAGAAGAACCAACAUCUCUCCUUACCAUUCCGUACGACCCAUUAUCUUCUGAACCAAUCGUCCAAGACCAACCCGAGCCCAACCAAACAGAACCACAACCCAGAACGUCUGAUCACUCUGCUCUCAGAGCAUCAGCACGUCCUGCUGCCAGAACCACGGAUACAGACUCUUCAACAGCCUUCACACCUGUAUCCUUCCCAACCAAUGUUAUUGACUCUCCUCCCUCCAAUACCUCUGAAUCAAUUAGAAAAUUCAUGGAGGUUAGAAAAGAAAAGGUAUCUGCCUUGGAAGAGUAUUACCUUACCUGUCCAAGCCCUAGGAGAUAUCCUGGCCCUAGACCUGAACGUCUAGUUGACCCAGAUGAACCUAUCUUGGCCAAUCCUAUCCAAGAGGCAGACCCCUUAGUUCAACAAGCUCACCCUGUCCCUGACCAACAAGAGCCCAUUCAACCAGACCCUGAACCUGAACAACCAGUGUCUAACCAAUCCUCGGUUAGAUCACCUCACCCUCUGGUUGAAACUUCAGACCCUCACCUUGGAACCUCUGAACCCAAUGCUCCCAUGAUUAACAUUGGUUCUCCACAAGGUGCCUCUGAAGCCCAUAGCAGCAAUCACCCAGCCUCUCCUGAACCCAACCUCUCCAUAAUUCCCUAUACUCACCUUCAACCCACAUCUCUCUCUGAGUGCAUCAAUAUCUUCUAUCAUGAAGCCUCUUUGAGGCUCCGCAAUGUGCACGGUCAGACUGAUCUCAGUGAGAAUGCUGAAAAUGUGGCUGAUGAGUGGAACAAUCUGAGCACUUGGCUAGUGGCUCAAGUUCCAAUUAUGAUGCAGCUCCUGCAUGCAGAGGGCAGUCAGAGCAUUGAGGCUGCAAAGCAAAGGCUUGCUAGGAGGGUGGCUCUUCACGAACUAGAACAGAGAAAUAAGCUUCUUGAAGCUAUUGAAGAAGCCAAGAGAAAGAAAGAACAAGCAGACGAAGCUGCACGUGAAGCAGCAGCUCAGGCUGAACAAGCCAGACUUGAGGCAGAGCGUCUUGAAGCUGAGGCUGAGGCAGAGCGACUUGCACCAGUUGUGUUUACUCCUGCUGCUUCUGCUUCCAUUCCAGAACCUCAAGCUGCUCAGAAUGUUCCUUCCAGCUCUACUCAGACAAGCUCAUCCAGACUCGACAUCAUGGAACAACGUCUUGACACUCAUGAAUCCAUGCUGAUUGAGAUGAAGCAAAUGAUGAUGGAACUUCUGAGACGCACUGACAAACCUUAGUUUUUAGGAUCUCUUCUUUUUCUUCUUUUUCGUUAACUUUGUUUUCCUUUUGUUAAACUCUGUUUCUUUUUAUUUAUUUAUUCUCUUUUGUUCGUUUGUGAUUAUAUAUGCAUAUAUAUCUAUAUACUUAUGUCACAUAUGUUUGCAAAAGUCUUUUUUAUUCAUUGUUCUAUGUUUACAUCAUAUUUCUUUACAUCAUAUAAUCUAGAAUGGAGGAUCCCUCCUCAUUCUUCUGCACUCCUGGCGCUGCUCUGACCUAUCCUUCUCCAGACGCUCCAGUACAUGCUGGAUGUUGUUGAGUCUGACCUUUAGCUCAUCUUUCUCCAGAAUCUCUUCUGAAGUCCUGAGCUUCUUUUCCAAGAUUUCUUUUUCUUCCAGCAGCUUGAGUUCAAGCCGGCUGAGUUCUUGCACCUCCUCCACGAAGGCAAGAAAUUCCUUCAGGUCUCUCUCCAACUCUGGACGCAGGUCCUCUUCCAGCAGUGUCCGUGUCAGCUCCGCGAUGGUAGUUGCACCCUCUGGAUGCCUGAUGUUCAGGAACAAGUCCUCUUCAAAGGCCUUCUUCCUCAGCUCUUCUAGUGCUACGUUGUAUGAUGCCAUUUUUUUCUUACUGAAAAUUAUUCGAGAUGUGAAGCUUACCUUUCUCUCCAACGCUUUUUAUAGGCUUCACUUUCUCUCUGAAAGUUAAUGCUAUUACAGUUUCUCGAGGUUAAGUUCUUGGUAACUGACCCUUCUAUUUACUCACUUGACCGGUGGUAAACGUUCAUCCCUUGCAUUAACUCUUCUAUUUAUUUUCGCCUAACUCUGAUUCUUACAUCGUUUUCAUUUUCUUUAAACUUAGACCUUCUCUAAGGGGGAGUACCUUGUACUUCAAGCUAAGUUUUUCACACCCCAAGCUUUUUGCUUAUGACAAAAAGGGGGAGUAAACCCAGUUUUUGAUGUGUAAGAUGUGUUAGUGUGAUUUAUUUUUCUUUUGGAGAAUUUAAGAGUUCCACCUUCAUGACCAUAGAUGUGUCACUGGGCAAAUACAAGGAAUACAUUUCACUUCUUCUGAAGUGAAUCUAAGUUGACUCUGAUACCCAAGACUCUGAUACCUUGUCCAUGACUCUGAUCACUUAUGCGCUCUGAUUAUUCGUUUUUCAUCUAUGUCAUAAGCUUCUCACUCUGAACUCUUAUAUUUUUUAGCUCAGAAUCUAGACUUUACUAACGUUUUCAUCAAGUAUUAGAUUCAGGGGGAGCUAAGCUCAGAAUCAAGCAGUGACUUGAAUUCAGAAUGAGCAAGAUAAACUAUUCACAUCAGGAUAAGUAUUAUUCUAUAUCUCUAAACUCUGAGUGAAUUCAGUUUAAUGUUUAAGAAUUGUUCAUCAAAAAUCUUAGUUUUGUCAUCAUCAAAAAGGGGGAGAUUGUAAGAUCAAGUUUUGAUCUAGUAGUACAACUCUAUGUUUUGAUGAUUACAAGUUAACCUUUUGAUAUGAACAAUUGUGGUACUCUAACGUGUUUUUCUGAGUGUGCUAUUUACAGGCUCUGACCUCAACUCAAUCUCACACAAAUCAGAAGCACUGUGUAUAAAGAGUGACCCAAGCAACGCUUUCGCAUUCACCAUGUUCAGUAUGAACAGUGGAAAAGCUUCAGAAGUUCUGAAGCUAUACAAACUCUGAUGUGGACUCAGUCGCUAGAAGCUCUGAAGAUCCAGAAGUUCUGAUAACCAAGAAACACUGAAGGUUCAGAUGUUCUGAUGGUGUAGAAGACUCUGAAGAUCCAGAAGCUGAAUAGUGGAAACUCUGAAGUCCAGAAGCAAGAAACUCUGAAGGCCAUGUUCUUCCCUCUGAGUUCAGAAUCAGAAGAUACAAUGGUCAGAGGAUCUGUGCUUUCCCUCUGACUCUGAUCAACCGGCUUCACAAGUUCCAAUAUGAAGUAUUCCCCUGAUCNNNNNNNNNNNNNNNNNNNNNNNNNNNNNNNNNNNNNNNNNNNNNNNNNNNNNNNNNNNNNNNNNNNNNNNNNNNNNNNNNNNNNNNNNNNNNNNNNNNNNNNNNNNNNNNNNNNNNNNNNNNNNNNNNNNNNNNNNNNNNNNNNNNNNNNNNNNNNNNNNNNNNNNNNNNNNNNNNNNNNNNNNNNNNNNNNNNNNNNNNNNNNNNNNNNNNNNNNNNNNNNNNNNNNNNNNNNNNNNNNNNNNNNNNNNNNNNNNNNNNNNNNNNNNNNNNNNNNNNNNNNNNNNNNNNNNNNNNNNNNNNNNNNNNNNNNNNNNNNNNNNNNNNNNNNNNNNNNNNNNNNNNNNNNNNNNNNNNNNNNNNNNNNNNNNNNNNNNNNNNNNNNNNNNNNNNNNNNNNNNNNNNNNNNNNNNNNNNNNNNNNNNNNNNNNNNNNNNNNNNNNNNNNNNNNNNNNNNNNNNNNNNNNNNNNNNNNNNNNNNNNNNNNNNNNNNNNNNNNNNNNNNNNNNNNNNNNNNNNNNNNNNNNNNNNNNNNNNNNNNNNNNNNNNNNNNNNNNNNNNNNNNNNNNNNNNNNNNNNNNNNNNNNNNNNNNNNNNNNNNNNNNNNNNNNNNNNNNNNNNNNNNNNNNNNNNNNNNNNNNNNNNNNNNNNNNNNNNNNNNNNNNNNNNNNNNNNNNNNNNNNNNNNNNNNNNNNNNNNNNNNNNNNNNNNNNNNNNNNNNNNNNNNNNNNNNNNNNNNNNNNNNNNNNNNNNNNNNNNNNNNNNNNNNNNNNNNNNNNNNNNNNNNNNNNNNNNNNNNNNNNNNNNNNNNNNNNNNNNNNNNNNNNNNNNNNNNNNNNNNNNNNNNNNNNNNNNNNNNNNNNNNNNNNNNNNNNNNNNNNNNNNNNNNNNNNNNNNNNNNNNNNNNNNNNNNNNNNNNNNNNNNNNNNNNNNNNNNNNNNNNNNNNNNNNNNNNNNNNNNNNNNNNNNNNNNNNNNNNNNNNNNNNNNNNNNNNNNNNNCCUAGUUACCAACUAGUAUUUAUAGAGCUUAAAAUGGAACUACCAUUUUAAUCCUACGGUUACAAAUGAACUAGAAAAUAACUGCAUAAUCUACAACCAUUUAUUUGGCAUGAUUACAAAAUGAUAUAUAACUCCCAGCAGCUUCCAUUCUUCCAACUCAAAGUAGUGCCACGCCCCAUUACUUGAUAACCGCCAACUUGCUUGAAAUGGUGAAGUUCCCAUCUAACUUCCCUGUACGUGGCACAUGUCUUUGGAUAUGGUAAUUGCCUUGAAACAUUGAUGUUUCUGGUUGCCAUUUGGAUCAUAUAAAAGUAAGGUAAAGUUCUUGGCCAUUUAACACAAUAUUUAACAGAAAUAUAAGUCAUUUGAACUCUUAACAUAUAAUCUCGACAACAUGACCAGUACCAUAUUUCGACAUGGCCAGUACCAUAUUUCGACUAGGUGGCACAUGAUAUAUAUAAAUAUAAAUUUUGGUAUUAACAGAGGCCCCCCAAAAUGUUGUUUCUCGAAGGAAGUGAGAGGAAUAACAUUUUGAGUAAUAACACCAAAAUUUACUAACACUGGAUGGCUUACUUUGAUAGUUUAACCGUUUUAUUUAAAAACCAAAUUCAAUCCAUGCUGAGGCCUUUGAAUGGAUUCAACAUGACCACGUGAAUGAUCUAUUGCCAAAAAUAAACAGUAACGUAUCCAAACCUCUCAAAGAUCAAUUGGCAAUAUAUAUCAUUCAUGUACUCAUCCAAAUUAUGAGACCAAACUCACAAAACCUUGGUCGAAUAGAAAUUAGACAACCAUGUAGAAAUUGAAUAGAAUGAUACCACACAUCCACAUAUGCCAAAUCUGGUUAAUUGACAUUUUUUGUGGUUUCAAAAACCAAAUCUUUUUUGGUCUCAGAAACCAUUAAUUUGGUGAUCAAAAUUGCUUCACCCAAUUCCUUUCCGUUGAAGGGGUACUAGGAGCAUUACGUAUGGCAUUCUCAAACUUGAGAUGCCAAAAUUUGAAGCAUGAAUCACGUAUGACAUUUUCAAAUUUGAGAUGCCAAAAAUUGAAGCAUUAACAUCCAUAAAAACCAACUUUUUCAAACACACAACCCUGCUUCAAACUUGAAAUGACCCUCCUUCUAGCGCCAAUUUGUUUACACUGAUUUUUUGCAAAAUCACAUGUAAAUUAAUUAUUUCAAGGAUCAGAUCCUAUUUCAUGGGCUCUCCAAGUCCGACGGCUUACAGGCAAUUUAUGUGUGUUUUCAAGAGUGAAAAAAGUGAAGAAGUUGUCCGGUGACAACUUGAAAGAAACAACACUCCGGUGAGUAUUGCAAUAGAUGUAGAAACAAGUAGAAAUUUAAAAGAAGAUAAAAAAGAUUGCAAGGAAUCAAAAGGUAAUCAAAGAGAAAACAAAUAAGAACAAAACAAAUUCAUUACUGGAAUGGUAAAUGGUGGAAGGAAUUCGUCUACUGCACACUCGUUGAAGCCGUUUGCCAUAACCGUGGGCUUGAAGGCUUUUUUAGAGCUUUACAGUCAUUUAGGAAUCCAACCCUUUGUCCUAGUUACAAACUAGUAUUUAUAGAGCUUAAAAUGGAACUACCAUUUUAAUCCUACGGUUACAAAUGAACUAGAAAAUAACUGCAUAAUCUACAACCAUUUAUUUGGCAUGAUUACAAAAUGAUAUAUAACUCCCAGCAGCUUUCAUUCUUCCAACUCAAAGUAGUGCCACGCCCCAUUACUUGAUAACCGCCAACUUGCUUGAAAUGGUGAAGUUCCCAUCUAACUUCCCUGUACGUGGCACAUGUCUUUGGAUAUGGUAAUUGCCUUAAAACAUUGAUGUUUCUGGUUGCCAUUUGGAUCAUAUAAAAGUAAGGUAAAGUUCUUGGCCAUUUAACACAAUAUUUAACAGAAAUAUAAGCCAUUUGAACUCUUAACAUAUAAUCUCGACAACAUGACCAGUACCAUAUUUUGACAUGGCCAGUACCAUAUUUCGACUAGGUGGCACAUGAUAUAUAUAAAUAUAAAUUUUGGUAUUAACAAGUUGAUAUCUGAUCAGCAGUCUAAUUACUAGUCAUUGUUCGAUAAAAACCUAAAUCAAUGAUUAUUUUGGAUCUUUACACGUAAUGGAUAAUUCAAGUAAUGAAUUUAAAUUUUAGAGUCACAAUGAAAAGAACUUGUAAACAAAGGUAGCCUAAAUAUUUCCAUUUCGUGAGUGCCUUCGCAAUCACACCUUUUUUUUUUUCAUCAUUAACAUCGUUGGUAAAGUUUUUUUAUAAAGACGUCUAAGUCGACCAAUACAAAAAAUCAAUUAAAAUUCAACUAUAUAUCGAAAUAGAAAACUCCAAGCAUCUUCUAGAGUACCAAGUUAGAACAUUUCCAAAUGCUCGAAAGUUGAAAUUUAUCAAUCAUUCGCUUAUAAGAAUUAAAGUCCAAGAAUUCAAUUUGUUGUUGUUAAAAAUAAAAUAUAUAAAACAAGUUAUAUUUGCAUUGAAAAUAUACUUAUUUAAAAAAAAAAACUUAAAUUAUUCAAACUCUAUUUCAAGCAAGCUACCAAUAAAAUGAAUAUGUACAUAUUUAUUUUUGAAAAUGGUGAUUCACGUAACCUUUAAUUUUAAUAUUUCAAAAGUGAAAUUAGCAUUUCCAUUUUUUUCCACAAAAAUAAAUUUGAUAUCAAUUCAUUUAUUAUUUCCCAAUUAAUAACAACAUAUACAGAUGAAAAUUUGCCCAUAAAAAAGAAAAUGCACAAGAAAAAUGAAAAAUACACCCCUGUCUACUAAAUUAUAAUAUUAAUUAAUUUAUUUAAUAUGAAAUAAAUUGUUAUGCAUGUUUCUUUAUGAAACACAUAUAUAACGGUACAUGUUUGAUUCCCUUUAAAUUUUUUUUUUUUGAGUUCUAGUGUGAAUGACUCGUCAUUUUUAAGCGUGUAUCUUUCUUUAACACUUGAUUUGUUCAAAUGAUAAAUAUUUAUUUUUUCUCUGAUUCGAGUUUAAUAGAUAAAAAGCUCUUAUUAAAAAAGUUAACUAUAGUGCGAUAUGGAUGUUCUGAGUUAAACAAGAUAGAUUCAAAUAAGAUUAUCUCUUAUAAAGCAUACAUUAAAACUAUCUUAGUAAAAGGGUUUUGUACAAAAGCAUGGAAUAUAGACAAACCCUGAAUUUCUUAAUUCUUAUCCUUUGCUUUACACAAUAACUCAUUCCAUGAAAUAAUUCAAAUGCACUCAAUCUCUUCUAACUUCUCCUAUAUAUUUUCUCACCAUUCCAUUUCUCUCAGUUACUUUCUUCACCUAACCCUGCCACUCCCCUUUUUCACAUAUAAAUACACAAAAAUAUCAUCCGACAACACCCACAACAAGAGCCAAACCACAGUGCUUUAACGCCUUCUGGUUGGAAUCAAUUCAAUCAUGCCCAGAUUGAUUUUUCUCUCUACAAUUUAAUAUUCCAGGUAAACACUUCUCUUUGUGUCGAUGCAUCCAAUUGGUGAUGAUAACCCAUGUUUGUUUUUUUAAUGAUUUAGUUACAUUGUCUGAAUGUUUUGUCUCAAACCAUGAAAUGGGUCAUUGAGAGAUUUGGAUUUUGUACCUUUCAUUUGAUCACAUUGUUUGUUCAUCCACUGUAAAUAUAGUUAAUUUUUUUUGUUCUGUUUGCUGGGUUUGUCACAGUGGAAUGCGUGUAUGUUUGGAAUUUUUUCAGGUUUGGGAAGUAUUGAGUGGUAGGAAUUGUUAUUGGUGUGAUGGAUCAGGCAAGAAGUGGAGGAAGUGGUGAGAUGUUGGACCAUGUUGAUGAAGGGGUGGGUGAGAAUUUGAGCCAUUUGGGUGAAGGAGUUGCAAUUGAUGUAGGAGCUGGUGGUAGCUUGGGUGACAGAGCUAGUGUAAGCGGCGAAGAUGGGAUUUCAGAAGAGAUGUGCAGUGAUGAUCUCGGGUUGAAUAACAAGGAGGUAGAGGAAGGGCCUCAAGAAGUUAAGGGUCAGGACAUCGGGGAACCGCAGAAGAUCGGUGAUGAAUUGCGCGAGGUUGAUCAAGGAACUAGCUAUAAUUCGAGUGGUUUGGUUAAUCCGGAAGUACCUGAGACUGAGACCUUUGUUGUAUUAGAUCUUUCUGCUCAGAGUGAGGGUGUAAAUGGUGGUAAUAGGAAAUUGGAAGAAAAAGCGAAUGAAUCAGGGUUGCGUAAGUUAUCCGUUAAGGCGCCAAAAGGGGUGUCUGUGGCAGAUAAAAAUUCAUGUGUGAUUGAUAUAAACUGUGGCAGCUGCAAAGAGUUUUGUGGGAAUAAGGAAGGUGAAAUGAUUUGUAGGAUUUGCCAUUUGGCCUCUGAGCAACCAUUAGAAGCAACAGCUGCUGGCGGCGCUCCGAAUAGUGUUGGGAAUGGUACUGGUUUGAUUGUGCUUGGUUGUGCUUGUAAAGAUGAGCUAGGCAUUGCACACAGUCAUUGCGCUGAGGCAUGGUUCAAGAUUAAAGGAAACAGGUAAUUGUUUCUCUUGUUAUUAUAUUUUAUUCUAACUUUUGCGUUUAUGUUUGCAAUGUUGAUUAUUUCAUAAUGUUCUGUACUGACAUUUUGAAUUCACAUUGCCGUAUAAGGAAUCGUGUAGCCUACUUGGUUAGAGAAAACAUUUUCUGUUCUCAUUAAUUAUUCCAGAUGAUGGAUCAAGUCUUUGUUUGGUAUCUAACAUAUGAUUGCAUAUAUUUUUCAUGUCCAUGUUUAAUAAAAAAUGCACUUGGCCCUUUGAUUCUUUGAAUCUUCUGUUUCUCUGUUCAGCUGAAUGUAUGGGGUAUGAAUUAGGAAAAGCAAGUUUAUACUUUCAACUCCCCAGAAAGAUUUUUAUAUAACACUAUAUUUCCUACUCUUGUCCAUUUUCCUCCACCCCUUCCAAAGAAUGCUUGCCAUUGCCAACAAGAUUGUCCUUUCAACUGUUAUAAUUUCCUAGAUAAUUCUGAUUUCUGAAUAAAUAUUCCACUUAAUUUUGCUUGUAGAGAAGUAACUCUGAUUAUGGUACUAAUGCGACUACCGCUUGUGUGAACUGUCAAAUGUCAUGUAGACUUAUCUAAUUAGCAUUCCCUUAUAAUCUCUUUUGCCUGUCAUCUUCCGUUUGUUCAUGAACUAAUCCAUACAACUACAAGGGAAGCCAUACAAGGAUACCUAAUUAGUGGUGGAAUAUGGGAAAAUUCCUUUGGGGCAGUCGUAACUUGCAGGUGUAACAGAUAACACAAUGGACCAUUAUGCAUGAACUAAAUGGUGGAACACAGAAUAUUUUCUGUUUUUCAGUGGGGAGAUUGGGCCAUUGCUAAUUAAUGAAUACUAUGAGAACUGAGAAGCCCUCUCCUCUUGUCUUCAAUCUAGAGCUUUGGCAGGGUGUCAGCCACAGUUUUAAAUUUUGUUUUUAUUUUUCGUAAGAUUUAAAUUUUGAUGUGUGCCUAUUCUAAAUUUUAUUGUGCCUGGUGAAGGAUGAUCUGAAAUUACAUUCUUUUUUGAAACUUGUGUAUGUACAUGGCCCCUCUUAAUUUUUGUUUCAUACGUAAACUAGAUUUUUGCUUGAGUAAUCCUUUAGUUCCUUUUCUAUGUUAUUUGUCAACAUUUUAUUUACCUUUCUUGAUCACAGGGUAUGUGAAAUAUGUGGUCAGACUGCAAAAAAUGUUUCGGAUAUUACUGAUAAUAGAUUUAUGGAAGAGUGGAAUGCAAGUAGAUUCAUCGACGGCGAUGAUACCUCGUCCCGCAGGUGCGGUGGGUGCUGGCGCGGACAGCCCUUCUGUAACUUCUUGAUGGCGUGCCUGGUGAUCGCCUUUGUUCUGCCAUGGUUCUUUCGUGUAAAUAUGUUCUAGUGGAGGAGUCACAACCCUAUUCUUCCCUUCAAUCCUUUGUCUCUGCUUCUAUGAUGAGUGCAUCAUUGGUUCCUGAUUCAUAUUUUAUCUGAAGGAGUGGUAAUGCUUAACCAUGUCCAAGUUCAUAUUUCUCAGUGUAUGUAUCACCAAAAUGGCAAAGUAUUUUCUUAUUGCAUUCUUUGGAUUGGAAAGUGUGGAGUUCUGAUAUAUAUACUCAAACAGUACAUAAUUCACAUAAAACAAGCAAACAGAAAGAGAGCAUCUCCUAGCUGAUGAUUCUUUUAUCUUUUUCACAUUUUUUCUCUUUUUUAUUUUAUUUUGUUGACUUGUCUGCUAAAGUUCAAAGAGAAUCCAAUGUCAUGUGAUUGCCAUCAAUGUGGUUUAUAUUUCCUUCACUUUAUAACUUUGUUGUCAGAAAUAGCAAAUGUUCUAACCUACUCUAGCGAUAGUGAGGUUGGUUUUGUCCGCAUCUGAUUGUGGGUUAAAGUUGUUCAAUGUUGUUGCAAUGGUUCUAAAGAGAAAUUGAAAUGUGAAUACUUUAAUGUGAAUGUACUAUGUAGUGCGUGUAUAACUAGAGAAAUACUAGGUUACAGAGAGUUAUCUGUGAUUGCAACUUGAAUCACGUGCUGAUGGAGCUAAUAAGGGGGAAAAGCAAACUGUAAUUGCAUAAAAAUAAAAUAACAAGAAAAUGUAAAGUAAAAAGAUAUAUCAGUUGGUAGAAGCCUCUAACACUUCUGGUAAAAUGAUUUGUGGCCAACCCUCACUAGGAAAAAACUGCCGUAAUUGGCUAACUGGUAUUUUUAUUUAGUGUGAGUUUAGGUACCACUUGAGUUAAUGUGAAAUCAUUCGUCUCAAUUCAUAUGAAGAGUUCUAUUUACUUUUUGCAGUGAAUGUUAACAUCCCUUUACACUAACGCGGUCCGAAAUCCAAAUAUACUCUUAAUCAACAUGUCUAUAUUUGUUUUUUGUAAGAGACGAUUAUUUCUAGUGCAAAUUUUUUUAAUUUUUAUCACAAAUGGUCCACAAUGGUGUUGUUCCCCUUGCCAAGUGAGAAGAAUAAGUUAAUGAGCUGCGAGCCCAAUCACAAAAUUGGCCCAACUCAGCUAAACCUAAAUCUCCACAUUACUUAGUUUAUUAGUAUUAACUUGAUUUUAUUAGGCGUUAUAUAAUAUUAUUUUGACCAACUCAUCAACUUCCGUUGUAGUCUAGUUGGUUAGGAUACUCGGCUCUCACCCGAGAGACCCGGGUUCAAGUCCCGGCAACGGAACUUUUUUUAUCGAAUUUAUAAUAUAUUACAUAAAAUAUAGUCCAGGUUAUGUGAUGAUUAUGAAACUGGUUGCAUAUAUACUUUAAGCUGGGUUUUUAUUAUAUUUCCAUGUGGCAAUAUGCCUAAGGAAAAAUCUUUAAGUGGUGGAUAUCAUGAUGUUAAAAUAGGGCAUCAUUGAGCUUUUGCUUUGCAUUGGAUCCUUGUGUCAAGGUAAAGGAAGACAGACUAAUCAAACCAGUGUUUUGGUUUAAAUAUAUGUCUCAUGUCUGAACAUUCCCAUCUAAUUUGGAAACUUAAUCCUAGUAUAAGUUAUAUAUUUAAUUACAAGUUCAGACACACAGAUCAUAUCCAAGCAUCUGCAAUAUAAUAAGCAUGUGCAUUAUACUUGAUGAGUACUACAAUACAAUCAUAAAUUAUUAUUCUCUACUCAACAAAUCAUAUCAACCACAUCACAGCUUGGCUUUUGGCCUCUCCUAGCCAAGUCAAACCAAAACUUGGUGCUCAAGCUGUGUCAACAAAUGAUGGCAUCACUAUAUGUGUUAUUCAUAUAUGCAGUGAAACCAGAAAUAAUUAUACCAUAUAAUAUAUAGCUGCUUAGCUUCACAAUGAAACAAGGGUCAAACAUUGAAGAGAUACAAGGUAACUUAUAGUUCAAAAAAUAAAAUUGGAUUCAACCGAGUCAAUUAUAAGGCAUACUCAUAAAGAAAAUGUUACUUUUACGCACACUUUUUUAGGACAUACACAUUAGUGACGGUUUUUAACCUCCGUUAAAUAUUGUUACAGAGGUUAAAAACUUUCACUAAUAUGUAUGUUUCUUAUAUAUCCACCGUAAAAUAUAUUUACACAUAUAACUAUAUACAAGUCAUAACUCAUACGUUGUUAAGAGAUUAGAUCGAUGUUCAACUAACCAAAUUUGGAAUAAUUUGAUAUAUAAAUUAACAAUUUGGCUUGGGCCAAGCUUAGGUUUAGCUAGUGCAUAACAAAAAAAAACCAGGAGAAUUGGGUUGGAUUUUUUUUAAAAAAAAUUAGAGCGAUUUUUAAUGGCCACAUUUUACAUUAGUGGCAGUUUUGCCAAAUUGCUGUAAUUACCUAUGCCAUUAGUAUAAAAUUAUCACAUUCUGCGCUCACCAUUGCGCCACCUUAGAAAAUCGCACUAAUCAAUUUUCAUCAAUUCAAAAGACGCACGUCGUGUUCACCUGCUAUAGCAACAAUCAAACUGUGGUGAGACAUAUCUCUUCUCAUUCCAGGACCUCGGACAAUACAUUAAUACAAAAGGCAAUACCUUAUGAUUAUAUGAACUCGGCUCACAUCAUCUCGGUUGCAUCUCGAAGCUUUCAAGCAUCUUAAUGCAUGCCUUAGAUACUCAGGGGAUCUAAUGUAUUUUGACUCAUUAUCACCAACAUCUCACACACAUGUGAAGAAAAAAUGUAAAUGAAUGCAAUAUCUUAUAAUUUCAUAUAAAAUCUUUUAUAUCUUUACGUAUGUCACUAAAAUUAAAUGUUGAAACUUGAAUGAGAAUCACUAGUAAAUUUCAUCUAUGGAAUCAUGGAGAUGCUCUAAUUCAUUGAGUCAAUAUAGCGGCGGAAUCAACGAAAAAGCAUGAGAAAUGAAUGCUUAAAGCACACGUUAAUUACAUCUUGCUGGAUACCACAUGAACUCCACCUUUCAUCUCCAUAUAUAGAAGCAAAAUCUAUAAAGUGCCAAAGCCAAUUACAACCCCAAGAAGUAAAAAUUGCUCAAGCCUAGCAUUCCAUAUAUAUAACUUGUUGUGUUACACAAACAAUCGAUUAAAAUAGUAAAAAUAAAUAUAAAAAGUAAAAAAUUGAACAGCUCAUUUAUCAACAUUGACUCAUAUUGUAAGUACAAUACACAUCUUCUCAGAAGAUUAUGUGUUUGAUUUUCGCUGCUGAUGUGAGAGCUCUAUUGAUAAAUGAUAUAUAAAUAUCUUUAUAAGCAACUUGUGAUCCUAAAAACAUGUUAUGUUCUACAGUGACCGGAGUCGAAACGCCUGAACUUUUCCCUCCUCAAUGCCAAAAAAAAAUUAUAUGCUGAUUUCCCCCCAUCACCUAUUUUUAUUACUUGCUUUUCAUAUUUCCCCCCAAAAGAAUAAACUUCUUCUUUUUUUGCAAUCACCUUCCUCUGUAACAAUUGUAUAGUAAAAAUGAAUCAAACAACCACCAACUCAAAAUCACCAAUCUGUCCUAAUCUAAAUUCUACUCUUCAGUGACAGCACUUGCAACACAAGAUCAUGAACACAAUCAGAAACACAAUGGAAGACAGAGUAAUCGCCACACCAAGAACGACCUUGUUCGGCCCAUGAUGUUUCUCUUUCUUGUGGCUGCUGCUGCCGCCAUCAUCGCCACCGUCACUGUAAUCCAAAUCACUGCUAUCAUCUUCAGAAUCCUUCGCCGGCGGAGGAGACACCGGCAUUCCGUACUUAUCACAAGGAGCAACAUCAAGCUUCAAUUUCGAAGACAGAACAGAGUGGUUAUAGCACAAGUUGCUGUUCCCACCCACCUUAAACGUUUCCAAUCCCUUGAUGAAAGUUGAAUUGAAUGGUACAACACCUCGAAGAUUGUUGUUAGCUAGAUUCAAGUGUUUCAGGUUCUUCAUUUCUGAAAUGAACUUCGGAACAGUUCCGUUGAGCUGGUUUGAGCUCAGAUCCAUGUGAACCAAAUCGGGCAUAGCAGAAAUUGAAUCAGGGAUCGGCCCAGAGAAUGAAUUUGAAGCCAGUGAGAGAGUUUUCAAUGAAAUCAAGUCUCCGAUUGAAGUGGGUAUCUCUCCUUUGAGGCCAUUGGAAGAGAGAUUCAAGCUUUCAAGGCUAUCGAGUAAUGUAAUGGAAGAGGGUAUGUUUCCUUGGAGCUUGUUACCGGAAAAAUCGAUCUGGGUAAGGCUGGAAUGGAUGAACUUUGGAAGAUUACCAGAGAGAUUGGCGUGGGAGAUUGUUAAGGUUUUGAGCUUAGUCAUGUGGCCAAGUAUAACGUAAGGACCAGAGGCUUUGAGGGGCACGUUUGAGACGGUGAGAUCAGUGAGAUUUUCAAGGCGAGAGAGCCAGAUUCCGGUGAGUUUGCGGAGGCUGCUAAUACAAGUGAAGGAUCGGAGGGAGGAGGUGAGUUCAGGAGGGAAGUGGAUUGGAGAAAUGGGGCAGUUGAGGAAUUGAAUGGAUUGGAGAGUGGAGAGGGAUUUGAGGGCGUUGUAGGAGAGAGAGGUGGAGGUUGAGCAGUUGGAGAGGCGGAGGGAGAUGAGGUGGCGGAAGGGUUUGGAGGAAUCGCAUAGUGUGGCGUUUUGGGAGCAGGGGUCCUUGGAAGUGGGGAUGUGGAGUGAUUUCAGAGCAUUGAGCUGAUCUGGGUCAAGAGUGGAAGGUGAAGAUAAAGGAGAUGAUGGUGAAGGUUUUGGUGAUGGUGAUAGUGAUGGUGCUGGUUUUGGUGAGGGUGAUGGUGGAAGAGGUGGAGAAGCUGAGAUGAUAAUGGAGGGGAAGAGAAAGAGGAGAAUGAGAAGGACUAAUGGUGGUGGUAGUUUCAUGGCUUGAAGGAAGAGUGAAUGGAAACAGAGAAAAGCAGAAAGGUUGGGAUCAGAAAAAGUGUUAGAGACAAGGAUGCAAGCAAAACAAGGGUUGGAAUUUGGAAGAGUAAUGUGAGAUGUUGAGUGAGCACAAAGAUUGGUGGGGAAAGUGUAAAGUAGAGGACAUGGAUUGGAGGGGAGACUUGAGAUCAGAGAGAGUGAGAGGAACCUAAACACAGUCUGUUGACAGUUGGAGACUACUUUGUUUAUUCCUUUUGAAUUGAUUUGGAGAUAAUGUUGGCAAUUUACUUGAUAGUGCCUGUUUGUCAUUUUGUUUCAAAUCAUGAUCCCUACCUAAUGGUCUUUCCCUUAUUCAUGUUGUUAGAAUGCUAAGUGGCUAACAAGUAACAGCAACAUUUAAAUUAUAAAUAGUAUUAUACGUAUACAACCAAAUAGUGCAUACAUUUUGAAUAAAUCAUUUUACUUUUUAUUCAUUUUUUCUAAUCGUAUCACAUUCAUUAUAUAUCAUAUUUAUUACUUAUAUGUGAAUUUGACUCUUCUAAAGUGAGCGGAGUCAAAUGAUCUACAAUUUUAUAUAUUAUCUCUUUCCAACGUUCUAAACUCAAAUGUACAAAAACAUUAUUGUUAAAUUGAAUGAAACCCAAUUAAAAAACCAUUAUUGUUAAAUUAUAGUAUCUGAGAUUUGAAAUAUCAUUUUGAAACUAACAUAGACUUUUUGAAAGCUAAGUUUUGGGAGCCAAGAACAUAAGUCAUAGAAUUAAAACACAUUAAUCUUAUAUUCACACCUAUUUCACCUACACACAUAGAAAAAAAAAAUAUGAUGUAUGAAAAUAGGAGAUGUGGAAAUGGAAUAAAAAUAAAUACGCGUGAAGUGAAUAUAUAAAAGUUGAAUAAAAUAUCUAUUUUUUACUUGAUAUAGAAUACAUGGAAGGAAAAUUUCACACGUUCAAAGGCCAAUGCUGUCAUGAUGAUCAAAAUAGCAACUAAAAAGAAUUAACAACCGCCUGCAUUCAUUUUCUGAAUGGACAGAAAAUCACUACUUUUCAAAUUGAUAUACUUAGGCCAAUGCUUUAUCCUAUAAUCAGAAAAUUUAUCCAAAUCUUGCAAAUAUUUCCAAUCUUAGUUCAAAAUGGCUUCACCUUCACAGCUCAGCAAAGGACUAAUCCUUAUGACUUGCACAAACUGAGGAUCAAAUCAUCACCCCAUGUAUCUUUUUACAUAUUUUCAGAAACUCUUUGGUAAAUAAUCUUUGUAGUGACUUAACAAUCUAUAGCAACACAUGCCUCAGCAAUGGUUUCACUGUCAACUUUGUUCACAAAUGGAUCUAUCUUGACCCAAAUCAUUGAGAAGACAGAGGCCAGCAACACUGACCAGAGAAUAACAAUGGUGGGAGUUCUGUUUUGGCGACCCAUGAGACCCUUGAGGAAUGGAUAGAGGUGAAAAAUCACCCAGAAGGCAAAGAACACCUUCCCAAAGAGUGGUCCCCAUGACUCAUAUCCUCCAUUCAGUGCAUCAGAGAAUCCAGCAACAACACCAACCAUGUUAACAACGAUGAGGGUUGUUGGAGGAAUCAAGAGAGUUGUCCACUUCACAAUGUAAAGAUCACCAAACUCGCCGUCCUCAGCGGCCUUGGCCGUGACGGUGAAGUUAGUAUCAACACCAGCCAACAUCUUGAGCAAUCCUUGGAAGACUGCAAACAAAUGUGCUGAGACACCUCCAAUCACCCAGAACUGCUCGUUACGCCACAAAUCCUCGAUGCUAACACCGCUCCAGCGAAGCUCAAGCACACUAGUCAUUAUAAUGGAGAGGAAAAGUCCAAGGAAGAGAACACUUGCAAGGUUGGAAAGCUGUAUUAAAUUGUAAACAAUAACAUCAUCAAAGGCAUCACUAUAAACUGUUAUACUGAUCUGUUUCUAUAACUAGUUUAAUUUGGUUGUGUGAUUACAAAUAAUUUAUAUUUCGUUGAACAAUUGGAGGAUAAUCAUAAUCCAAGUGCAUGUUUGGAAGCUAUCCUAUAAUGGAUUUUGAAGCCAGAAUCAAUUAUGCGGAGAAGCUUCUAUGAGUGGAACAAUAAUAAAGGUGAGGAAAUUACCACUGGUAUAAUAAAUUUUCCUGUGAGAAGGCAAAUGGCUGGCAAUGUACAAUAAGCAAUCAGAGGAAGAGAUGUGAAAGGAUAGACUAUGGUGUUUAUAUAAGCCAUUCUCUGCAGACAUUUGAGAUGGCCUCCAGCAACUCCAUACCAGAGGGGACAAUGUCUGCUUAGGAAAAUUUCAAUUGAUCCAAGCGCCCAUCGAAGGACUUGGUGCAACCGAUCGGACAAGUUGAUAGGUGCUGAUCCUUUGAAUGCAGGCCUCAAAGGCAUGCAGUAAAUUGAUCUCCAUCCUCGAGAGUGCAUCUUGAACCCAGUUAAGAUAUCCUCAGUGACUGAACCAUAAAUCCAGCCCAUCUGAAAAAAAAAAGAUGUUUUAAUUAGUCAAUAAUGCUAUAGACUAAGCAAAAGAAAAAGUUAAACAUAAUAAGUCUUGCUUGAAAUUCUGCCUAUGCUGUGUCAUAGCCAGUCCUAUGCCCGGAUAAAUGAGGAAGGUUGUGUUAGACCUGCAGCAGCCGAUGUAAAACAACUGUAUCCUUAACAUGUAUCAAGUGAUCGAUAUAGCCGACCUUACUUUUUGUGAUAAGACAUUUCUUACAUGUUAAGUGUAAUAACUAGUAAGUCUUGCUUGAGUCAAAUUUCAAGUGGAAUAAGCACGCAAACAGAAAUAUCACUGUAAAAGAGAAGGAAAGCAAGAAUCUGAUGAUGGACUUUGUAAAAGAACAUUAACAUUCAAGCCAAUCCUCUUUUCCCCAUUUAGUCUUCUCUUCAUAUCCACAGCUAAUUACAUGAACAGCCUCCUUGAUCAGCAUUGCAGGAUCUGCUGAUUCAGGAACCCCUCCCUUCUCCAUUAGUGUAGAUUCAAUUAGAACAGUUGACAAGCCAAAAGUUUUUUCCAAGCUCAUCUGUGAAAUCAGCAUUGACCUCUCAUGUUCAUCAUAAUCUGCAAGAAGAAAAUAAACCAGAAAAAUAUUAUACAAAAAAGACUUUGUUAUAUGCUUCUCUUUCACAGAUUGAAAAAUAAAUAAAUUAUACUUACUGUCAAUCUCACUGAGAUUAUAAGUGGCAGCGUUAAGUUCAUCCCUCUUUGCAUCUCUGUAAGCCAGCGAGACAUCUUCAGUGGACUUCUUUGAGCGGCCACCACAACAGCACGAUGAAGAUCCCGGUAAGUUGUGCAUAGAAGGUGGGCUAUAGCCAUAAAGUGCAUGUCUAUUGAAAACACAUCCAGUCCCCACAUAUACUGGUCCUUGAAUGCCAUCAAGUCCUUUCAUGUUAACCUGAAUGAAUAUCAUAAAUAGACCGUUAAAUUGGCAUGACGAUUGGAAACUGCACAGUUGUAUCCAGAAGUUACUGCAUUGCAUGCAGGAAAAUGUUUGAUCAAUAUACUUAAAUCAUUAUAUUACUAUUGUUAACAAUGAGACAACAUGGACACAAAAAGAUGAAGGAAUUGGACUCUUGAUCACAAAACAAGAAAAUAAAUUGGUUUUUUGUUUUUGACUAGGUAGAGUAUCUUUGCAAUAUUUGCUUGACGAGAUACAUUUUUUACCACAUAAAAAAUGAACUUUAUAUUGACAUAUGGUAAAUCNNNNNNNNNNNNNNNNNNNNNNNNNNNNNNNNNNNNNNNNNNNNNNNNNNNNNNNNNNNNNNNNNNNNNNNNNNNNNNNNNNNNNNNNNNNNNNNNNNNNNNNNNNNNNNNNNNNNNNNNNNNNNNNNNNNNNNNNNNNNNNNNNNNNNNNNNNNNNNNNNNNNNNNNNNNNNNNNNNNNNNNNNNNNNNNNNNNNNNNNNNNNNNNNNNNNNNNNNNNNNNNNNNNNNNNNNNNNNNNNNNNNNNNNNNNNNNNNNNNNNNNNNNNNNNNNNNNNNNNNNNNNNNNNNNNNNNNNNNNNNNNNNNNNNNNNNNNNNNNNNNNNNNNNNNNNNNNNNNNNNNNNNNNNNNNNNNNNNNNNNNNNNNNNNNNNNNNNNNNNNNNNNNNNNNNNNNNNNNNNNNNNNNNNNNNNNNNNNNNNNNNNNNNNNNNNNNNNNNNNNNNNNNNNNNNNNNNNNNNNNNNNNNNNNNNNNNNNNNNNNNNNNNNNNNNNNNNNNNNNNNNNNNNNNNNNNNNNNNNNNNNNNNNNNNNNNNNNNNNNNNNNNNNNNNNNNNNNNNNNNNNNNNNNNNNNNNNNNNNNNNNNNNNNNNNNNNNNNNNNNNNNNNNNNNNNNNNNNNNNNNNNNNNNNNNNNNNNNNNNNNNNNNNNNNNNNNNNNNNNNNNNNNNNNNNNNNNNNNNNNNNNNNNNNNNNNNNNNNNNNNNNNNNNNNNNNNNNNNNNNNNNNNNNNNNNNNNNNNNNNNNNNNNNNNNNNNNNNNNNNNNNNNNNNNNNNNNNNNNNNNNNNNNNNNNNNNNNNNNNNNNNNNNNNNNNNNNNNNNNNNNNNNNNNNNNNNNNNNNNNNNNNNNNNNNNNNNNNNNNNNNNNNNNNNNNNNNNNNNNNNNNNNNNNNNNNNNNNNNNNNNNNNNNNNNNNNNNNNNNNNNNNNNNNNNNNNNNNNNNNNNNNNNNNNNNNNNNNNNNNNNNNNNNNNNNNNNNNNNNNNNNNNNNNNNNNNNNNNNNGUUUCUGGUUGCCAUUUGGAUCAUAUAAAAGUAAGGUAAAGUUCUUGGCCAUUUAACACAAUAUUUAACAGAAAUAUAAGCCAUUUGAACUCUUAACAUAUAAUCUCGACAACAUGACCAGUACCAUAUUUUGACAUGGCCAGUACCAUAUUUCGACUAGGUGGCACAUGAUAUAUAUAAAUAUAAAUUUUGGUAUUAACAAGUUGAUAUCUGAUCAGCAGUCUAAUUACUAGUCAUUGUUCGAUAAAAACCUAAAUCAAUGAUUAUUUUGGAUCUUUACACGUAAUGGAUAAUUCAAGUAAUGAAUUUAAAUUUUAGAGUCACAAUGAAAAGAACUUGUAAACAAAGGUAGCCUAAAUAUUUCCAUUUCGUGAGUGCCUUCGCAAUCACACCUUUUUUUUUUUCAUCAUUAACAUCGUUGGUAAAGUUUUUUUAUAAAGACGUCUAAGUCGACCAAUACAAAAAAUCAAUUAAAAUUCAACUAUAUAUCGAAAUAGAAAACUCCAAGCAUCUUCUAGAGUACCAAGUUAGAACAUUUCCAAAUGCUCGAAAGUUGAAAUUUAUCAAUCAUUCGCUUAUAAGAAUUAAAGUCCAAGAAUUCAAUUUGUUGUUGUUAAAAAUAAAAUAUAUAAAACAAGUUAUAUUUGCAUUGAAAAUAUACUUAUUUAAAAAAAAAAACUUAAAUUAUUCAAACUCUAUUUCAAGCAAGCUACCAAUAAAAUGAAUAUGUACAUAUUUAUUUUUGAAAAUGGUGAUUCACGUAACCUUUAAUUUUAAUAUUUCAAAAGUGAAAUUAGCAUUUCCAUUUUUUUCCACAAAAAUAAAUUUGAUAUCAAUUCAUUUAUUAUUUCCCAAUUAAUAACAACAUAUACAGAUGAAAAUUUGCCCAUAAAAAAGAAAAUGCACAAGAAAAAUGAAAAAUACACCCCUGUCUACUAAAUUAUAAUAUUAAUUAAUUUAUUUAAUAUGAAAUAAAUUGUUAUGCAUGUUUCUUUAUGAAACACAUAUAUAACGGUACAUGUUUGAUUCCCUUUAAAUUUUUUUUUUUUGAGUUCUAGUGUGAAUGACUCGUCAUUUUUAAGCGUGUAUCUUUCUUUAACACUUGAUUUGUUCAAAUGAUAAAUAUUUAUUUUUUCUCUGAUUCGAGUUUAAUAGAUAAAAAGCUCUUAUUAAAAAAGUUAACUAUAGUGCGAUAUGGAUGUUCUGAGUUAAACAAGAUAGAUUCAAAUAAGAUUAUCUCUUAUAAAGCAUACAUUAAAACUAUCUUAGUAAAAGGGUUUUGUACAAAAGCAUGGAAUAUAGACAAACCCUGAAUUUCUUAAUUCUUAUCCUUUGCUUUACACAAUAACUCAUUCCAUGAAAUAAUUCAAAUGCACUCAAUCUCUUCUAACUUCUCCUAUAUAUUUUCUCACCAUUCCAUUUCUCUCAGUUACUUUCUUCACCUAACCCUGCCACUCCCCUUUUUCACAUAUAAAUACACAAAAAUAUCAUCCGACAACACCCACAACAAGAGCCAAACCACAGUGCUUUAACGCCUUCUGGUUGGAAUCAAUUCAAUCAUGCCCAGAUUGAUUUUUCUCUCUACAAUUUAAUAUUCCAGGUAAACACUUCUCUUUGUGUCGAUGCAUCCAAUUGGUGAUGAUAACCCAUGUUUGUUUUUUUAAUGAUUUAGUUACAUUGUCUGAAUGUUUUGUCUCAAACCAUGAAAUGGGUCAUUGAGAGAUUUGGAUUUUGUACCUUUCAUUUGAUCACAUUGUUUGUUCAUCCACUGUAAAUAUAGUUAAUUUUUUUUGUUCUGUUUGCUGGGUUUGUCACAGUGGAAUGCGUGUAUGUUUGGAAUUUUUUCAGGUUUGGGAAGUAUUGAGUGGUAGGAAUUGUUAUUGGUGUGAUGGAUCAGGCAAGAAGUGGAGGAAGUGGUGAGAUGUUGGACCAUGUUGAUGAAGGGGUGGGUGAGAAUUUGAGCCAUUUGGGUGAAGGAGUUGCAAUUGAUGUAGGAGCUGGUGGUAGCUUGGGUGACAGAGCUAGUGUAAGCGGCGAAGAUGGGAUUUCAGAAGAGAUGUGCAGUGAUGAUCUCGGGUUGAAUAACAAGGAGGUAGAGGAAGGGCCUCAAGAAGUUAAGGGUCAGGACAUCGGGGAACCGCAGAAGAUCGGUGAUGAAUUGCGCGAGGUUGAUCAAGGAACUAGCUAUAAUUCGAGUGGUUUGGUUAAUCCGGAAGUACCUGAGACUGAGACCUUUGUUGUAUUAGAUCUUUCUGCUCAGAGUGAGGGUGUAAAUGGUGGUAAUAGGAAAUUGGAAGAAAAAGCGAAUGAAUCAGGGUUGCGUAAGUUAUCCGUUAAGGCGCCAAAAGGGGUGUCUGUGGCAGAUAAAAAUUCAUGUGUGAUUGAUAUAAACUGUGGCAGCUGCAAAGAGUUUUGUGGGAAUAAGGAAGGUGAAAUGAUUUGUAGGAUUUGCCAUUUGGCCUCUGAGCAACCAUUAGAAGCAACAGCUGCUGGCGGCGCUCCGAAUAGUGUUGGGAAUGGUACUGGUUUGAUUGUGCUUGGUUGUGCUUGUAAAGAUGAGCUAGGCAUUGCACACAGUCAUUGCGCUGAGGCAUGGUUCAAGAUUAAAGGAAACAGGUAAUUGUUUCUCUUGUUAUUAUAUUUUAUUCUAACUUUUGCGUUUAUGUUUGCAAUGUUGAUUAUUUCAUAAUGUUCUGUACUGACAUUUUGAAUUCACAUUGCCGUAUAAGGAAUCGUGUAGCCUACUUGGUUAGAGAAAACAUUUUCUGUUCUCAUUAAUUAUUCCAGAUGAUGGAUCAAGUCUUUGUUUGGUAUCUAACAUAUGAUUGCAUAUAUUUUUCAUGUCCAUGUUUAAUAAAAAAUGCACUUGGCCCUUUGAUUCUUUGAAUCUUCUGUUUCUCUGUUCAGCUGAAUGUAUGGGGUAUGAAUUAGGAAAAGCAAGUUUAUACUUUCAACUCCCCAGAAAGAUUUUUAUAUAACACUAUAUUUCCUACUCUUGUCCAUUUUCCUCCACCCCUUCCAAAGAAUGCUUGCCAUUGCCAACAAGAUUGUCCUUUCAACUGUUAUAAUUUCCUAGAUAAUUCUGAUUUCUGAAUAAAUAUUCCACUUAAUUUUGCUUGUAGAGAAGUAACUCUGAUUAUGGUACUAAUGCGACUACCGCUUGUGUGAACUGUCAAAUGUCAUGUAGACUUAUCUAAUUAGCAUUCCCUUAUAAUCUCUUUUGCCUGUCAUCUUCCGUUUGUUCAUGAACUAAUCCAUACAACUACAAGGGAAGCCAUACAAGGAUACCUAAUUAGUGGUGGAAUAUGGGAAAAUUCCUUUGGGGCAGUCGUAACUUGCAGGUGUAACAGAUAACACAAUGGACCAUUAUGCAUGAACUAAAUGGUGGAACACAGAAUAUUUUCUGUUUUUCAGUGGGGAGAUUGGGCCAUUGCUAAUUAAUGAAUACUAUGAGAACUGAGAAGCCCUCUCCUCUUGUCUUCAAUCUAGAGCUUUGGCAGGGUGUCAGCCACAGUUUUAAAUUUUGUUUUUAUUUUUCGUAAGAUUUAAAUUUUGAUGUGUGCCUAUUCUAAAUUUUAUUGUGCCUGGUGAAGGAUGAUCUGAAAUUACAUUCUUUUUUGAAACUUGUGUAUGUACAUGGCCCCUCUUAAUUUUUGUUUCAUACGUAAACUAGAUUUUUGCUUGAGUAAUCCUUUAGUUCCUUUUCUAUGUUAUUUGUCAACAUUUUAUUUACCUUUCUUGAUCACAGGGUAUGUGAAAUAUGUGGUCAGACUGCAAAAAAUGUUUCGGAUAUUACUGAUAAUAGAUUUAUGGAAGAGUGGAAUGCAAGUAGAUUCAUCGACGGCGAUGAUACCUCGUCCCGCAGGUGCGGUGGGUGCUGGCGCGGACAGCCCUUCUGUAACUUCUUGAUGGCGUGCCUGGUGAUCGCCUUUGUUCUGCCAUGGUUCUUUCGUGUAAAUAUGUUCUAGUGGAGGAGUCACAACCCUAUUCUUCCCUUCAAUCCUUUGUCUCUGCUUCUAUGAUGAGUGCAUCAUUGGUUCCUGAUUCAUAUUUUAUCUGAAGGAGUGGUAAUGCUUAACCAUGUCCAAGUUCAUAUUUCUCAGUGUAUGUAUCACCAAAAUGGCAAAGUAUUUUCUUAUUGCAUUCUUUGGAUUGGAAAGUGUGGAGUUCUGAUAUAUAUACUCAAACAGUACAUAAUUCACAUAAAACAAGCAAACAGAAAGAGAGCAUCUCCUAGCUGAUGAUUCUUUUAUCUUUUUCACAUUUUUUCUCUUUUUUAUUUUAUUUUGUUGACUUGUCUGCUAAAGUUCAAAGAGAAUCCAAUGUCAUGUGAUUGCCAUCAAUGUGGUUUAUAUUUCCUUCACUUUAUAACUUUGUUGUCAGAAAUAGCAAAUGUUCUAACCUACUCUAGCGAUAGUGAGGUUGGUUUUGUCCGCAUCUGAUUGUGGGUUAAAGUUGUUCAAUGUUGUUGCAAUGGUUCUAAAGAGAAAUUGAAAUGUGAAUACUUUAAUGUGAAUGUACUAUGUAGUGCGUGUAUAACUAGAGAAAUACUAGGUUACAGAGAGUUAUCUGUGAUUGCAACUUGAAUCACGUGCUGAUGGAGCUAAUAAGGGGGAAAAGCAAACUGUAAUUGCAUAAAAAUAAAAUAACAAGAAAAUGUAAAGUAAAAAGAUAUAUCAGUUGGUAGAAGCCUCUAACACUUCUGGUAAAAUGAUUUGUGGCCAACCCUCACUAGGAAAAAACUGCCGUAAUUGGCUAACUGGUAUUUUUAUUUAGUGUGAGUUUAGGUACCACUUGAGUUAAUGUGAAAUCAUUCGUCUCAAUUCAUAUGAAGAGUUCUAUUUACUUUUUGCAGUGAAUGUUAACAUCCCUUUACACUAACGCGGUCCGAAAUCCAAAUAUACUCUUAAUCAACAUGUCUAUAUUUGUUUUUUGUAAGAGACGAUUAUUUCUAGUGCAAAUUUUUUUAAUUUUUAUCACAAAUGGUCCACAAUGGUGUUGUUCCCCUUGCCAAGUGAGAAGAAUAAGUUAAUGAGCUGCGAGCCCAAUCACAAAAUUGGCCCAACUCAGCUAAACCUAAAUCUCCACAUUACUUAGUUUAUUAGUAUUAACUUGAUUUUAUUAGGCGUUAUAUAAUAUUAUUUUGACCAACUCAUCAACUUCCGUUGUAGUCUAGUUGGUUAGGAUACUCGGCUCUCACCCGAGAGACCCGGGUUCAAGUCCCGGCAACGGAACUUUUUUUAUCGAAUUUAUAAUAUAUUACAUAAAAUAUAGUCCAGGUUAUGUGAUGAUUAUGAAACUGGUUGCAUAUAUACUUUAAGCUGGGUUUUUAUUAUAUUUCCAUGUGGCAAUAUGCCUAAGGAAAAAUCUUUAAGUGGUGGAUAUCAUGAUGUUAAAAUAGGGCAUCAUUGAGCUUUUGCUUUGCAUUGGAUCCUUGUGUCAAGGUAAAGGAAGACAGACUAAUCAAACCAGUGUUUUGGUUUAAAUAUAUGUCUCAUGUCUGAACAUUCCCAUCUAAUUUGGAAACUUAAUCCUAGUAUAAGUUAUAUAUUUAAUUACAAGUUCAGACACACAGAUCAUAUCCAAGCAUCUGCAAUAUAAUAAGCAUGUGCAUUAUACUUGAUGAGUACUACAAUACAAUCAUAAAUUAUUAUUCUCUACUCAACAAAUCAUAUCAACCACAUCACAGCUUGGCUUUUGGCCUCUCCUAGCCAAGUCAAACCAAAACUUGGUGCUCAAGCUGUGUCAACAAAUGAUGGCAUCACUAUAUGUGUUAUUCAUAUAUGCAGUGAAACCAGAAAUAAUUAUACCAUAUAAUAUAUAGCUGCUUAGCUUCACAAUGAAACAAGGGUCAAACAUUGAAGAGAUACAAGGUAACUUAUAGUUCAAAAAAUAAAAUUGGAUUCAACCGAGUCAAUUAUAAGGCAUACUCAUAAAGAAAAUGUUACUUUUACGCACACUUUUUUAGGACAUACACAUUAGUGACGGUUUUUAACCUCCGUUAAAUAUUGUUACAGAGGUUAAAAACUUUCACUAAUAUGUAUGUUUCUUAUAUAUCCACCGUAAAAUAUAUUUACACAUAUAACUAUAUACAAGUCAUAACUCAUACGUUGUUAAGAGAUUAGAUCGAUGUUCAACUAACCAAAUUUGGAAUAAUUUGAUAUAUAAAUUAACAAUUUGGCUUGGGCCAAGCUUAGGUUUAGCUAGUGCAUAACAAAAAAAAACCAGGAGAAUUGGGUUGGAUUUUUUUUAAAAAAAAUUAGAGCGAUUUUUAAUGGCCACAUUUUACAUUAGUGGCAGUUUUGCCAAAUUGCUGUAAUUACCUAUGCCAUUAGUAUAAAAUUAUCACAUUCUGCGCUCACCAUUGCGCCACCUUAGAAAAUCGCACUAAUCAAUUUUCAUCAAUUCAAAAGACGCACGUCGUGUUCACCUGCUAUAGCAACAAUCAAACUGUGGUGAGACAUAUCUCUUCUCAUUCCAGGACCUCGGACAAUACAUUAAUACAAAAGGCAAUACCUUAUGAUUAUAUGAACUCGGCUCACAUCAUCUCGGUUGCAUCUCGAAGCUUUCAAGCAUCUUAAUGCAUGCCUUAGAUACUCAGGGGAUCUAAUGUAUUUUGACUCAUUAUCACCAACAUCUCACACACAUGUGAAGAAAAAAUGUAAAUGAAUGCAAUAUCUUAUAAUUUCAUAUAAAAUCUUUUAUAUCUUUACGUAUGUCACUAAAAUUAAAUGUUGAAACUUGAAUGAGAAUCACUAGUAAAUUUCAUCUAUGGAAUCAUGGAGAUGCUCUAAUUCAUUGAGUCAAUAUAGCGGCGGAAUCAACGAAAAAGCAUGAGAAAUGAAUGCUUAAAGCACACGUUAAUUACAUCUUGCUGGAUACCACAUGAACUCCACCUUUCAUCUCCAUAUAUAGAAGCAAAAUCUAUAAAGUGCCAAAGCCAAUUACAACCCCAAGAAGUAAAAAUUGCUCAAGCCUAGCAUUCCAUAUAUAUAACUUGUUGUGUUACACAAACAAUCGAUUAAAAUAGUAAAAAUAAAUAUAAAAAGUAAAAAAUUGAACAGCUCAUUUAUCAACAUUGACUCAUAUUGUAAGUACAAUACACAUCUUCUCAGAAGAUUAUGUGUUUGAUUUUCGCUGCUGAUGUGAGAGCUCUAUUGAUAAAUGAUAUAUAAAUAUCUUUAUAAGCAACUUGUGAUCCUAAAAACAUGUUAUGUUCUACAGUGACCGGAGUCGAAACGCCUGAACUUUUCCCUCCUCAAUGCCAAAAAAAAAUUAUAUGCUGAUUUCCCCCCAUCACCUAUUUUUAUUACUUGCUUUUCAUAUUUCCCCCCAAAAGAAUAAACUUCUUCUUUUUUUGCAAUCACCUUCCUCUGUAACAAUUGUAUAGUAAAAAUGAAUCAAACAACCACCAACUCAAAAUCACCAAUCUGUCCUAAUCUAAAUUCUACUCUUCAGUGACAGCACUUGCAACACAAGAUCAUGAACACAAUCAGAAACACAAUGGAAGACAGAGUAAUCGCCACACCAAGAACGACCUUGUUCGGCCCAUGAUGUUUCUCUUUCUUGUGGCUGGGGGGGGCGGCCCCCCCCCCACCCCCCCCCCCACACACAACCAAAACAACAAACCAAAAAAACAACAAAAUCCCAUAACAUCGCCACCGUCACUGUAAUCCAAAUCACUGCUAUCAUCUUCAGAAUCCUUCGCCGGCGGAGGAGACACCGGCAUUCCGUACUUAUCACAAGGAGCAACAUCAAGCUUCAAUUUCGAAGACAGAACAGAGUGGUUAUAGCACAAGUUGCUGUUCCCACCCACCUUAAACGUUUCCAAUCCCUUGAUGAAAGUUGAAUUGAAUGGUACAACACCUCGAAGAUUGUUGUUAGCUAGAUUCAAGUGUUUCAGGUUCUUCAUUUCUGAAAUGAACUUCGGAACAGUUCCGUUGAGCUGGUUUGAGCUCAGAUCCAUGUGAACCAAAUCGGGCAUAGCAGAAAUUGAAUCAGGGAUCGGCCCAGAGAAUGAAUUUGAAGCCAGUGAGAGAGUUUUCAAUGAAAUCAAGUCUCCGAUUGAAGUGGGUAUCUCUCCUUUGAGGCCAUUGGAAGAGAGAUUCAAGCUUUCAAGGCUAUCGAGUAAUGUAAUGGAAGAGGGUAUGUUUCCUUGGAGCUUGUUACCGGAAAAAUCGAUCUGGGUAAGGCUGGAAUGGAUGAACUUUGGAAGAUUACCAGAGAGAUUGGCGUGGGAGAUUGUUAAGGUUUUGAGCUUAGUCAUGUGGCCAAGUAUAACGUAAGGACCAGAGGCUUUGAGGGGCACGUUUGAGACGGUGAGAUCAGUGAGAUUUUCAAGGCGAGAGAGCCAGAUUCCGGUGAGUUUGCGGAGGCUGCUAAUACAAGUGAAGGAUCGGAGGGAGGAGGUGAGUUCAGGAGGGAAGUGGAUUGGAGAAAUGGGGCAGUUGAGGAAUUGAAUGGAUUGGAGAGUGGAGAGGGAUUUGAGGGCGUUGUAGGAGAGAGAGGUGGAGGUUGAGCAGUUGGAGAGGCGGAGGGAGAUGAGGUGGCGGAAGGGUUUGGAGGAAUCGCAUAGUGUGGCGUUUUGGGAGCAGGGGUCCUUGGAAGUGGGGAUGUGGAGUGAUUUCAGAGCAUUGAGCUGAUCUGGGUCAAGAGUGGAAGGUGGAGAUAAAGGAGAUGAUGGUGAAGGUUUUGGUGAUGGUGAUAGUGAUGGUGCUGGUUUUGGUGAGGGUGAUGGUGGAAGAGGUGGAGAAGCUGAGAUGAUAAUGGAGGGGAAGAGAAAGAGGAGAAUGAGAAGGACUAAUGGUGGUGGUAGUUUCAUGGCUUGAAGGAAGAGUGAAUGGAAACAGAGAAAAGCAGAAAGGUUGGGAUCAGAAAAAGUGUUAGAGACAAGGAUGCAAGCAAAACAAGGGUUGGAAUUUGGAAGAGUAAUGUGAGAUGUUGAGUGAGCACAAAGAUUGGUGGGGAAAGUGUAAAGUAGAGGACAUGGAUUGGAGGGGAGACUUGAGAUCAGAGAGAGUGAGAGGAACCUAAACACAGUCUGUUGACAGUUGGAGACUACUUUGUUUAUUCCUUUUGAAUUGAUUUGGAGAUAAUGUUGGCAAUUUACUUGAUAGUGCCUGUUUGUCAUUUUGUUUCAAAUCAUGAUCCC
rnacentral:lncRNA from 1 species